UUGAAUAUAUGCUUGCUGCAUCCACUACAACAGAAUUAGGUUAUAGGGACACAUGUUUGUGACAUUUUUAAAUAAGUGUUUCAUUUAUGCUAAAACUUAAAAACACAUCUACUAAUGCCUAAAUAUAAAGCCCAAUCCAACCAAAAAUAAAAGAUUACUCUACUCAACCCAUCACACCUAGUCCAUUUGGCCCGAUUACAAACAGAAAAGAAAAAAAAAGAAAAAUCAAUUACCAUCUUUUCUUCUCUCUUCACUCAAUCCACUGAAAUUCUAGACGAAGAGCCUUUACUGUCGCCCUCCUACGCCACCGCAGCCAACGAGAUAGAGUUUCGGCGGUUGCUAAAUGCUUAAAUAUGUGUUGGCAAAUUAGCAGCACUCUUUUAAAUUAUAGCGACACUCUUUAACUGUCACUAUAUACCUAGCGACCGCACAUAUAGCAACACUUUUUAAAAGUGUCGGUAAUUUUAGCUAGCAGUACUUUUUUGACAUGUACCUAUAUUCAAAAGUGUCGCUAUAAACCGUUUUUAUUGUAGUGAUCAAAAGUUAAUAUAAAAUAAAAAGAUGUUUGAAAUUCUUUAUGUAGCUGGCACCCCAGCUGGGGCUAGAAUUUUCCACAACAUCUAUUGCAUCUUCUCAUUGCGAUGAAGCUACAAAUUAAAAAGAAUUUUCAGACCAUCCUAAUCUCAAAAAAGACGAUCUAAUUAUAUUAUCGAGGGUACCACGUUUGGCUCUAUUUGAUCCGUUAGCAUCAAAUCUCUAUAUUAAUAAAUCCUAAAAAGAGAGUUAUAUAACAUGUUUGUACUUUUCUUCCCAACUCCAGCUAUAAUACCAUACUAUGAAAGCCUAAGUGGAUAAAAAAUCGGCGUUUACAGUGCAAAGUAACUUGAAUAAUAUUUUCCUUUUUUGGUUUUUGUUCUUUUUUAAGAGACGGCGCAUAGGCUCAUUUAUAUAUCCUCCAUGUUAUAAUAAUCUCUUGUUUAAUUUGGAAGCUUAAUUAACCUUAUUAAUUAUUAGAAGCUUUACAAAGCUUUGCACGUGGAAAUAUUCUCUCUGCACUCAUAUAGGGGUUUCUGAAUGAUUUUUUAAAUGUGUUAAUUAAACAAGGGAGAGUGGGUCAAACCCAAACUCUCCCGUUAUGCGUGCGGAGAUCCCUCGUUUGCGUGCGGGUCUGAUGCGAAGCUUCCAAACCACUUAAGUGACACCACUUAAAUUCUAAUAAUAUAAUUAAGGGCACAUUGGUUUUCUAUCCUAGUUCGUACUCCUCAGCAUAACUCUUAAAAUCAUUUUGGUAUAUAAUUGUAUUCGACAAAUUUUUAAUAAUUGAUUUAUGAAAUGUGUUAUCUAAGAUGCCAGGUGUUGCCAUCUAAUAAUUGAUUAUGAAUCAUUCAAACGAGAAUUUCUGGUGGUUGUUCAAAUCUCGCUUACCGAAUAAUUUCUUUAUUUUCACAUACUAAAGGCUUUGCAAAUUUUUUUUUUUAAAAAUAACUGACAUUUUAUAUAAUGAGAAGUUUCUGCAUAGAAAGAAUUGAUAGCUAGGGAGAUUCACUAUGCAUGGUUCUUGAACUUUUAUGUCGAACAUUCAAUGCCCCGAGUUUUUAAAAGCAUUUUAUUUUGAUCCUUAUUCUCAUAAACAAUUUGAAAUAAAAUGUUACCUACGCUUCAGGCAUUUGUACAUUUUUGUAUCAUAAUUUUGAUGGUCUUGCCUCCGCCUCAUAUUAUGAUUACAGUAUUUAUCUGUAUUGAAAUUAGAAUAUUAGCUUAGCAAUACGAAAGGUAGAGUAAAUCUGCGAAUGCAGGUAUAGAUAGUAGUUUUAUCUACAAUAAAUGGCUAAAUUUGGAAUAUGUUCAAAAAUUUACUCAAAAACUUGAAGAGGAAUAUACAACAUAACUAAUAGUUGAGGAACGGACAAUUUGGAAAUUUCGAUCCUCAAUAAAUCUAAAAAAAAAUUUAAAGCACCUAACACUCCAAAUUGUGGGUAUAAUAAUUUAUGUAUCUUCACACAUAAUUAUAUUCCAAUUUCAGUGCGACAACCAAAGUAGAAUUCAAAUUGCUUCUUUCUAAAGACGACAAUAAUAAUUGCGUUGUUCCGAGACCCAACACUUCUUGUAAUUUUCUUUUAUUUUUUGUGAAAUUGGAAUUGUGUUAUUGAGAGCCGCAUCGAAUUUGAUAAACUGGGAUUAACAAGCUCUGACAUUUUCGGUAUUCUAAUGGGUCCACAGUUAAAUUACGUGCAUUGGUUUUGAGGGAGCAUUUAAGAACGUGACACUCUAUUGCGCCACUCUUUUAUCUUUCAAUUUUUUUUUUUUUUUCUGAGGCUAUUAUUAAAAAAAUAAAUUGAGGAUCACACCUUACUUCUUUUUUAGUCAAAUGGAGAAACCCACUUCCCAAUGGUUUGCAACCACCACCCACUGAUUUGGAUGUGUUCCACUGUGUGGAUCUGAAUUGUUUGCGAAACUUAAAAAUACCCAUGUGAUUAAUUAUUCUUUUGAUUUUGUUUAAAGCACUACAAUUCAAAGAGUUAUUCCAAAGUAUCUACACUUCUGAAUCAUAGGACAAGUGAUUGUUGCUCAUCAUAAUGACAGUUUCCACUGUACAAUUUAAUGCUGAAAUAGAUACAUAAUAAAAAAAAUUCGCAAUUUAAAGAUGAAAAAAGGAAAAAAAAAAAGAAAAAGAAAAAAGAAGAAAAGAUAGGUCUAAUCCUUUCAGCAACCAUGGAAAACAGAUAGAAAGAAAGCUCAAUUAUCUUAUUUAUUACUCUACGGCUAAGCUCAGCUCACUUUCUACUAAAUCGAUUUCUUAUAUAAUACGGUCGUCGGUUAAUAUUUCUACCUGAUAAUAGCACAUAAGGUCUUUUCGUACGUACAUUUUAACUUUAAUUUAUUCCUUUUUUUUCCUAAACGAAAAUAGUGGUGAGACCUAAGAAGCUUUUAAUGCCUAUUAACAUAACGCUUGUUCUAAGCGCUAUACUUAAUAUAUUAGCAUCUCAAAACCAGAAACAGAAUACAUAAUGUUUAAGUAUAUAUUGUAACAAGGCUCUUCAUUUGUCAAGGCGAGGGAAAAUGCGGAGGAAACGACGUACAGGUACUUGAUUUGGAGGUGAAACUGUUUACACGACACUUGCAAUGCGGGGACCGACACCAAUAAAUUGAGCUCACGGGGUUCUCGGUUGAGCUCGGAUUGUUUUGUUAUUACUGACUCUACUUCAACACGGGUUUCAGGUUCUCGUCUCUCGUAAGAAUAGCGAUUACGCCCCGUGCAUUUGUACUACAUCCUUUUAAGGUGUUGCUAAUUAUUUCACCACCCUGUUCGCAUCAAAUGUUGCUAUAUUACUUUUCGCAUCUAACUUCAUCAACUAAACCCAUGCUCGCGAUUUCGUUGUCAUCAUGUUAUGGUAUAUUUGGUUCUGCUGCGGGAUGCAUCACUCCGCCGCGCGAAUAGAGAUUCCACGGGAAGUUGCUUUUUCGGUGGUGAAGUGUCAAUUUCGCAGUUUGCUCGGUAGUGCGAAUUUGACGUGUUAAAAUCUUAGAAAUUAUAUUGAUGAGGAGAUUGUGCUGCGCUCGCAAUUAAUCCAGUGCAUGAUUACUUUUGUAAAUUCGGCUGAAGAAGUAGGUCCAAACAUACUCUUAUUAGACUCGGCAAAAGUUGCAAUUUAUUAGCUGGGCCAACCUGUGCAUUUAUAUUUGUUUGCUAAUUUUCUUUCCUUUAUACGUUUUUUUUUUUUUUUUGCCUUCAUUGUUCCGUGCCUACUUGGCUUGGAAGAACAAGGACGUGGCAUUCAAAGAGCACCUAAUAAUUGUUUAAAUAAUGUGAUCCCUUUUUUUUUUUUUGGAAAGCUUAAGGGUCCGGUUGGUUCAACGUAAAACCAUAAAAAAUAAUUUUUUGUAAAGAAAAAAAAAAUCAGUGGGAAGAAAAUUUUACGUUUUGUAGUAUUUGUGUUCGUAGAAAAAAGUAAUUUUCAUUAAUAUUUGUUUAGUUCGCGAAAAAAAAUGAAUGAAAUGAGUUUUAUGUAGCUUAAGUUUUCGUUAUCCGUCGAAACAGCGAAAAACGAAAAUUUCAAUUUUUCAUAAAUAUAUAAAAAUACGUUUACGGAAAAAUACUUUCACGUCGAACCAUACAAGCAAAAAAAUAUUUUUCAUACCGACAAUAAUUUUUCGGCUUAUUUUACGCGCAAACUCCCCCUAAGCUAAAAUACUUAUGAUACCCUAUUAAAAUAUGUGAAACAUCGGUUUCUUUUUCCAAAAACUUUUACUAAAAUAUAGUAUAAUAAUUUUUAUAUUCGACAAUAAUUUCUCCAUUUUUUGAGGGACAUGGUUAUCUAAAUUUUUUAUAAAAGUGGUGGGGGCAAUGACCCUAAUUAAAUAUUGCCUGAAACUAAAGGGUCUUAAUCUAGUGUGAAUUGAGAUGAACUGCUUCAGCCCACAAUAAUGAGCCCAUCACCCACAAAUGGGUGGGAUUUUACCUCUUAAUCUCCAAGUCAAACUUAAUUUUAGAAUACNUUCAUCAACUAAACCCAUGCUCGCGAUUUCGUUGUCAUCAUGUUAUGGUAUAUUUGGUUCUGCUGCGGGAUGCAUCACUCCGCCGCGCGAAUAGAGAUUCCACGGGAAGUUGCUUUUCCGGUGGUGAAGUGUCAAUUUCGCGGUUUGCUCGGUAGUGCGAAUUUGACUGUGUUAAAAUCUUAGAAAGUAUAUUUAUGAGGAGAUUGUGCUAAGCUCGCAGUUAAUCCAGUGCAUGAAAACUUUUGUAAAUUCGGCUGACUCGGCAAAAGUUGCAAUUUAUUAGCUGGGCCAACCUGUGCAUUUAUAUUUGUUUGCUAAUUUUCUUUCCUUUUUUCCAUUUUUUUUUUUUUUUUUUUUGCCUUCAUUGUUCCGUGCCUACUUGGCUUGGAAGAACAAGGACGUGGCAUUCAAAGAGCACCUAAUAAUUGUUUAAAUAAUGUGAUCUUUUUUUUUUUUUUGAAAGCUUAAGGGUCCGGUUGGUUCACUGUAAAACCAUAAAAAAUAAUUUUUUGUAAAGAAAAAAAAAUCAGUGGAAAGAAAAUUUUAUGUUUUGUGGUGUUUGUGUUCGUAGAAAAAAAUAAUUUUCAUUAAUAUUUGUUUAGUUCGCGAAAAAAAAAAUGAAUGAAAUGAGUUUUAUAUAGCUUAAGUUUUCGUUAUCCGUUGAAACAGCGAAAAACGAAAAUUUCAAUUUUUCAUAAAUUUAUAAAAAUAUGUUUACGAAAAAAUACUUUCACGUCAAACCAAACAAGCGAAAAAAUAUUUUUCAUACCGACAAUAAUUUUUCGGUUUAUUUUACGCGCAAACUCCCCCUAAGCUAAGAUAUAUACUUAUGAUACCCUAUUAAAAUAUGUGAAACAUCGGUUUCUUUUUUCAAAAACUUUUACUAAAAUAUAGUAUAAUAAUUUUUAUAUUCAACAAUAAUUUCUCCUUUUUUUGAGGGACAUGGUUAUCUAAUUUUUUUAUAAAAGUGGUGGGGGCAAUGACCCUAAUUAAAUAUUGCCUGAAACUAAAGGGUCUUAAUCUAGUGUGAAUUGAGAUGAACUGCUUCAGCCCACAAUAAUGAGCCCAUCACCCACAAAUGGGUGGGAUUUUACCUCUUAAUCUCCAAGUCAANCAUUACACAACUUAUUAUUCGUCUUAGCUCUAACUAAAAGGACAAGUUGCAAGACAUUAUCAACGUUUCAUUUAUGAUGGAACUAAAUGAACAAGCUAAGACUUAGAUGCUAUGCCGCUAAUAAAGGACCACCUUUUGGCUCAGGCCAAUAAAUCACCAUAUUAAUGUUACAGUGUACCAUUAAUACAGAGGUCAUAUUUGGGUACUAAAAAUCAGGGCGAUGAUAUGACUACUCUCAAUAAAAGUGCCCAACUUGCAUUCUAAAUUUCUACACCUGAGAAUGAGAUAGGCUUUCUCUGCACAUCUUUACUCUUCUUGUGUGCCUCACUAAUUGCUCUAUUGAAUAAUGGACACCAACAAGUUUCGUAAGGAACCGACCGUCCCUAGAGCAAGUAGUUAAGGACUUGAUGGUUGGUAUCCGAGAUCCAAGUUCGAAUCCUAGUUGAUUCACAUUUCUAGCUAAGUUUAUUUUUAAAUGAAAUAAACGAAGCGGGUAGCGUGUUAUCUAUCUCUCAAAAAAAAAAGUUUCGUAAGGAAAAUUGAGAUAAAAUCAAAACAAGAAAAACACACACACACACACACACACAAAAACAAACAAAACAAGUGAGAUCCAUUGAUCAAAAUAUAAAUAAUGUGUGAAUCUUCUUAAAUUAAGCUUUCUCUUAACAAAUCAUGCUACAAUUACUGUGGAGCUGGAAUUAAGUCGUGUUCUCCAACUAGUACACUUUUAAUCAAUCUGUUGGAGUACUAUUAAUUGACAUUGUAUAUAGUCCUCACAAGUAGGUGAACUAACGUUUCCGUUUGAUUAAUUAUUUUUUCUUGUCCAUAUUUUGAAGCUAGUGAAGUUUCCCUAUCACAAAAGAUUGCUUGGCUUGAUUCAAAUUAAUUGUGACAGCUGUUAUGGUGUAUUGUAGAACUAAUUACCGGAAAAAUUCAGAUAGUCAUCUCUUUCUCGUAUGAAUGUUAUGAAAAGCAGUCCAACUGUAAGUUACUUUAGGCCGACCGUCCCUGUUGCAUGUGACAAAAAAUUUGAUGAUCGAUUGAUAUUCAAAACCUCAAAUUAAAUGAUAAGAAAUUUGAUAGUUUAACAAUAUUGGCCAGGAUAUUAACUAUCAAUUACUUUUGCGCACACGAUCACUCCGGUCGCUAAAAAUGUUGCAAAUAUGAUAUGAUGUGUCACUCUUAGUUCGUUAAUCAAAGUAUUGAUAUAUAAGGGGACGAUCAAACUAGGUUGUGAAACUUUUUAAGUUGAUUCAUUUUGUUAGAUUUAUGUGGCAGUGAAGAUGAGACUGUGGAUCAUUUAUUUGUACGAUGCACAUUCAAUAAAUUUCUGAUGUUCAGCUUACUUAACGGUAAACAUAUCCCGAGGUUUAUGGUAAAGAUCAGGGAUGUCUGAAAAUUUCUAACUAAGAAUCGCGCACGAAGGGCAUCAACGAAAAAUUUGACCAAUGUUGCAAUAUGUUGGUGGAUAAUCUGGCAGGAAAGAAAUAACAUAAUUUUUAAAAACCAAUCUUCUGAACCCCUAAUCAUGAUUAGACGAGCUCAAGACUUGGAAAGGGAGUGGACUGAGUUUUGCAGCUCUAAGUGAAUUUUUUUUUAGUUUUACUUUUAAAUUUUAUUUACUUACUUUAUUUUAUUUUAUUUUUCUAAGUUUUCUUUUUUUAUCAUUUAUUUUUAUUUUAUUUUUUGGUAUGGUGACCUGUAUCUUAUUCGAGUCCGAUUUGCUUCAACUUUUGUAGCUAAAUUUAUUUUCUAUAUGAAUGAAGCAGUUAGCAUGUUAUCUUUCUCUCAAAAAAAAAAAAAAAAGUUUUGGGCAAUAAAGUUGCAAAUUAUUUCAUCAAAUAACAAAGUAUUCUUUAUAUUGCAAAAUAUUAUGUUGAACUUGAAUGCGGUACAGAUGCAGUUAAGUUCUACAAAGACCGGCUAUCAUCUAUAAAGUGUCUCUUUUUUCUCUACUUCUCAAAUUAAAAAACAAACAUCAAUAUAGCGGUAGUAUAGUCAGGGGCUUUGUUUUUUUUUGUUUUUUUUUUUUUUUUUUUAAAAAAAAAAAAAAAAAGUUGGUGACGAAAACGGAUUUAUUAAUAGUCAUAAAUCAUGCAUAUUUUGUAGCUAAAUUUAUUUUCUAUAUGAAUGAAGCAGGUAGCAUGUUAUCUUUCUCUCAAAAAAAAAAAAAAAAGUUUUGGGCAAUAAAGUUGCAAAUUAUUUCAUCAAAUAACAAAGUAUUCUUUAUAUUGCAAAAUAUUAUGUAGAACUUGACUGCAGUAUAGAUGCAGUUAAGUUCUACAAAGACCGGCUAUCAUCUAUAAAGUUUCUCUUUUUUCUCUACUUCUUCUCAAAUUAAAAAACAAACAUCAAUAUAGCGGUAGUAUAGUCAGGGGCUUUGUUUUUUUUUUUUUUUUUUUUUUUUUUUUUUUUUUUUUUUUUGUUAAAACAAAAAUCCAAUACCAAAUUAUGAACUAAUUGGAGGAGGGGAGAGUUGGGCUGCACAUUUUAGCCAAGGUUAAGUUUGGAAUGUGCUAGAAGAGCAGACUCUGUAUAUGAGAAACAAAUUGAAGUCGCAUUAAACGUAAUCAAAUUUAAUUAACAAGUACCAGUUGAAGUUAAUAAUUUAUUUGUUAAUAUUAAAAUGAGUUUUAUUUAAUAGCAUUAUCCACACUACAUGAUUUUAAAAAGAUUACUUAGUCUGUCAACCUCCUUCACACGAUUGCAUGAUCGAAGUGUAAUAUGUCAACGUCCAAUGCUGAAUUGACGCGAAAGAGUGCACGCAAAGUAAAAGAUCAUAAGCAAAGUAAGUGUAAUAUGUUAAUAUCCAAUGCUGAAUUGACGUGAAGGAGUGCACGCAAAGUAAAAGAUCAUAAGCAAUGAAGGGCAAUGGUGUCCUUCUCUAAUAAAUCUCGCAAUUUAUUUAUGAGUGCAUGCGUGUGCGCGGGCGAGAAAGAAGUUAAUUUGGAUGCCUAGGAAGAUGUUGAUGGAUCAACACUGCUCACUAGAGCCUGAGACCAAAAACAUAAUAAUGGAUUUUCACAGGGAGAGGCGAAUGAAUAAUUAAGGUAGUGAUUAGUUGUACAAAUGAGAAACUCAUGAUCAACACCCCAACGUACCCCACAUCUCUUCUUAAUUAAUUAAUUAAAGGCCAAGAUCCCACCCAAAAAAGGGGGAAAAAAAAAAAAGAAGAAAAAACAGCAGUAAAAUCCAACUGGGGCGCCUCUCACACCGCUUCUUAGUUCUUACGAACGCGCCAGCAUCCUACUUUCAGAGAAAUGUCAUUAAUUAAACACCUUAGUUACAAAAAAAAAAAGAAAAAAAAGAAAAGGCUAGCGUAUGUUAAUUAUUAUUAUUAGUAUUAAUAUUAAUUAUCAUUUUGCAUUCGUUGUUUGUUGCGACUUGAGAUCCUAACACCACCCGGUGAGAUUACCGCGGACGAACGCCGAGGCUCCCAACGACUCGUCCACGUGGCACGGGGUGGUACCAGGAUCUCAACUCUUUGUCCUCGUCUCCCGCCGCGCUUUCCUCGUCCGCCUCCCAAUCACGUGCCCGCGCACGUGCGCUCACCGGCGCGCGGCGGCGGAGGAGGGGGGGGAGAGCGCCCCCGCGGCCCAAAUCUCGGCGAAGGCGCGGAGGAUGAGGUGGUGGUGGUAGGGGGAGUUGAGCGCGAGGAAGCGGUGGAGGAGGUCGCGUAGAUCCUCCCACGAGUACAUCUCCAUCUCCACGAUCAUCUGCAUCAUCGAGUCCCUGAAAUCGAUGUAGGGGUCCGACGACUCCUUCACCACCGCCACCCCUUCCUCCACCUUCUUCUUCUUCUUCUUCUUCUUCUUCUUCGCCCCCUUCUUCGGGCUCUCGAACGCCGCCACGGAAGGGGACGAAGAGGAGGUUGUGGUGGUGGUGGUGGUGGUGGUGGUGUUCAUGGUGGAGGUGGUGGAGGUGGUGGUGGUGGUGGAGGGGGAGAAGGGGCGAAAGAGGGGCUUGGGGUUUUGGGGACGGGUUUUAAUGGGCAGGGAGGUGAGAAAAGAUGGGAGCUUUGGGCGGCGGCAGCCGCAGCCCACGUCCGCCACCACCACCGGGUGGCGUCGCACGACGAACCUCCUCCGCCCUGAAGAGGACAUUGUUAGAUGUGUUGUGAUAAGUGGGUUUCCCUUGGGACAGCGAAAUAUGGCCCUUUUAGGCUAUAAAGGUCGAAGCUUUGCGCGUAAAGUUUACUUUCUCUGUUUUUAAUAUAUAGGAUAAAAAGCAGAGCGCAUGAAAACGAAGCAGAGUAAAGGAAACGGAGGGUGUAUAGGGUAUACUACGAAGUGGGUCUUGGAUGGGACAGGGAAAUACGGCUCUGUAAAGGUCGAAGCUUUGCGCGUGAAAACUCUACUUCCUCUGUUUUCAAUAUGUAGGAGGAGCAGACUAAGCAGAGUUUGCGGGUGCAAAACAGGGAAUGUGUAGGGAGAGAAAGGUGGAUACGUAAUAGACGGAAUUGAGUGGGGACAAUAGAGAAAGGGAAAUGGGGUUGCUUUAGGAGGAGGCAAACGAGGGGGAGUUAAGGGGAAGGAGAUUUAAGAAACAGAGACGUACAAGUCAUGGGCGAUCGACUUUUUCUUUGUUUUUGUUUUUUGUUUUGUUUUUUUUUUUUUGGUUUCUUGCUAUUGCGUGAGGAGGAAGAAGCGGUGGAAUGUGAUCUCUUUUUUUUUUUUUUUAGACUGUGAUCAGUUUAGUUGGGGGAUUCAUAUAGUUGGCCAUGUGAGCUUUUAGAUCCUCUUUCCUCGAAAUUAUGUGGUAAAAAGAAAAAAACAAAAAUCCAUGGAUACCCCCUGAGCUGUAGAAAAAUUCUAGAAUGCAACGAGCAUAGUGGUGACGUGGCGUAACAAAUCAAUCAAAAAUAUCUUUUUAAAGAUAUAUAUCCCAUCACGAUUAUAAAAAAGUAUUUUUAUUGUACUUUUAUUUAAAAAGAAGAAAUAUGAUUGGCUUGUUAUUAAUGACGUUGUGCAAAUGUGAUAGUGUAGAAUUUCUCCUAAACUGUAGGGCAGUUUAACAUUAGUUCUAUCAUUACUUUCUUUUCCUAAUUAUAAGUUUAUAACUUUUCAAAUUUAAAUUUUUUUAAAUUGCAUGAAUUUAGUAAUUGAAUAAGAAAUUUUGCUAAAUUCACCUUAACUUUUAUUAACUUUAAUUGUAAAUAUAAAGUGAAAUUGUAAUGGCUAUUAGACAAUAAGUGGUGACCAGAUAAAACAAAUUAACUUCUAAAGCUAGAAUAAUUUUAAACAAAAAAAAAAUUAUAUAUAUAUAUAUAUAUAUAUAUAUAUAUAUAUAUAUAUAUAUAUAUAUAUAAUAAAAAAAAAUCAACCCACCAUAUAAGCAACAUAAACAAAUUAUCUCAGAAGACNAUAUAUAUAUAUAUAUAUAUAUAUAUAUAAUUAAAAGAACUUAUUUCAAAAUGGCCUCUCGUUGAGGGAGCAGUGACGUGUGGUCCCCACAUAAAAGUGUGGGCUCCAUUUAACUGUUUUUUUGGCCCAACAGGUCCACAGGGAUAUUAUGGGCAUACAGGGAUUAAAAAUGGCUAUUGCGGGAAUAUUAUUAGCUCACGUGAUGGGAAAUUAUUAUUAUUGCAGGCAUUAAUGCAUCAAUUUGAAUCCACCACAUCACCGUAUAGUUCGAAUUUUGGAUUUUGUAGGUGUAUAUAUGUAGUUUAUUAUGUGAUUCUCGUAGUAGUUUGCAAAAUUUAGUCUUUGAUUUGGUGGGACUUUUGUGGUAUUAAUUAAGAGACUCCAUAGGGGAGCAAAUCAAAUUGUUAAUUUCUCUCCUUCAAAACUUUGAAAAAUAAAAGGUGGGUGUUCAUACCUUUAAUAUGAUAUACUACGGAGUAUAAACCUCUACAAAAGCACUGUUACUUAGUAGUUUAAUUAAGUUUUUGAAGAAAAAAUAAUUAUUACAGUUUAUUUAUUAUGAUAUCAGAAUAUGCACUACAACAGAAUUAGGUUAUAGGAACACAUGUUUGGGACACUUUUGAGUAAGUGUCCCAUUUAUGCUAAAACUUAAAAAAAUAUCUACUAAUGCCUAAAUAUAAAGCCCAAUCCAACCAAAAAUAAAAGAUUACUCUACUCAACCCACCAUACCCAGUCCAUUUGGCCCGAUUACUAACAGAAAAGAAAAAAAAAAAGAAAAAUCAAUUACCAUCUUUUCUUCUUUCUUCACUCAAUCCACUGAAAUUCUAGACGAAGAGCCUUUCCUGUCGUCCUCCUCCGCCACCGCAGCCAACAAGAUAGAGUUUCGACGGUUGCUAAAUGCUUAAAUAAGUGUUGGUAAAUUAGCAGCACUCUUUUAGGUUAUAGCGACACUCUUUAACUGUCACUAUAUACCUAGCGACCCCACAUAUAGCAACACUUUUUAAAAGUGUCGGUAAUUUUAGCUAGCAGCACUUUUUUAACAUGUAUCUAUAUUUAAAAGUGUCGCUAUAGAUCGUUUUUGUUGUAGUGAUGGGGUUUCGAAUUCAAAUUAUUUAAUUCAAAGUUCACGUCUCACUGUUUUCUAAUAGCUAACUUUAUCAAUGAGACACAAGAUACAACAAGCUUAAUGAUAUCAAUGCUUGAUUAAAUACAUAUUGUUUUACCGGCCUUUUUCCUUAUCUAAAUUUUUUUCAUAUUUGCAGGAACUUUCUAGAGGAUUAUUUAGAGGUUGCAUAAGUUCGUUUUAAUAGCUAGCAAUUGAUCAGAAGCACAUUUCUCUGUCGACUAGUCUUGUAGAUCAUGCCAAAUCAACUGUUUAUUUUUUUUAUAAGUGAAAAUUUUGACUGUUUUUUAGGGGGGUUAACAUCAUCCUGAUAUCACAUUAUAAAAUUUGGCGAUUUCUUUUAUGCGUUCUUAUCUUUGAGUUGUAAACUAGCGAAGGAAAGACUUGGAUGACAAUAUCUUAAUAUCGCAACGUCAUAUAUUACCGAAGGGAUCGUAGUAAGAAGCUUCACAACGCCUUGUUGUAUAACCUAAUCCUCCUCGAGCUCCCUUAAUCUAACAUAUAUAUAUAAGCAGUAUAUGUAGUCUUAACGGCGCAUCGGUACACUUUAAUUGAUGAUAUUUAUUGAUCUUACUGACGAGGAUAGCGAGGACUCAUAAUAUAUAAAUAAAUAUAAUUGAUUUAUGCACCUGUAUGCCAUGUAUUUGUAUAUAUACCGUAAUAUAAUCUAGAUAGGUAGAAUCUGCUGCUUCUGCAUCUGACUAAUAAUGGCAGGCGUGACAUCGAAGACAUGUAUGAAGUGAAGUAUACUUUUUUGCAGGAUAUAAAUGGAUCAAAUCCAUUGAUAUCGUUUCCUUAUAGAAGAAUGAGCUUUGAACGCAGCAGAACUGCAUUAUUAAUGAUUGAACUGGAGCAGGUCUUUUGACCCCCAAAAAAAAAAAAAAAAAAGAAAGAAAGAAAGAACGAAAGAAAGAAAGAAAGAGACGAAACGAAACGAAACCUUAUCCAAUAUAUAUAAAUAUUAUUAGUUAGAUAUAACUAGUGGUAAUUAUUAACAGUGGUCCUAUCUAAGACAGAGAGUCACACUCGUGGGCUCCACAGGCCACGAAGGUCGGUCCAGCAGUUGUCGAAGCUCGUGGGCCACGUCGGGCCCACAAAUGGUCAUCUCAUUUUAGGUUGCGAAAAGUUGCAUUGCAAAACAUUAUGCAUCAAAUAAAAGGACUUGUUUGGUAAUACAGAUACAAUUGAGCAAUAAGGAGUAGCGCGAAAGUGUAUUGUUAUUGAAUUCAGUGAGAUCUAUACAAUAUGUUAUUUUUUUUUUAAACUGCACCUUUUGGUCGUACACAACGCCCGGUGAAGGAAAACACAAGUUCAGGAGCUAAAACAGAUGGUAUCAGGUCCAGGAGGGCCUAGUUCUAAAUUGGACCGCUAGCAUUAUAGGCAAAUAUUAAUUACUUUUAAUGGCGCGCUCUAUUUGGUCGUUCAUGAUCAUGUGUAGAUUCAUAAAGCGUAGGGCCGUGCUCUUGUGUAAUUAUGUUGGGAUACAAAGGAAAUUAAGCAACCUUCAAGUCGGGUGCACCGUGCACGUGCAUGGUUUAACUUGGUGUGGAUGAGAAAGUAACUGCGCACCUGCUAGAGAUUUAUAAGAGUAGCUACGCCCAUGAGUUUCCGGGAAAAUCUGAAAAGGAUGUACAACACAGAAAAAGAAAGAAGCAAAUAAGAGAAAAAAAAAAAGAAAAAAAAAAGAGCAUAAUAAUGUAGUAAUGUAUGUACGUUGUGGACUAAAAAUUAGACCAUGUCUGUUAUAAAGAGAGUUCCUAUUAUAAUGACCUCUUGGAGGCCUAAUAAUGGGCUGGGCUUCGUUGAUUCUGAACGUAUUAUGGAGCUGGGCCGGGCCCAUUAACAUCCCAAAUUACACGAGAACUAUAUAUGGUGGUUAUUAACGUGCACUAAACAUUCUUUCCUGCAUACAUUUUAAAUGAGGAAAGGAGUUCACAUUAUUUAAUUGAACGACCAGGUCAAAUCCCUACUGAAAAAAUUAAUAAAUUUUUACCUGGCGGGUAUCGCACGCAAUAAAAUAAAACUGAAACAAUGGCCAGAUGUUGGAGCGAGUGCCCGUGUAAAAUAAAACCUUCUGGGCAAGCUAUCUAACUCAUUAAGGGCAUAAUUAAAGACCAUUGACUAGGACUAGUCAUAUUUAUUAGCCACAUCAAUGGCAUGUCAGAGUCUUAAGUGCAUACAUGCAUCGUAAGCCAUAAUAAUGUUAAGUGUCACCAACCGUCCCUAGAGCAAGUAGCAAAGAAUUUGACGGUUGGUACCCGAGAUCCAAAUUCGAAUCCUAUCUGAUUCACAUUUCUAGCUAAGUUUAUUUCUAAAUAAAAUAAACGAAACAGAUAACGUGCUAUCUAUCUCUCUCAAAAAAAAAAAAAAAAAAUGUUAAGUGUCUUCUCUAGCUGUGAAAGUUUCGGGAUUAAGCAAAACAUUAUACUUUAUAUGCUUGGGAUCUGCAUAAUUUUGUGUUAGAUUAGUUGAACAAGAUUUGAAGGUCGAUCAAUUGAGUUUUGAGAAGAUAUUCUCAGAUGGAGCAUGCGAUAAGAAGAUAAGAAAACAUUAAUAUCAGCCUAACAUGAAAAUAUUCUGACAAUAAUUUUAACAUAAAUAAGGUUGACGAGAAGAAGUAAACAUUAAAAACUUCAGCCUGACAAAUAUAAAUAACUAAUAAAAAAACUGAAUUACCCGACCAACUGUGAACAUAAGAAAACACCUAAUCCUGUGACUCAUUCAGGAUGUUUUGACAAAAAAAAAAUAAAAAUCAAAAAUAAAAACACAAAAAAUCAAGGUGGUGGUGCAGUGAAACUAUCUACCUUCUUUGCUGUUUUCCACUUGGAACGGUAAAGCGCUUCGAAUUAGGUGGCGGGUCUAUGAUCGACCACCCGAUUGUCCAUUAUAACAACUAGAAGAACAAACAAAGAAGGGUGAGAUAGGAAGUGUAAUUAAGAAAAAGUAAACAAAAAAAAAAAAGGGAAAAUAAAGGAAAAAAGAAAAGGAGAGAAAAAGGAGUAUAGAGUAGUUUUUUUUUUUUUUUUAAAUUACUAGCUAGAAUAUUACUAGCAAAACAAAUUCAAUGUGAUUAGCUAGAUUUUAGAAUUUGAUCAAGCAUUAAACUACAUAUAGAUCGACCUUGGUUGGAAUGACCCAAUUUGAUUUGAUUUGUUAGCUUGGAAUUGGGUAGUGGGUGGGGUUUGGUUGGGUUAGCAUCGUCCAGUCAAUCUAACCGAGUUGCUCUAAUCAUAGGAAUUAAUAAUUUAAGGGGUGGGUUAGAGCAAGUCCAACCAUAUUUGGUGGAACAUGUUUGGCAGUUACUUAGCCGCGCAUAGUCUUCAAAAUUGACCGCGGUCCUUUUCAGUUGAUUUAGAAUUAAAGAAAAAUACUAUCCAGUGUGAAUUUUACACACGCUUAUCUGAGGAUAAAAGCUUCUCAUAGCUAGAUUAAUGGACAAUUAUUAACUUUUUAAUGACUAAAAUAUAAGAUUUAUUUUAUGUAUAUAAGUAUAUAAAUAAAAUUGUUCUUCUUGCAAAUGCUCUAUAAAAUAGUUCUGCACGAUAUAUUGUAUUUGGUUAGUUUCAUUUAUCUUGGAUGGUUGAAAAUUAACUUCAUUUGCGUAAAAGAAACUUGGCCAUCCUCAAAAGAGCACGCCAUGGUUGAUAUCAUACCUCGCGAACGAGUAAACCAUUGACCUAAAAAAGAUUUUUGCUUUGAAAGUGGGACAGUGGAGGAAGCUUCGAACCAAUUUUCUGAGCAUUGCAUAGAAAAAAAAAAAAGGACCAUUUGAGAAACUACUAAGGUAGAUGUUUGACUUUGAGAAUUAAUUUCCAUUGGAGAAUAUAGUUACACAUGUUUCUAAUUAAUGUUUAUAGAUGAGUUGUUAUGCCGAUAACACAAUUUGGUUGUACGAGAGGAAAUUGCUAUUCCCGUGGUUUGGCGAGGAAUAAUAUUUGGCAACUCACCGACCGUCCCUAGAACAAGUGGCAAAGAGUUUGGUGGUUGAUAUUCGAUGUCCCAAGUUCGAAUCCUAGUUGAUUCACAUUUCCAGCUAAGUUUAUUUUUAAAUGAAAUAAACGAAACGGGUAGCGUGUUACCUAUCUCUAAAAAAAAAAAAAAAUUGGCAACUCAUUCAAUUAUCAUAUCUAUUAUCUAAGAAUAAAAAUGUAUAAAUUUAUUCUCUCAAAAAAAAAGAAUAUAUAAAUUUAUCUAUUUACCUCCUAACUUAUGUAUGAUAUUUGAAUCAUAAUUAACAUUUUCCAGUAGAAGCGAGUAAUGAAUAAUUAUGUUGAUGUCGUAUCAUUACCAACUUACCUCUUGGCGACUGAAAUAUAUAUAGAUGCUGCCUCAUUCUUCUGCUAGUCAAAUUAAAUCAUAAAAUUAGGCCUCAUUUAGUAUUAUAUUUAUUUUUUUAUUUUUUUAAACAGAACUUUAUAUAUCAAGAUGUGUAGUAGUGGACAAUAGAUUACUUGUGAUCAUUUUAUUAAAAAUCUUUACUUGAACAACAAAAAUAAUUUAAAAAUAUUUUUUUACCUCUAAUUUAAUUUUUUAAAUAAAUUAUUAUUUAUUUUCAGUUAUUAGUGCAGUGGCAAAGGAUAAAAGAUUUGAUGAUUGAUAUCCGAGGUCUUAAGUUUGAAAUCUAAUUGCUUCACAUUUCUAACUAACGAAUAGUAUACUAACUUUUUCUCUAAAAAAAAUACUUUUAUUUAUCACAAUACUGAAUAUAUUAUAAACUAACCAACUAUAAUAAUAACAAAAAAAAAAAUAACAUAUUAAAUUAUAUAUAUCUAGUAUUUUAGAAAGUAAAAAAAAAAAAAAACCAAACGUGACGUUUUAUAAUAAAUUAACUCUUUAGUUGUCAAAAGAAAAAAAAAAAAAAUUUGAAGUGUUCCACAUUCUUAGGUUGAACGAAAUUUUCCGAACUCCGCAGCCCUUACCGAACCGGACCGCCGUAGACCGAACUCGCACAACCCCCGUAAGCCACGUGGCAGCCUCACAGGCUUCGACGGCUCUGAGGAUCUCCCAAGUUGCAAUCCCGAGUACCAAUUCUAACGGUGGGUCACACGUGAAAUGACAAAACUACCCCUCCCUCCGCCACUAAUCCACUAUGGUCACGGAUGCCAUGGUCAACCGUUUACAAAUCCCACGAGAUACCCCUCAUGCUCCCACCCCUCAAGUCCUACCAUAUUACAUUACCGUCCAUCCCACUUUUCCUUGGCGUGCACUUCUUCCGAGGCCCCCCCUCUUCUUCCCCGCAAAGCAACCCUUUUCUCCCCCCACCCCUCUCUCUCUAUCCUUCAUCGAGACGCCAUUUCCGUACUCGUAAGCUUUUUCCCAAACAAGUAUUUGUUUAUUGGCGAUCGAAGAGCGAGAUCUGAGUUCCUCACAAGUGCUUUUGCUUAUCGAGCUCGAGAUCACUUCUCCGCCCCCAAGUCGUAAUCAGAAGCGCAUUUUUUUUGUUUCGAAGAUGUUGGGGGACUUCCUCACCAAUAUACUUGUGUAAGUAUGAUCAAAUUCGUUGCAGUUAUCUGUCGUUCUCGUUUUCCUUUAAUUUGAUCCUUGAAUUGAUCCGCGAUAUGAGCUUUUGUUGUUUUUAAAUAAAAAAAUUGGGGAAAUGAUAAUUGUUGUAGGUUGCUGUUCGGAUACGCUUAUCCCGCAUUCGAGUGCUUCAAGAUGGUGGAGCAGAGACCAGGCCAGAUCGAGCAGCUUCGAUUUUGGUGCCAAUACUGGUAAAUUUAGUCCUGUUUCUUCAAAUUAGUUACUCUGUUUCUUCUUUUUUAAAAAAAACAAAGAAAAGAAAAGUCCUGUUAUUUUUGAAGCUGCGAUUAAUGAAUAAAAACUUAGGAGUUUCUAUAUAUGAUGAUUCUAACUUGUUAUGAUUGGUUGGUGGGGCUGAUUCUAAUAGUACAUGAGAGAGAAUUAGCUUGGAGAUUGAUUUCUUUGAGGAAAUAAAAUUUAAUCUCAGAGGAAUAAUUAGUCAAUGUUUUGAGCUUAAUUUUUUUGCCCCGUUUAUUAGGGAUUGAUUUGAUGCACAAGGUUAUCAUAGGAUGUGGGGUUCAGUUAAAUUCAAUGACUUGGAAUAGGAAUUAUGUGGCUCUCCCCUGAUUCAGAACAGAGACUAGUCAAUUUUGUUAAACAGAGACCUAGUCAUUUCCAACUCCUCUUUUUUAAAAUUUUUUUUUAUUUUUGAAAACUAAGUAUGUCUCCGCGCUUGAAAUGGACCAAUUCAGAGAUAGAGAUUUGAGACAUGCCUGAGAGAGCGAAAAUGGAUCCGGCACGGAUCAAAGAGAGGACAAAUCACAUCUGAGUUCAUUUUCGUAAUCUUUACCCUUUUCUUUUCUUUUUUUUUCUCUCUCUCAAAAAAAAAAAAAAAAACUUUACCCUUUUUCUUUUUUUAAGUCUUGAGUUCACUUUUCCUCCAGGAGUGCAAACAUAAAUACAUAAAUUAAUGGGCUUGCUAGUGUUGGAGACAAUUGAUGAUUAACCGGAUAGACAUAUUAAAUACCCAUUUUCAGUCUUAGCUUACACAGUUAUAAUAAGUUAGUUACAUAAUGAAUCAGAGAAAUCUAAAAGAUAUGAGUUAUUCUUUAUGCUUGUUUGUUUCCCACAGGCGAUUCUGGUUAUGUUAAGAAUUUCUUUUGCUGAGCUUUUCGCUAACUAUAUGUUGUGAUUUGCUUCUUCUGAGUCCUGCUUUUGGGUUUUUGCUUUUGCUGUAGUUUUUAGUUCUUUAACUCUUUUUAUCUACUUCUCCUUUUUCUUUGGGCCCAUUUGGGCCUUUCCCGGGCCCUCCCUGUGUGUUUCGGCUUUUCUCAGAGCAGGUCCAGAGUUUUUCAGCCUAUUUCCUCCCUCAGGAAAGCAAAAGGCAAAAAAAAAAAAACAAAGAAAAGAAUUUCAAUUGUUGAAUACAUCUUGAAUAACAAAUCGGCAUUGUAUCUAAAUGUUGGGAUUUUUUGGUCGUACAACCAGUAAUAGGGUAACGAAAUUGUAAGGUAGUUUAUGUCUCUAAAAUAACCAAAAGUUGGAGACAAUCUUCGGACCAAUUCAGGCAAAAAGGGCGUCACAAAAAUCAGACAAUAGAUGUACCAUCCUCGUUCAUUGUUGCAAGUUUUUAGUUACCAACAGAACAAAAGCUGAAAAACUAAUGAUCAUCUCAUAGAAAUGGAUUAGUAGAUUCGGAGAUAAACAUGUAGGAGGAAAUAAAUGCAGUUGCAGUGGAAAAGGGUGUGAAGGGGUUUCAGCGGAUAACUAAUCAGGGCUCAAAACAAUUAUAGCUACCAAACAAGUAUUUCAAAAUUCAUACAGCACCUUUUCCUUUCGCUGUUCUACAUUUUCUAUGAGCUUCAAAUGUUUCCGCCAGCAUGUGCUCACUUUGCUUCUGCUACACCAAACUGCAGGAUUAUUGUUGCAAUCGUCACAGCGUUUGAGAGGCUAGGAGAUGUAUUCGUAUCAUGGUAACAACGAUUCAAGUUGUUAAUAAUGGUUUCACUUUUGCCGGUUGAUGCAAUUGUUUUAACAACCUUUUCUUUGUUCAUGAAAGGUUGCCAAUGUAUGGAGAAGCAAAGUUAGCCUUCUUUGUCUACUUGUGGUACCCGAAAACAAAGGUAAUCCGAGAACCCCGCCAAAACUUAUAUCAACGUAACAUUGCAGUAAAAAGAAGGAUUUCGCGUCAAUAUUGGAAACCUCUUCUUAUUUACAGGGCAGUGAUCUAGUCUACGACACUUUCCUGCGGCCGUUGGUUAUGCAGUAUGAGCCAAAUAUCGAGCAGAGGUUGCGGCACCUGAGGGCUAGAUCGGGGCAGCUGCUCAUCUUCUACAUCAAAAACUUCACCGACAAAGGAACGCAAAUGUUCCUCGAGGUCCUUAAAUAUGUGGUCUCUGAGAAAUCUAGACUAGUAGACUCCGAGGUAAUUUUUUUUGCUUUUACUUCUAUGCUUUAAUUCUGUUAAUGCAUUGUAGGUGUCGAUUUUGUGCAUCUAAGUCGUCGGAUGAGUUUUGCCUGGUAGUUAGAGGACAACAUAAAUAUACUUAUAAUUAAGGUGAUAAUGAUCGAAGCUGUCCUAGUUAGUUACUGGUUUGUUGACCGACUUCUGCUGACAUUGACCAAAAAAAAAAAAAAAAAAAAUCUGCACAGCCAAAAUAAAACAUCAUUGGUGAUGUAUUAAUUUGUAAUUAAAUAUAUCAAAUAUUUUGAAUACAUUGACCAUGAUGGAGAAGUUAAGUUUGAUCCAAAGUAAUCCUCUAUUAUUAAUUAGUAGUGCUUAAAAUUAGAACCUAUAACCGGCCAAGUUUCCGAGUCGACCACCUCACUUCUUUUCCAUUUUGGCAUGAGCUUACACUAGGAUAACCAUACAUUGGGAGAGUAAGUGUUCUUAGGACUCUUCUUUGCCUCUUAAACACAAAAUUAUCAAAAAAAUAUGUAUUGCAAGUUAAGCGACGUGCUCAGUGGAUGAAUUGGUAGAGCGGAUCCAAGUAAUAAUCUCUUCUCUUUGCCAACCACACACAUGGCUGAACAGAGCAACAGACGCAGGCAUAUCCUGCUACGCAACUCUCUAUUUUUGGGGCUUUGUUUUGCUUCCCAGUGGCUGUGGGCUCUUUUAAGGCUUAUGGUAGAAGCGGAAUUAUAUCGUGUAGGGGAAAUGCGAUGGUGACACAUAACAAAGCAAUAGCGAAUCCAAUCCAAGAAUUGGACCCACCUUGUUUCCCCCCCCCCCCUAAAAACUUUUGCUCUGUAGCAACUAGACAGUGCCAAAUCAGUUGAAACCAACCAUUCAAGGCAGCGCCACCUCUUUCACUUCCUUUAUUAUAAUUUUGUUUUAUGCCAUGUUUAUUUUCCUAACGCUCAAUCUCUAACAGGGGAACAAGCGGUCGGGAUCGCACCCGAUCACGAUCAAGCGGCCGACCGUCUUCGACGAGCUCACGGCCGACGAGUGGCGGCCGGAGGCUUAUGCCGACGCGGUUGAAUCCCCACGCGCUGCUGCACGUGCGAAGCCGCGGCGCUCCUGGUUCAGCAAGCACUAGGGAGGAUACGUGUGUAAAGUGAAACAGGAGAGUACAUAGAAUACAAUGUGGAUGCGAACUUGCCAAGAUAGGAUCAUGCAGAUUUAUAGAUGAAACAGUGGUGAUUGUUAUUUUCUUUUUGUAUUUUCUUUUUUCUUUCUUUUUUUCCCCCUAUUUCCUUUCUUAGCACUAAUUAUUAUUUGAUUAAAUUCACAAAUCCCUAUCUGUUAGCAUCUAUUUGUUCGUCCCAUUCUUCUAUCUAUUUACAAAUCAGGACGUAACCAGAAGAAAGAAAAAAAAAAAAAAAGUAAACCAAAAUCAAAUUCAACAAAUUGGAAGAAAUAAGAAAAUUGUAAUAGCGUGAGACGGCCAUCGCGAGCCUCGGUGCUUACCGCCGCCGCCGUUAUCGGCCGAAGAGGCGGCCGAGGAAGUCGAAGCAGGGGCCGAAGAGCGCGGCGGCGCCGCCACGUCCGGCGCCGCCGCUGCUGCAGCAGCAGGCGAGGGCGAGGAGGAGGCGGCAGAGGCGGCUGCGGCGGCGGCGCGAGGGCUCCCGCAUCGACGGCGUCGGCUGCAGGUAGGCGUACGCGGCCUGCUUCACCAGCGGGUUGCUGAUUCGGAUCUCCGCACAGCUCCCUCCUCCUCCUCCGCCGCCGCCGCCGCCCAUGGGGGAGUCGGCUGCGGCGGAGGCGGAGGAGUACCUCGGCGACGAGAGGAUGUCGCGGAGGCUUGUGUAUCCCCGCUCGGAUCCGAAGCUCCCGCUCUCUAAUUCCGAGCCGCCGCCGCCGCCGCCGCCGCCGCUGCCGUUGGGGAUCUCGAUCGCCGGGAGCACCGCGGUGGCCCUCCGCCGCAGCGAGGGUUGCUUCUUCUUGUCCGACGACGACGACGACGACGACGAUCUCCAGUGGCGGAGCUCGAAGUCGCCUUUGCGGCUUCGGCUCGUCUCCUCGCCUACCAUGGAAGGGCCCGCGGAGGAGGCGGAGGAGAGAAGAAGAAGAGGAAGAGGAGGAAUAGGAGGGGGUCAGCGGAAUAAGUAUCGAAUAGUUAAUACCCGAUCUAUAAAAUAGGUUUUUGAAAUUGAUGUGUGUGUGUAAUAAUAUUGUGGUUUAGGGCGAAAAGUAAGAGCUCCAGAAAAUUUGGGCCGUGUGAACGGGUUUUGGAGAGAUCGAGGGAGACGGGGACGAAUCGUGGCCGUCGGAUCGGAGGUGACCCAACCUGCGUCUGAUUUCUGAUGCGCUGUUGUUGGUGCGCUCAAUUAUUGGAUCCGCGUCAGCGCCUUAAUCCCGUUCUCUGUCACGCCGCUCACUAAUUAGGCUUUUAAUUUUUUUUUUUUCGGGGGGUUACAAUUAAUUAAUUAAAUUAAGUUAAUUACAAGUAAACAGCGACGAUCAGGAAGCUAAUUAAUUAAAUAAUGAUGUAAUUAAUUAACGAGGGAAGAGGUGGUGGCGUGGUGGGGCGUCCGAAUCUUGAUGCGAUUCGGAAUGGAGGAUGGGGAUUGGGGGUGCUGUACUGGGGCGGGUUUGACCCGGGUGGAGUUGGCCGCCCAGUGGAGCCGCGGGGAGUGGCAGACCCGAAGUUCAAGGUGUGGCCGCUCUCUCGUUGCAGUUCAGCGUGGGGCCUAUCAUGGUCGGAGUUCUCUACCAAACGUUUUAUCUAAAAUAAUAAAUAAUAAAUAUAUGUAUAUAAUGGAUCAUUAUCUUGUAUAUAUAAUAGUAUUAAAGAUUUACGAAAAGUGUUUUUCUUUUAUAUAUUAUUUCUAUUUAAAAUUAUAACAUUAGUCCGCGAUUAAUUUUUUUCUUCUCCAAUGGCUUACUAAACACCCAUAAAAUAUCUUGCAGAGAACACCACCCCAACCUUUAUCUGGAUUUAAUUGGUGAUAUAUUAUUUUUGUUUAAAAGCGUUGCCAAUGAAUUAAAAUGUUUAACUAAUUUCCGCUCUAUCAUUGUUGCGGAAUUUUUUUUUUUUUUUAAAAAACCUGUUAAAUUUACAUACCUGAACUUCUGUUCUGGUUUUCAGACAAUUAAACGCUGAUGAUGCUUAAUCUAACUUUUUAACAUAAUACAGGUGGCUCUUGGAAGCUUUUGCUGGACAAAACGGAACUGUUAACAACAAAAAAUGAGGGAUUUAAAAAAAGCAUCAAAUUCUGGAUCCAUCUCAUCAGCUGCACUCCUCUGAUCUCACAAAAGAAUACAACUCCCUGGCGAUGAGUUCGUUCGUCUGCUACACUCCAAUCGCUGUCCCACGCUCAAGCAUUUGUAUGAACAAAACAACCAUUAGAUCAUAAAAACUGCUUACCGAGAUAGAGACAGAAGAAAAUUCACCAAUAACUCAAAUUCCAUUUCACUUGGAACUCAGAUCCCAUUUUAAGCAGCAAAGCUAGUAAUCUGGCAAGGCAGCAUCUAAGCUCAGAAAGUAGCACUUCUUUACAUUAUAAGAUAAAUAUAGAAUAAGAAAACAACCUCUGCCCACCAAAAGUCUGGGACUUGCAGAAAGGUAGUCCAAUUUCUAGGCAAAAAAAAAAAAAAACAAAUGACAUUGUGAUCUACUGGGCGGACGGAUCUGCUUAGAUUGCCUAAAGUAAAAGAACCAACAAUGAGAAUAUACAUCUACUUGACCAACUGAGCAAGAUCGGGAUCAUUCGUGUCCAAAUCAAGCCAGCCGUAUAGGCGCAUGUACUCAAUGUAAUGAUCGGGAGGCUUUACAGCUCGAGGAUUCCUUGGAGCAAAAGCAUGCAACCUUCGUACAUCUCGGGCCAGCCAUCGAACAAAGGCUCGAUCCAAUGGAGGCAUAGCUCUUACUAAUAUUUCCUCGCGCUCUUGCUUCGCUGGCUUGUUCCCCAUCUCAACUCACAAUCUGAAGAGAGAAGGAAAAGUAAGGAAUCAAAUUCUCAGAGACAACUAUCAAUGGAAAGACGCGAAAAAGAAUUCAGCAUAUGUUGUUCUAAUAAAUGUCGGGAGCACAAAAGAAGCCUGCUAGCAAUUAUGAUAUAAGUUGGAUAAUAUCAACAAUUUUCACUAUUUUUGUUUUGUUCAACCACAACACAUUUCCCACACUGAGCAAUAUAAUCAGGCUCUUCAGUUCAACCAAAAAAAGACAAGAUACUUGGGUCAAUUGGCCUCCUUUAUUCUGUUUUUCUUGGUGUGCAAACUUGUCUUCUUCAAGAGCUACCUACCUGCUGCUGGUUUCAAAGAUUAUACUGAAAAAAAAAAAAAGAAGGAAGACACGCCUGAUCCAACAAGAUGUCGUUUAUUCUAUCUACUAGUGUGGGUGCAAAAUCAGAACAAAGAUGUAAAUUUAUGUUCGUCUCGCCCUUAAAACAAUACUUGAAGUGAAAAAAAAAACCCCUCGAAAAUGACACUCUAGAUUUCUCCACUAAAAAACUCAGACAACUGUCAGUUAACCUGUAUGCAAAUUUCUUUCUCUAAAAAGCUCAGACAACUGUCAGUUAACCUCGACACACUAUGAGAUCUCAGCACCGCAAUCGUCCGUUGCCUAAUCUCUCUUCGUUAAUCCAGAAACAGCAGAAAGAACCCCCAUUUCUAAAAACACAGACAUACUCCGCCAAGAAAACAUCCGUUAGCCGCUCGUUAAUUUGAAGCAGGCUCGACCUUUAGAUGCAAAUUAUUGUUCUUAGAAGAUCGAUAGUCCAGAUGUCGCUUGAGUCCGAGAAGACACCACGGCUCAAGACUUCUUCUUUAGAGACAGAUGUUGAACUCGCAGUUCAGCAAAUGUUUGUUGGAGCACGAAGAGACCAAACAAGAUGUAGACGAAGCAACGCAGAUCAUAAUUCCGCACUUUUUUCAUUUUGAAGAACUCUUUCCAGUUUCCACAAAUCAAUAGGAGUAAAUUCAUGUCGAUUCCGCAGCAAUCAUCUCAAAAGAGUCUACAAAAAUUGGCAUUACAGCAAACAAGUCUCCACUGAGUACAUGACAGAUUUUUUUGUUUUCCUAACCUACAUGGCACAAAUAUUACCUUAAAAAUCUGUAAAAAUGCUAAUUCACAAUUAAAACAUGAUCUGUGAAACGGAAUGCUGAGAUUCUAAAUCAAUUCUCGAAUUGCGUCGAAGGUAAUUGAAUGCGUGAGACAACCUUCCAAAGGUGAAUUAGGGUUUCGAAAGGGGCUAAUCUAAACAUAAUAAAAGGAAAAGAAAAAUUGAAAUAGUAAAGAUAAAUUGAGAUUACAGAAGGAGAAGAGAAAAUACAAAGAAUUUUUGGGUGAGAAAUUGCGUACCAACGUGGAGCCUUUGCCGGUCGAAUGUUCGCGUGCACCAAAGCAUCCGGGGGGGGGGUUCGAAGAUACAAGGCAAGAUAAGGAUUGAAUGGACGGACAGAUGGAUAGAUGGUGAUGAAAUGUCACCGUCGGAUCUCCUGGAGAAAUGCUGUGUGUACAAUUGUACAUACUGCAACAGAGCGUACACCUAACAUUUAUCUAAUAAUGUACAAAUUUAUCCAAGUUCUUUCAUAUUUUUUGUUAAAAAAUUAAUAAAAUAUAAAUAGAUUAUUAAUUAGAGCUAUCAAAAACUGUAUUGUGUACUUUACGCUCGAAUGUAUGAAUAGUAUUGCCAUUAGUAAAUUGGAAGAGCAGGAACAAAUUUUACAGUAAUCUUAAAUACCUCAUCAAAAUAUUUAUCAAUACGCAUACACUACAGCUAUAUGCACAUAAAAUUAUAUUAUUAUAUAAAUAAAAUUUAUAUAAAUAAAGAUGCAUGAAUGCCAUAAAAAUAAUGUUGAUAAAGCUGAAUGGUAUGCGUUGCAUUCCGUUUUAAUCAAUAAAAGGUAAUUUUUAAUUCUACAUACAUGCACGUACAAUAAGGGAGCAAAGCUGCAAAAGUUCUCUAUAUAUUGUAGAUGUGAUAAUAAAUUCAUAUAACACUCUAUGUAUAAAAUGGUUAAAAACUUUCACAUUAGUUUAAAGUUCGUAAUUAAUGUUUGUGCUAAAAUGAUUCAUAUAUAUAUAUAUAUAUAUAUAUAUAUAUAUAUAUAUGAGCUCCUAUAUAUGCUUUUAAAAGUACCAAGUUAUUGGUGCUUGUAGAUUUUUAGCCGUUGGAUUAAGAGAUGUGCGAUUAGGAUGAUGUGGACCCCCUAGGAUUGAGUGGGUGAUUAGUUGAAUAGUAUAAUCUAACGGUUAAAAAUAAUCCGAGGAGUAGAUCUGAAGGGUAAAAAAUUUACAAGCACCAAAUGCUUGGUGCUUUUACAAACACCAUAGUCGGACUCAUAUAUAUAUAUAUAUAUAUAUAUAUAGUCUUUUUUGAAAAAAAAAAUUUAUGCGUCAAAUAACAAAUUUCUCUUUAUAUGGAUAUUUGUGCUAAUUAUGGUUUCAUUAGAAAUAAAGCAACAAUUAAAUCAUAUAACAAAAUAAUUGUUGUUCUCCAAAAAUUUAUGGUAUUAAUUUUUUUUAUAUUUACAUUUAGCAACUCUCUUCCGGUUUCUCUCUAUUUAUUUACCUAUUUUCGUUCCCUAACCUUCCUUUGAGAAUUACGGACGGUUUCUAAUACAAAUGAUAAGAAAUUUGGUACUUGGUAUUUGAGAUCUUAUAUUAGAAACCUAAUUAUUUCAUAUUUCUAGUUAAAUUUAUUUUUUAAAAAAUAAAUAAAAUAGAUAGUAUGUGGUAUUUUUCUAAAAAAAAAAAAUCUAUGACAAUGAUGAGCCAAACUAUCAUAUAAGAACGUAAAAUAGGCAAAAGAGUGUAGAAAAUAUAAGAUCGCUAUAUAUAUAUAUAUAUAUAUAUAUAUAAAUAAUAAUAUAAAUUUUAAAACUUCUUAUGAAUUGAUGAACGCCCUACUAUCAACAAGAAUUAAAAUUUAUUAUUAGGCCUCAGAACUUUUCAAAAAAAAUUUAUAGUAUUACAAAAUUUUUCAAAUUUUUUUAAGAAAAAGCAGUACUUUUUCUCUUUUCAUACCAAAAUUCAUUUAUUCGCAAAAUUUUAAAAAACUUAUAGUCAACUAAUUAUUAUCUAGAUAUUAAUUAUAAUGUUAUAUAAUUAACUUAUAAAUAACUAUAAUGUUGAAAAUUAUUUUAAAUUAGUGCAAUUCUUAUUUUUAAUUUAAAUUCUAUCAUUUUAAAAAAUAUUUAAAAUUUUACAAAAUACUAAACUUCAAUUAGUGUCUUAACUAUAUAACCUUUAAUUACACUUUUGUACCAACAAAAUUUUAAAUUAAAUGACGAAUUAUGAUGAUGAAGGUGAAAAAAAUAUAGUGUAGUAGAGUUAAUUUCUUAAAACUAUUAAAACAAAGUUUAAAUAUGCAAAAUCAUAAAACAGAUAAUAUUAUUUGUUAAAAAAAUAAAGUCAUCUAAUUACUAUCUAGAUAUUCAUUACAAUGUUGUAUAAUUAAAUUAUAAAUCACAAUUGACACCGUUCCUAAAGUUGAUGGAUGAAGUCAUUAAUCACUUAAUAAAUAUUCGUUUUGAAAUAAGCGUGUCCCUUCGUUUUUCUAUAAUUGUCUUUUUGUUUUCUUAAAAUGAGUUAUGAUAGUCUAGAAUUGUAUGUGUCUUUUAGUAUUCCUAAAAGUGUCUUUUAAUUUCUCUAUGAAAUUAAAGAGUGCAUUAAUGUAUAGAGAAUAUGAAGGGUCAUUUGAGAGGCUAUAAAUAUGUAAUGAUUUUAUGAUGAAAAGCAAGUUAAGUUGAGUUGAAGUUUCUACUUUUAUUUGAGAAUAAGGAUUUCUUCUUCCUCCUAUCUCUUAGGCAGAUUUUCUGUGAGAGAAGAGUGUUGUUCAACCAUUGUGUUGGUGGAUUCCGCAUAGCGGUGAGUGUGCUCGAGUUCGACGUGGUGGAUUCUACGCCGGGUCGAGUAUUUAUCGUGUUAUAUUGGUCCUAUCUCCGCGUCCCCUCUAAGUUCCGGCGUCAACAAUAAUGUAGAAAAUUAUAUUAAAUUAGAUAUUUAUAAAAUUUUACAAAACACUAAACUUCAAUUAGUAUCUUAAGGUUAAAAAUAUAAUCUUUAAUUUUACUUUUAUACCAAGAAAAUUUAAAUUAAAAGACAAAUUUGAUCAUGAAGGAGAAAAAAAAUAUAGUGUAGUAGAGUUCAUUUCUAAAAAUUAAUAAAGCAAAGUUUAAAUAUGUGAAAUCAUAUAAUAGAUAAAUAUAAUUUUUUUGAAUUGUUUGGACUUAAAUUUAAAUACCUUUUUCCUUCUCUUGUAUACAAAAUAUAAUUGUGAUUUUGUUCCAAUAAACUCAUAAAUUACAUUGCGAAUUUCGAUGAGGAAGCUACAAACAAAAAUGUAGUGUACCAGAGUUAACCUUUAAAAAUCAGUGAUGUAAAAUUUAAAAUGCAAAAUCACAAAAUAGAUAAACAUAAUUUGUUUGAUUGUUUGGAUUUAAAUUUAAAUUCUGAUAGAUAAAGUUUAUUAGCUCAUGAUUGAUGUUGUGGACAUUUUCCAUCCUCUAUUAUUGAUAGGAAGUAAAAGAUUUAUUGAAAAGAAUAUUCAUCUUGUGUAUGAUAUUCUCUAUAGCCAAUAUUAAAAAAAAUAGUAGAUAAUUUAUAUUUAAUUUUAAAUUUUAAAAUAAUUUUUAAAAAAUAUAAUUUUUAUAAAUAGUUUAUUCUAAUAAUACAUAUUAUAGAGGUUUAAAUUGUAAUUUUAAAUUUAUAAAUUAGAAUGAUUGUGCUUUAUAUAUAUGGCUCAACAACCUUUAUUCUUCCGGUAGUGCCCAAGAAAUGUAUGUGCUCAUAGAAAUGAAUAGUUUAUAGUUUCUUCAAUUAGUAGAGAAAAAAAAAAAAUUAUGUGCAAUCCUUUUAUCUUUCAAGUAUAGGAGAAAUGGAGGUUUAAAUAUUUUCUUCUACAAACAAAAAUAUUAGAACUUUUUUAAUUAAUAAAGAAAUAAAAAAUUUAAUAUUUGAUUUCUUCAUCGUCUUGGCAUCCGAUAAACGUGGUGUGAAGAAUCGAGAUGUAUCUUCUCCAAGAUAUGAAAAAAUUCCUCCAAGAAACAAGGAGUUAAGAGUUUUGGCGAAAAUGUAUCUUCUCUAAAAAACGAAGAGAUUUCUUCAAGAAACGAAGAGAUUGAGGAGAUAUAUUUUGUCCAAGAAAGAAAGAGAUUUCUUAAAAAAAUAAAGAGGUUGAAUAAAAAAGUGUACACUUUAAAUAAAUGCAAUUAAUAAUUAUUAAAUAUUUGUAAAUUAUUUAUUUUUAUUAUUUCUCUAUUUUUUUUUUUUAUAUUAGUUGCCAUGGGCAAUGACAUUAAUUAGAACUUGAAUUUGAAGAGAAAAGAACUAUUAGAAAAAAAUAUUCUAAAUAUUAUGUGAAUUUCAAUCAAUUUGAUGAUGUUUAUUUAAUUGGUCUUCAUACACUUACUGAACAGUUAGUUUUGUAAAAUUAUUUGUUUAAAUUUUUUUUGUUAAUAUGUACUUUUUUUGAAUUUUUUUAAAAAUUGAUUAUUUACUUAUAUUUGAGUGAAUUGUAUACGAUAAAAUUGUACUUGUAGUAAUCUUUUUAAUUUACUUUCAUAUUUUUCGAUGAUUUGAUGAAUUAGUUGCAUAGUAACUUGCUUUCACUUUGUAAAUUAAUUGUCUUCUCUAAAAUAUUAUAUAAAAUAAUUAAUUAAUGGCUAAAUUAUAUAAAACCUCCCUGUCAAAAUCCGAUUUUUUACUUUUUUCCUCUGUCAUUUAAAAACUUACACUUUGCUCCGUUGUAAAAUAAAAAAUAGUCAUAAGAGGUAUGGUGUAAACUGUGAUACAAAAUAACCAUUUUGCCCCUCAUCAUUUUUGGCAACAGGAGAGAAGGCUGAGGGCAUUUUUGACAUAAAAAUAUAUAUAAUAAUAUUUUAUAAACAGAACCCUAACGGAUCACUAACGGCAGGGGGUGAAGUGAACAUUUUUCAUUUUACAAAAGGGCAAAGUGUAGGUUUUUAAAUGACAGGGGGAAUGUGAAAAAUCAAAUUUUGAUAGAAAAUUUUCUGUAAUUUAGCCUUAAUUAAUUAUCACUUUUAUCUUGUUAUUUUAAUAAAACUUUUGUUUUAGCACUUGACAUUUAUUUUGUAAUAACAACAAAUGGUUACAUCCUGACCGUUGAUAUUUCUAGGAAUACAAUUGAAAGUUUUAUUUGUUCAACUAAUAGUUGUUUUUUCUUUUCUAACAAAAUUUCAUAACUCAAUUAAGAGGUACCCAUAUAAAAUAUUACAAACUUUAAACAAAAUACACAUAAGUAUUAUAUAUAGAAAAUAUAGCAAAAUGAAAAAUAUAAAUUUGAAUCAAUAAGAAGUAAGAUUUUUUUCUCUAAAUUAUACUCAUAAAAAAAUUCUUGAAGACGAUGACGAAGUUUCAGUGAUGAAUAUCACCGAGUCAAAGUUUUCUCGCUUCAAAAAAAAAAAAAAAUCAUCAAUGACAACAACUAAGACAAUAAAAUUAGAAUGAAUUUAACUCUUCUUUCAUUACUUCAUUUUAAUCUAAUCUAUUUUCAUGUAUGGAUGUUCAAAUUUACGUUUUUAUUUUACUAUAUUUUCUAUCCAGUAUUUUGUUUAUAGUUUGGAAUAUUUUAUAAUUUUUUAAAUAUGACAUUACUAUUUAAAUAUAAUAUUAUUUAUUCAUUAAUUUAUUAAUUUAUUUAAUUAUAUUAGAAAAAUCUAUACGUGCAACGCACGUGCACUGACUAGUAUAUAUAUAUAUAUAUAUAUAUAUACACACACACUUAAUAAAACUCUCCCCGUUACGAUGAGCACCCAAAAUGUUCACAUAUACCAUCACUCCUUCCCCAAUUUCAUAACUGUAGCAGAAAAAAUUAUAAGUAAAGUAAAUAAGAAUAUAUAUAGAAAUAUAAGAAUAUAAUAUAUUUAUAAAAUGUUAACAUUUUUAAAAGGUAUAAAUGUAAGUAAAAAUUGAGUUCAUUACACCAUAAAUAACAGCCUUAAUUGUUUUAUCAAAUAUUCAAACACAGAACUAAAUUUAUUGUAUGAACAUUUUGUUACCAUAAAUAGCAUUCCAGCCAACUGUCAUCUACGUACCUCCUUCAUAAUAAUCAUGUGUUUGAAACUUUAUUAUAAUUUCUAAAAAGUUAAAUUCGAUGAACAUGCUGGCAACGCUUAAGCUACUUCUGGGUAUCCAACUAACUUACUAUACUCUCUCUCUAAAACAAUUUUAAAUCCGUGAAUAUUUUUAGCAAUCAAUAUUUGCUCAAGUAUAAAUAAAUUAUAUUGAGCAUCUCUCACGUGCUUUUUUGAACGCAUGAAGCUUUCUAUGCUUUCGUGUUGUUUAUGAUGAUGUGACAUUCAAUUCGAUAAUCGAUUUAGUUAUACAUGAUUUAUACUGUUAGAAUUAUCUAAAAAUUAAAUUUUAUAAUUUUUUAUAUCAUUUUCUAAGUAAUUAAAGGGUUUAAAAAUAACUAUUAUAACGACCGAUACGCGCGGUACAUGUUUGUUAGUUCAACCAUGUAGAAAAAUUCAAAUUAAAUUAAAAUUUAAUAAAAAGCUAUAAUUGCGAUCAUUAACAAGAUCAACACUUUUGAUUUGAAAUUUAUAUAUUUUUUUACUAAUUUUUAGGAAAUUUUUAUUUUCAAUCAUUUAUUUUCAAUUUUUUUGUUCACUAGGCAAGCGAGUCAUAAAAAUAUAAAACUUAAUUUUUAAAUAGCUUUAAUACUGUAAAUUAUACUUAACAAAGCUAAUAAUCAGAUUCAACCUUCAUCAUCAAAAAAAAUUUAAAAACACGAAAAUAUUUAUACUUUUUAAAAUAUUUAUACUUUUCAAAAUAUUAUUUCUUAGCUCCUACAAUAUGAACUUGUAAACAACCGUCCCUAAAGCAAGUAUUAAAUAAAAUAAAUAAAACGAAUAGCAUACUAUCUAUCAAGCUAAAAAAAAAAUAAAAUUGUAAUUAUAUAGUUUUUUUUUUUUUUUUUUUAAUUGCCCUCUCCCUGACAUAUAUUUCUUCCAAACUUCCAAUCCCCGUCGCUGUCGCACGUGAUUCCAAUCCAGCUGGUCCCUACUCUCCAAUCGCGACCUGCCCUUUUCGCCGUACUCUUCACACCCAGCCUCGUCGCGUGACAGAUCAUUUACCCAUCUCAAAACACCAAACACGGUGCAACCAUCAAAUCCAUCGUUACACGAAUAUUAACGUACACGUUUCCAUCAUCCAAGACCUUUCUACCCAUCUUCCUGUUCAUCUAGAAUACUAUUUCAUGAACCCGAUACCGUGAUUCGCGGAGCACUGAAAGCUACGAUAAGAAGCUUAUACGAUGCCUAGCUGUAAUGACCAAUUACGGAACAGUUCGGUUUAAGUUAAGCUAAUCCGCGAGUUAUUAUAACGAGCUCGAGUAAUGCACUAAUGCCUCUGAGAGGAAUUAGAUCAUUCCCUUCGAUUCCUACUUAAAUAAAGGCCGCGUGAUGAAUAAAUAUCCGUACGUAGCGAACCCCUACAUUUCUACGUCCCUUUUAUAGCGAAAAAGCCAUGGCGUGAAGUCCCAAGUUGAUUCACUUCUCCGUUCCCUUCUCCGAGAAACGAGCGGAGGCGAAAACCCUAACACACUCGCUCGUCGUCCUCGUCGUGUUCGUCGUCUUCUUCUUCGAUCCAUGGCGAUCCGGAGAUCGAAGUAGCAUGAUGUAGGAAUCGUCGCGUUUCGAGUAAGUCGGUUCGUUUCCAUGAGUGUGAGAUCUCUUUUCUCUUCUUCGAUUUAAGCUUUGCGGGUUUCGAUCGCUCUCGUUGCCAAUGUAUUGGGAUUUAGCGUUGUGAUCUCAUGUACGUUUCGAUGUGAGUUGUUUGAGCUUUGUCCUUGAGACUACUAUUUGAUUUGAGGAAGGAGCCCUUCUUUUUUGAUUUCCAGGACCUGGGUUUUUUAUGCGAUUUUGUAUUGCUUUUUGUGUUCAAAUCAUGAAGGGUGGGUCUUUUUUUACUUCUCUGCAGGAUUAAUUGUGUUAUUCUCGUUAAAAAGUGGUUGAGAUGUUACCUGGAGAAUUGGAGAAUGGCUCUUUCAAUGGUUCCUUCUUGAUACUUAAUUUGGGGAACAAUACAGUUGGAUUGGGGAACCCUUGCAUGUUUCCUAUUCCGCCCAAAUCUCUUCAUCAGAGAUCGAUAGAUGGGGCUCAUGACAAUUCAAUCUCUAUUGGGAACACAAAUGCUAGUUCCAAUAUUCCCACAGAAGAAUCACCUAGAGGAUCAUCGGAACAUAAGAGGAAUAAGAUGUUAUCUGAUGAAUCAGAUGAUCCUGACUGGGUGCCAGGGAUGAGGGCUAGAAAGAGAAGCAGCAGUCUGGCUCUCAGAGCAGCAAAACCAAAUGCACUUUCUCCUCCUGUCGGUAGUAACAAUUCUGAUAUUUCACAGAGAGGUUUCAAUGGUACAACUGCCUCAGGAACUGGACAGCCGCCGCAGUAUCUGGUGGGCCUUUUGAACUUCUUCGGCUGGAAAGUGCUUUUUCGACCUGGGUUUGAUGACUAUGUUUAUAUAUCUCCUGCUGGUAUCACUUUCUACUCCCUUCCGAAGGCUUUUGAGACCUUUCUACUUGGUACUUCCAAGUAUAAGGAGAAGCUGCCGGUGACAUCUGUUGGAGAAUUCCCUCUUAGAAGUGCUGAUAAUGGGAAGAGAUUGCAUGAGACAAAGAGGACGAGUUCAGUGGUUGGAGAGGGUGCCGCAGCUUCUAUGUCAAUUGAAUGUGUUAAUUUGACGCAAUUCUCACAAAAGCCGGACAAAGUGGUUGAGAAUACGAGAACCUGUACUGAAGAUAAUAAAGCGAAGAAGAUUGCAGCGAGCAGCUGUUUGAUCGCAAAUGAAGCCAAAACUUGCAAUGACGAUGCACAUGAUGAAAGGAGAAAUUGUAAAUUUAGACGAUCAGUUCGAAUAACUAGGGGAGACAUUAUUGGAGCAAGUUCUGUGGAUGCUGCUCAAACUAAGGCUGCAUCAUGUAGAACAAAAAGGGAUGCAGUGGGUGAUAUAGUAUCUGAAUAUCCAAAUAAUAAAGUUAGAAAGUCAAACUGUAGAGAUAUUGUUGUUUUAGAAACUGAUCGAAGAAACCAAAAGUGUGUAUCUAAUAAGAAGAAGUUGGCUCGUGUUUGGCGGUCUAGGCGCGGAAAUAGGAAACGUGUUCCCGUGGAUGCUGAAUUUAAUGCUGAAAAUAUGGUUCAUGACAACUUGGCUUCGAGCACGUCUGUUGAUAAUAAUGCUGUUAGUGGGAAUUUCUGUGCAAAUGACAAAGGCUCUAGUGGUGGAGACAAAAAACUGGGUUCAUCUAAUAUUACUGUUUCAUGUCAAUCUAUUUUUAGUGAUGAUUGUGCUAUAGCUGGAACUAGGAAAUCAAUGCGUAUAAACGGAAAACACGUUCCUGUUAACAAUGAAUUGGAGUGUGAAAUGGGUGCUGACGAUGGCAUAUUUGAGCAUUUUAAAUCUGCAACUUCCAGAGUAGCAAAGAAGGACAAGCAGGAAUUAGCAACUUCUGCUGAAGAUGAUGAAAUGGAUGUCAGCACUCAUGUUUCUGAUGAUAUGCAGUUCAAGCAUAGUGAUGCUAAGAACUUUGAUUGCCAAAAUUCCAAACCUCAUAGACAGUUGGAGAGUCACGACUCAAAGAAAAACCAUAAUAAUGAAAAGAUUCCAAUAUCUGAAAUGUCCUCUGCGAAAAGUCGGAAGACAGUUGUGAAAGAAAGUUUGAUCAGUGAGAAGAAAAAGGGGAAUCGAGCAUGCCGACUAAUUCUUAGGAGGAAAGGGAAAGACGACCGUAACAACAGAUCUCCUCUAGAAACAAAAUAUACUAUGCUGUCCUGGUUAAUUGAUGCAGGCGCUUUAACUGAAAAUGAGAAAGUUAUGUAUGUAUCAAAAAGCAAUACAACUAAUAUUCUUAGUGGUUUGGUGACUAGAGUGGGAAUUUGUUGUGACUGUUGUAAGGAGGUCAUGUCAUUGUUGAAAUUUGAAGCUCAUGCUGGUAGUAAUCUUCAGCAACCUUGGAGUAACAUUUUCCUGAUGUCUGGAAAAACUCUAUUACAAUGCUUAAAAGAAGCUUGGGAUCAGAAGAAGAUGGAAAGCCAAACUGGUGUUGAAACAGUAGGAAUUGAUGAUCUGGAUCCUAGCGAUGACACGUGCGGGGUUUGUGCAGAUGGUGGGCACUUGAUAUGCUGUGAUGGAUGUCCUUCUACUUUCCAUCAAGAAUGUUUGAUGCUUAAGGUUAGACUACGAUGUUUUUUUUGCCAUUCAUUGACAUCCGUUUUAUUUUGGAAUAACUAAAUAAUAUGCUCGCAAAUUUGCAGAAACUGUAGAGAGUGAAAGUCGGGAUGAUAAUCCUAUGAUAGGACCUAGAUCCUACAUAUAAAAGUUAAGAGCUGAAGGUGAACAUAUGAAAACUAUAAUUCCAACUGUGGUAGGAUGAACAAUGAUUUAUGAUUCUGUUUUAUUAUUUCCAAUUUUACCAGUAUGGAAAUCUUGAUGACUAGUCGGUGACACGUAUAAUCCUCAAAUGCUUUUAUUUUGUAUAUGUUCCUUUCGUAAGUAUUAUGGGAUUUCUCCUCCCGAUUGAAUUGUAUCCUCUCUCUUAAGUUUUUACUUUUGUUGUACGGUCAGAGGAUUUCAUUUUGUUGAAAUCCAAGCAUAAAUUGCUAAUUGGGCUCUUUUGUUUUCCUUCAGGUUCUUCCAGAAGGCUGUUGGUACUGCCCUUACUGUAGAUGUGCAAUUUGCACAGCAUCAGAAUAUGGAUUGUAUGGAGUUCCUGAGACUUUGAAAUUGCUCAUAUGCAAACAAUGUGGCCGUAAAUGUAAGUAGACGACGUCAUCACUGCAUAUAUGUUUUACUUUCGCUGUUGGAUGCUUGUUGUCCUGAAAACAUUUAUUAUUAUUAUUAUUAUUAUUAUUAUUAUUAUUAUCUUUUACUGAUAUGGGCAUAAAUCCCUCUGCAGAUCACCGAAAAUGUUCAUCAGGAAAUGAUACACUUGAAAUGGGUUUAUUCUGUGGGGAGAAGUGCAAAAAGGUAAAUAUUGCUUUCUGCCUUACAAGAACACAUUUGCUAUUCGAGACAACUAUCUUUAUAUCUGUUUCUCAACGAAUUUCUUGUAAUUACUCUUUCCAUUUCAGUUGGCGAAUCAACUAUCUAAUGUAAUAGGUGUUACAAAUCAUAUGGAAGGUGGCUUCUCAUGGUCUCUUUUACAAAUUUUUGGUGAAGAUGAGGCAGUAUGCUCUAAUUAUAGAAUGCCCUUUAUACUGGAAUGCAAUGCCAAACUUGCCAUGGCUCUCUCUGUGCUAAACGAGUGCUUUCUUCCUCUGAUUGACCGAAGAACAGGCAUGGACAUGAUUGGCCAAGCAGUUUUUAGCCGUGGGUAAGCUACUUAUAUCUUCUUAAUGAAUUCUGCCGAUGAAUUCUCAUUGCAAACAAUUCACAAUCCUCCAUACAUCAACUGUUACAGCAACUUUCCUAUAACAUUCACACACACUUUUAGCAGUUAGCCUAUGCAUUUUUAUAUCUUUCAUUUGCGCUCUUUUUAUUAAUGCUUUGAUGUUAAAUUUGUUUUUGUUUCAUUAGAUCAAGGUUUGACCGGCUCAACUUCCAAGGAUUUUACACAGUGGUUUUGGAGAAGGAUGGAGAAAUUAUUUCAGUAGCUUCAUUAAGGUAUGGACUUGUAUCAACAUUUCCCUACUUUUUGUUUCUUUUCUGUCACAUUCUUUUUCUUUUGCGCUUUUAUGUUGAUCCACUAUUUCUUUCUGGAGAUGGAACAUUUUGGCUCAGGAUUUAACUGCGGCAGAUUAGCUAUGCUCUUAAACAGUCCUCCCAGAUCUCCAUCAUAAUCCUUCUUAUAAGCUCCCUUUAUUUUACACUCUUUUGAUCCUUUAACAGGUUUCGAGGGACAAAUUUUGCAGAAAUGCCCUUUGUUGGUACACGACCGAUAUACCAGAGGCAAGGAAUGUGUCAUCGCCUUCUGCGAGCUGUCGAACAGGUGCCCAAAUUAUUUCCAAUACACUAUGAAAUUGCUUGUCCUCAUAUUUUUAACCUACGCAAACUAUUCAAACUAAUAUUUGUGUCCUCUUUUUGCCUCCUCUUCGUUGAACGUGGUUUCUUUAAUUUAUAAAUUAAGGUUUCAAACCUGAUGCCUUUCGGGUACUCAUUUGCUCCUUAAAUCUAAAUAAAUUAGAUCUCUUUCCAUGCUUGUCCUCACACAACCAAAUUUUUUAUUCGAUUACCAGAUGUUGUCGUCACUGCACGUAGAAAAGCUAGUAAUUCCUGCCAUACCUGAUCUAGUGGAGACAUGGACUCGGUCGUUCUCCUUCAAACCCUUGGAAUCAGCUCUGAAGGAUGAAAUCAAGAACCUGAGCUUGGUGGUCUUUGCAGAGACAACUAUGCUAGAGAAGCGCAUAUGCAGCGCAGCAGCAGCUCAAGAAGAGGGUAUCUUUCAUGCUUUGCCCUGUUUUUUUAUUCAAAAAUCAUGUCUAUAUCCUAAGUCGUUCUAUAUGCUUCCUUAGCAGGUGAUUUGCAGACUAAUGAAAUCUGUAGCUCUGCAACAGGCGCAGAGGAGGCCAAGGAACAACCGGGCUUUUGCGGUACAGGGUGGUGGACCCUCUCCUUCACUGCAGCUAAUGAUGCUCAACAUAAUUCAUCCGUUGCCCAUAUUGACUCCAUAUAUUGUGCCCUUUCCUUCGACGAUCUUAUCAAAAUCAGAGACUGAACCGCUUUUGCUGCAUGAAUUUUGUGCUGUUACUCAGGGUAUCAGGGUUUCUUUCUACACAAUUUUUGUCAGCUAUAGUUUUCUAUGCUGUUUUUAACUAGGCAAAUAGAGAAUAUAAAGAGCUUGUAAAGUCACGAAAUUGCUCUACAUGAAGUGACAUUUUGUAAAGGCUCGUUGGUUUUGUAUGUAGUCUUAUCCGUGAAAUUUGUUUUCCAGUGUUUGCUUGAGUUGGUAAUAACAGCAAAUAUAGCAGAUUUCAGUAUAUACGCAUCUGGCUGGAAGUGUUGAGACAUUUCAAUUUCGUUCGAGCUCCUACCACUUUUGCUGUAUUCUCGAACAGUUUUAGCAAAUUUUGUGAAGAUGGGGUUUUUUUUUUUUUUUUUUUUUUCCCUCAUUAUGGACCUAUGGUGAAAUACUCUCUCCAAAACUUCAUUUUGCAUUAUAAUAACUGCGAGAUUGGUUAGUUUGUUAUCUUAAUUUCGUCAAUCAUGUAAUAAGUAGGGUAAUGCUAAUUGUUAAAAGAUGAAGUCCCUAGAAAUGGCCCCUUGCGGAAACAAAAGCUUAUUAAGAGAUGCACGAGAAUUCAUAGGCUCUAGCGCAGCUGUUUUGUUAAUGGGCCCAUCUGCUACCUCAGGCCCAAAUAGUCGCCCAUUCAACAGGGCCGCAACAACAACAAAGUGGGCCCGCUCGCGGAGAAGCCUAGAGCUCGGAGGCACACCCGAUAACCCGUUAAGGAUCGAUAAUCGCCUUUUGGAAUACGCAGCGGCAACUGGCUAGGGUUCCGUCCAUUCCAUGCAGCGGCAACUGGCUAGGGUUCCGUCCAUUCCACGGUUCUCUCCCGAUUCUUACUUCCUCGCUUCUCAUCAAGGUGAGACUCUGCAACUUCUUCUUCCUCCUGAUUUAAUAUAUUAUAUAUUUUUUCUUUCUUUAUUGUUGCGGCUUCUUACUCUGAAUCUCGGUGUUGAUAACAACAAGGAGGCGGCUCAAAGGAUUGAUCAACUAAUCGCUAUGAUUAUUCCAUUGCUAUGAUCAACUAAUCGCUAUGGAUCCACACUAUGGUCCAUAGUAAUUUAAUCGAGACAAUUUAUAAAUAUAAUCAGUUUGUAUGUAAAAAAGAGAAUUUGUCUAUCUUAUGUUCAUAUCUAAAUCAAAUGAUCCUAAUAUUAAGUAUGAAAAAUCUGGUUACGAUUGAGUUUGGAUUGGGUUGGGUCGCGUCUUGGACCAACGUGUGCGAGUCAAAAUUUGGUCUGCAACCACGUCGAGUCCAGAUUCCAAGCGGCAAGUAGUCUAAAGCAAAACAUUUGGGAGUCAAAAGAACAAAGAUCCUCAACGAAUGCCUGGUUGAGUCUACUUGGUCUCUAGUGAUAAGCUGAUACCUUCCUGUUAAAGAUUAGUGAUGUAUCAAUAAUUAUGUUUGCAUUUUCAUGCUUCCUCCAUUCCUGUUGAUUCUUUAUUAAAUUACGGUUCAGAUAAACUGGAGUUUCUGAAAUGCAACUCAAAUCUGUAUGAUGUAGAUUCACGUAUGUUGAUGUUUCGGUAGCCACUGUGCAACAAAGCAGUCUUACCAUCAAGUUGGAAUUAAAUGAGGGGAACUUUCUGGGCAGAUAAUGCCAUAUAAGCACUUUUAAUGUUACUUCUUGAUAGGCUCUUUUACUUUAAAGUAGGAACUGAAAUGAAAGACCUUGAUUAGGCUCAUAAAGAGAAGAUGGUAAGGUAGAAAAGUAAAAGCUACCUUUGGUUUUCUUUUUCUUUUUCUUUUUUUUUUUUUUAAAAUAUUUUUUAACAUUUUAACAUGGACAGAUUGCCUGUUGUGACCGAACUUUUAAAUAGUCGGUAGCCGGUAAGAACUGAGAGGACAAGGGCAAAGAUUUCAUUGAAGUUUGAUCUUGAUCAGCUGUAUCUUCUUUUUUUCCCCCCUUUUUUUCUUUUCUUUCAGGCACUUCUUUUGUAGCAUUGCAUGGUACUUUUUCCUUGCUAAUUAUUAGGGUUGUCCUUGUAUGUGUCUUUUGGACCAUAUGAGACCAGAGCUUUUGACUGUGACCUGGGCUACAUUUGAAAGGAGACGAAGCACGCUAAGAUUUGGGGUGCCUCCUGUUUCAAUACCGGAGAGAAAAUGCUUUUGCUUCAGAAGAAGGAAAAUGAAGUGUUAGAUAGAGAGAAGCAGCACUUGGAAGUUCUGAAUCAUCUUCAUAAGCAACUCUCUAGCUCAUAAUAAUUAGCACUAAACCGUAUAUUUGUAGAUGAUAUCAAAUGCGAGGUGAUAAAUAGAGACACUGCCGCUUGGGAUGCUUACAUGCACAUGACUUUCAAUUGUGAUAUUACGAAUGAUUGUUGCUGCCCCUUUUGCUUUUCUCAUUUCUUUUCCUUUUUUCUUGUAAAAGACUGGGGCGUACGAAUAAUACAUGUAUUUUUACAAAUUCAUCGCCAUAUCUUUUUGGUUGGUUAUAAUUUGUUUAAUUAUCUCUUUCUUCUGGUUCUUUUUUCUCUGUUUUUUUGAUAUCUUUCCUUUAUGAAUUGCAGGCUAAUUGAGUGGUGGAUGCCCAUGAUAUGGACUAUAAUAAAAACUGCCGAUGAUGAUUGAGGAAUGAAGGAAUAUCUCUCGGAAGUUGUGUGAGGUAUUUUAUAUGCUUUUGUUCUUGUUUUUUUUGUUUUUUUAAGUAUCCCUAAUAAGAGAGCAUGAAGCUCUUAUUUCAAUGCAAGUGCAUGUUAAGAUGACCGGUCCACAACACUGUUUAGUAUGUUUACCGUAGCUAGUUAGUUCCUUAUUACAGGCGAAGCAGUAACGUAUUUUAAAAAGCUUAAGAGAUACUGAAAUUGGAUUUGGCAUCAUGGUGGGUCUGUUUUGAUAAUUGUAUCAAUAUCUCUAAAGAAGGGCUCUGGCCCUCCUCCUAACCUUUUAGGAAAGGCUGCGGACGCACACCAAGUGUUUGUAUCUUUGCGAUUAAACGUCGGUUAAUGAAUCGUUUUCCCAUCCAGCUCGGAACUAGUAACAAAACUAUUCUAUCCACUCAGCUUUUAUGGUAAGGGGGGGAUGCUCAAAAGCCUUAACUUUUUUUUUUUUUUUUUUCCUGCAUAAAACUAAUGUGGGUGUUUGUGUGAGGGUGGGGUGUGUUGGGGUCGCUUUAUUCCUUAUUCUUUGAGUCUCAGAGGAAAGAGGCCGUACACAGUUCCCGAUUCUUUCAGACCAGACCAGACCAGACCAGACCAGACCCACCUUUCAAAGAGAUCCUAAAAGAAGCCCAUCAAAUUUUUUUAGUGGGGCCCAGCAAAAGAUGAGAGGUCACAGGCCCACAUCAGAUCAACAAAGAAGCAUCAUCAUCAUAAGAUCAGAAAUCAUCGUUGUCGGUACGCCUCCCUUUUUUCUAAUCUCAAAGCAAAAUAAAGGAGUACGUUUGCAAUGGCAUGCAAAGGUUAGGGGGCAAAGGUUAGAGGGGGUGGGGGGUGUGCUUCUUUGAUUAGCUUUGUAUUAGCGCUUCAUUAUGCAAGGGAUGUGCCGGGUUGUACUGCGAAUAUUUGUUGUCAUUUUAAUCAUAGGUAAUAUGUGGUGGUCUAGUUGAGGAAUUAAUGAUUGCAAAAUAUUAUUAUUUUUUUAAUGAUAUUUUUUGGAUGCUGUGCUCCACUUUAACCUGGGUUUCAUUGCGGCCUAUCUAUGUGGAAAUUGAUAUGAUUGUAUAAAGGUUCAAUUAUAAUUAAUGAGUGGUUAAUAGUUGGGUUGCAAUCAAUUAAGCAGGAACUUUUGUUCUCAAUGUAUUUUACACUAGUUGCUGGUUUGUUUUUCUUUCAGCAUUUCUGGCUUCUGAUUAACUACUAUAACCGUAUUUUUUAUGUCUGCAACAUAUCAAUAAAAUUUUGGUAAAUGAUAAUCUUAGUAAUCAUGGGCCUAUUGUACCAUUUUGGCCACUUUGAGAGUACUCCUAGAAUUUUAUAUUGAAAUCUGGUAUCCUCUUAUUAAAGAUUUCUUUUGCAGUUCUACUUAAGUAUUAACUUGUUUUCUCCGCCUAUGCUAUUGAAGAGGUUAUAUAUAUAUAUAUAUAUAUAUAUAUAUAUAUAUAUAUAUAUAUAUAUAUAUAUAUGUGUGUGUGUGUGUGUGUGUGUGUUUGUUUUUCUAUGGCUGUUUGAUUCGGGGAUAAGUAAGAACUGCUUAUUACAGAAAUAGAUAUAAGUUCAAGUAUAAAUAGGAAUUAGAUUAAUUUUGUAUUUAGAUAAAAAUUGUAUUGCUUCUGAAAAUAAGAUAAAUAGUAUUUGGAUGAUUAGAUUGGAACAAGAGAGAUAAAAGUUAUAAUUUGAAAUUAAAAUUAUAUUAUCUAAAUAAUUAACAUCAAAAUAUUACUUAAAAGUAAUAAAUUAAUAUUAAUAAUUAUAAAUAAUAAAUUAGUUAAAUAAUAAUAAAUUAUAAUUAAAUUAAUAUAUAUAUAUAUAUAUAUAUAUAUAAUAUAUAUAUAUAUUAAUUCUAAAGUAUAAUUUAACUUUUUAAUUAGUUAGGAAAUUAUUUUAGUUAGAUAACUAGUAAAAAAAAUUAUAUUAUGAUACAAUAGAAAUAUUAAUGGUUGAUCAAUAUAAAUAUUAGUUUAUAGAUAAACACAUUAAAUUAUUAAUAAUUAAUUAGCUAAUUAAUUAUAUUUAAUAAAUUAAUAAAUUAAUUUAUUAUUUAACGAUGAAUAACAAUUUAAAUAUAUUAAUUGAAUUGAUUAAUAAUUUAAUAUUAUAAUUAAAAUUAAAUUUAGACUUUAAUUAAUUUUGUUUCCAUUUGAAAACAAGUUUUUUCCAUGAAAAAAGAUUGAACAAUAGUUCUGCUCUUAUACCGGAAAAUUCAAUUUCAGUAUCUUUGAAAUCAAUUUGCAAACUGAUUUGCUCAAUUACUAAAUUAUUUCAAGACUCGAGAAUUAUUGUUCUCAAAUACUAAACACAACGUUUGGGGAUAAAGGGGAAACAAGGGGGGCUUAAAAUGCAAUUAAUUAGAGCAAAGUACAAAGCCCAUAUCUCAUGUAAACUUCCACUCUACAUGUAUCUGCAGGGCUCAGGCUCAAUCGCGCUUUGCAAUUGGAAUUUAAAGAAGAGAAGAAGCAUACCUACAUUGGAGCAGUAAAGCCUGAAUAAAUUACUAGCUGCAGCGCGUAGGCUCUGUUUAACCCUGCUGUGUGAUAUAAUACUGUUUAAUUAAUAGUAAGAUAAUAUUAUAUUGAAAUUUUUGUUUUUGGGGCUUAAAAUUGUUUUUUUUUUUGAGAGAGAAAGGUAGUACAUUACCUGCUUCAUUCAUUAAGUAGGUGAAAUCAGCUACAUAGAGUGAAGCAUCUUGGACCUCGAGAAGAUACUUAGACAAUUAACAGACAAUAACGAAAGGAAGAGCCCGAUAAAAAAACUGUUAUUUCAGUUUCGAGGGGGACGUAAUUAUACUGGAGAAGAAAACAGCUCUAUGGUAGGUGCAAAAGCUUUGUAAUGAUUGGGAAAUGAGCGUAGAUUAGAGCGGCACCAAACUGAGGGUGUGUUGCAUUCUAAAUGGAUGUUCACUGAUUACGUGGUAGACCAGGUCCAAGCAAUGAUUUCUUAAAACGAUUGAAACUAUUGCCUAUACUGAUUAAAAGUUAAGAUAUACGAUCAUAAGCAGAGGUUUUUGUGAGAAAAUAUGAUAAUAAUAUUUAUUAAGUUUGGAAUAUAUGAUAAUAAUUACCUAGUUUGUAAUAUUAUAUCUUGUCCAGUAUAAAACAUCUAUAGGGCUCUCUUUUGGAUUAGUACAGUUGUCACAGUGGCCAGGUCCGGUAGGUAUAAGCAGGAUGAUGGUACGUAUAACUGUAGACUGAUUCGGAUAGCUCACUGCCACGUCAGAUAAUGCACGAGAGAAAUCUAAAACUAUGUUUGCUGCAAAGGGAAAUGAUUUCCUGCACCUGGUCCAUCUAUACCCUUGCGCACCACUCGUCUAUUACUCUCUCGCUUUAUCAAUUUUCCUUCUAUCCAUUCGACACUGAUGGCUAAUAGAUAGGCGGUGCAGAGUUACACUAAUGCACCGGAUGCAUGCAGUAAUUUUGAAGAGGGGAAAGAGAGAGAGAGAGAGAGAGAGAGAGAGAAAGUGAUGGAGUCUCCUGUGCUGAGCACAUGCAAUUCACUUUGCAUUAGAAAAUAUACUUUGGACCCAAAUUUAGCCUCCCCAGCAAGAAAGGCACAGCCCACAAUUCCAUAAAAUUUACCAUCCCUGACACCAUAAAAAGCUACUACUACCUCACAAUAAUAAUAAUAAUAAUAAUAAUAAUAUUAAACAAUAUAAAGCAGAGCUAGAUAACUACUUUGAUAUACAUUACAUAUACUUGCCUACUCGCCCACACACACACACACACACACACACUCACACACACACCGUCACCAUCUUGAUGUAGAAUAGCCUUCACUAUUAGAACAGAGAGGCAUUGACAACCCAACCUACACAACAACGACAACAAACGCUCCCCACUCUCAAAUCCCCCUUCGAAUUCUCCACCCACCCUAUUUCUCUUCUCGUUUCCUUCACUACUCCUCUCUCCCUCGCUCUCCCAGACCCAACAUCAUGUGAUGAAACUCACCGAGAAAAACUCCCUACAACUACUACUUCGUUGAUCCUCCUCUCGUUACGAACAACAACAACCACCAUCACCGCUGCCGCCGCCAUCAUCGCCAAUACAACAACAACCACAACGGCAACGACGACGACAGCAGCGACAAGGACGGUAACGUCGACGACAGUUAAAACAAGAUGAGAGCAGGAGGCUGCACUGUGCAACAAGCGCUGACAGCAGAGGCAGCGAGCGUAGUGAAGCAAGCGGUGAACCUGGCCCGGCGUCGCGGGCACGCGCAGGUGACCCCACUCCACGUGGCCAGCACCAUGCUGUGCUCGUCGUCAGGCCUCCUCCGCGCCGCGUGCCUCCAGGCCCACUCCCACCCGCUCCAGUGCAAGGCCCUCGAGCUCUGCUUCAACGUCGCCCUCAACCGCCUCCCCGCCUCGUCCUCCGCAGUCCCGAUCCUCGCUCCCCCGCCCGGCCCGCUCCACCACCACCACCACCACCACCACCAUCACCACCACCUCCACCACCAACCCCCCUCCCUCUCCAACGCGCUGGUCGCCGCUUUCAAACGGGCCCAGGCCCACCAGCGCCGCGGCUCCAUCGAGAGCCAGCAGCAGCCGCUGCUCGCCGUCAAGAUCGAGCUCGAGCAGCUCAUCAUCUCCAUCCUCGACGACCCCAGCGUCAGCCGCGUCAUGCGGGAGGCCGGCUUCUCCAGCACGCAAGUCAAGACCAAUGUCGAGCAGGCCGUCUCAUUGGAAAUAGCCGCACCCAUCACCAGUACCCCCUGUAACCCUAACCCUAACCCUACCAAACCCAAGGAGGCCAUCGCCGGCCCCUUGGGCCAAUCUCAUCAGCUGGCCAAAGCCGCCAGGCAUUUGGACUCGGUUAGGGGCGAGGAUGUUGCGAGUAUUAUGGAGUGCCUAGUUAGCAGGCGGAAGAGGAGUAUUGUGGUUGUAGGGGAGUGCUUGGCCACCACCGAGGGAAUCGUCAGGGCGGUGAUGGAGAGAGUGAGCAAGGGAGAGGGGCCUGAGGGUUUACGCAAUCUACAGUUCCUACCCCUCUCGCUCCAGUCCUUCGGACGCAUGUCGAGAGACGAGGUGGAUCACAAGGUCGGAGAGCUAAGGACGUGCCGAGAGGCUGUGUUGGUGUUGGAGGAUCUUCAGUGGGCUGUGGAGUUUUGGGCUGGCUGCGUGGAGAGGCAGAGGAGCUAUUAUUGCCCUGUGGAGCAUGUGAUUAUGGAGAUUAGGAGCCUGGUUUGUGGUGGCUGCUUAGGAGGAGGCGACAGUAGUGGACUCAGCUUUUGGUUGAUCGGGUAUGCAACAUAUCAAACCUACAUGACAUGUAGGGUUGGACACCCUUCGCUGGAGACUCACUGGGGUCUUCACCCCCUCACUGUUCCUUCUGGUAGCUUGGGAUUGAGCCUAACCUGCGACAGGUGACUGACCAAUAUUCCCACUUUAUGCUUAUGCUUAAUUUGCAAUAUUAAUGUUUAAUAUUGGAUCAACAUUAAUUUGGUAACUGUCAUAGUCUGGACUAGUUUAGUUUGUUUGUUUGAUUUGUUUAAUUUACUUCAAUCCGAUGAAUGUGAAAGACUUUUUUUUUUUUUAAUUUAAUUAGUUUCUGGUUAUGUAGUUUUCUUUUCAAUUUCAAAUAAAAGUAGUGAUCAAAUUUUAUUUUUUUUUCUUUUCAUCUGGAAAAGUUACGUACGCCAUCACAUUCUCUCUCUCUCUCUCUCUCUCUCUCUCUCUCUCUCUCUCUCUCACAUCCUUCUUUUUCUAUUGCCCUUUUUAUUCCUUUCCAUGUUACAAGUGUAGGUUGCACUUCAUUUCAAGAAACAGAUCCACAUUUGAUUUCACUACAAGAAUCAUCUAGUAAACUAGCUAAUAUUUAUAAGACUCCGUCAGCGGGUAACUCUUAGCCAUUACCAAUAUCAAAAAAAGAAAAAAAAAAAUUGAAUUCAACUUAAAAAAAAAGAAAGAAUAUUUCCUUUUUCAAAUGUCUUCUCAUUAAUGGAUUCUUUGGCAUAAUAUGUUGGCUUAAUUAACUCUUCAUCAGUGAUUCACAAAUGCGAAUGAAAGCAAAACCGGGUGGAAGUGAGUCAUGCUGGUCAUUUUUAGAAGGUGGAGGCGAGAGUCAGGUAACUUGUGCCGAUUGUUCAACCAAGCUUGACACAAAUGCUCGAGGCCUACAGCAUGCUUCUUUCAGCAGCCGCAGCUCGAUUGCAUCGAACCUCCCUUCGUGGCUUCGGCAGUACAAAGAAGAUAACAGAAGUGCAAGCACCAAUGAUGAUCAGGUAAUCCUCGAAUAAUUAUUCAUUUAUGUUAAUAGCUAUACAAAGAUAAAGUCCAAGAACAAAGUUUUUCCAUCAAUUACUAACCCCUUUUUGGCGUUACCUUUUUGUCUUUUCUCUCUCUCCUAGGGUUGUAUCCAACUAAAAGACCUUUGCAAGAAGUGGAACUCAAUAUGUAGUUCAUCCCAUGGAAACCAACACCAUACAUCAGAAAUGACUCUAAAUUUUUCUUCAGUAUCUCCAUGUUCUUCCUUAUCUUCUUACGAUAAGUGCAACCCUAGCCUCCACCAGCUCCGUCAACCUUGUCCACUCCAACUAGAGGCCGAGCACCCGUGGAGGGAACAUCGCAAAUGGCUCUCAGAGACUACCAAUGAAGGGCUUGAACCCAUGUCAAGAGUCUCUUUGGAGUGUGCAAACCCUAGGCAGAACCUUAGCUCCGGUUCCUCAGAUGGCACGAUGGAGGUGGAAUGUCAUUCUAAGUUUAAGGAGCUAAGUGCAGAGAAUCUAAAGACACUUUGCAAUGCAUUGGAGAGAUGUGCCCCAUGGCAGAAGGAGAUGAUCCCCGAUAUAGCAAGCACUAUCCUGCAGUGCCGAUCGGGGAUGCGGAGAAGGAAAGAGAAGUCGAAGAUGACUAGGGUUAAGGAGGACACAUGGCUGUUUUUCCAAGGGAAUGACAUUGAUGGCAAAGACAAGAUAGCUAGGGAACUUGCUAGCCUUGUCUUUGGCUCUCACAAUAGUUAUAUCUCAAUUGCACUGAGCACCUUCUCAUCAACUCGAUCUGAUUCUACCGAUGAUCUCGGAAACAAGAGGCCACGAUCGGAAAAAAGUCAUAGCUAUCUUGAGAAGCUCUUUGAAGCUAUAUGCGACAAUCCACAUCGUGUGAUCAUGAUGGAAGACAUCGAGCAGUUAGAUAGCUAUUCUCAGGUUGGUAUCAAGAAUGCGAUCGAGAGCGGUAGUUUACGGGGCUACAAUGAUGAUGAAGUCAGUAUUAGUGAUGCUAUUAUAAUUUUGAGUUGCGAGACCUUCGACUCGAGGUCUAGGGCUUGCUCUCCUCGAAUUAAACAGAAGAUGGAGAGUGAGGAAGAGAAGGAAGAAGUAGGUGAGAAGGAGACGGAUUCUAAAGGUUUUUGCUUGGAUUUGAACUACUGUGCUGAAGAUGACAUGGAGGAAUGUUUUUUUGAUGAUGUGUGCCUUCUAGAAGCCGUCGAUCGUGCGUUCUUCUUCCGAUCACCAGGGGAUUUGUAAUGUACGUCUUUGUUUCACUAGGAUUCUCGUUUAUGUUUUUGCAUUCUGAAUCUUGAUAUUCACCCUUUUUUUUUUUCCUUUUUGUGAAUUAUGAAACGAGGGCUAGGAGGGUUGUGUUCUUAAAUUAUGCAUGCUGGGAACACUUGUAUAUUGGUAGUCCUUUCGUGGAAUUGGUUUAUGACAUCUCUCUCUCCCUCUCUCUCUCUCUCUCUCUCUCUCUCUCUCCAGCAUACAAAUAAUUAAGUAUUGGUAUUGUAUUAAAAUAUGCGUAUACAAGAUGGACUACAUAUUAUACGUUCCAAUAUUUUUUUGCAAAAGGUUUUAUUACAUUUUUGUUUGAGAAAAUGAAAAAAGUAUAGUACUUAUCUAGCCAAGUAUUUUAUGUUACGUUCACAUGCGACUGGUGGGUUAGCAUGCAUGAUUAACUCUCUUUUUUCUUCUUAUUCUUUUUUUUUUUCCCCUUUUUUGUGACUGUAAUGUAGGAAUGAACUCAUUUCAUUAAUAUAAUUAAUACGACAUUGAAUCCAACAAAAUAAGAAAUAAAAACACUCCAACAAAUAAAUGCCAGCCCCAUCUUCCUUUGCUGGCUUUUUCCUACAAAAAAAAAAGUGAAGGAAAAUGAAUCAGCAUCGAAAAGUACUAUACAUAAAUAUAGAUGCAUGCAAUACUUCACAUAAAAUAACCGACCGCCCCUAGAGCAAGUGGCAAAGGGCUUUGUGGUUGGUACUCGAAACCCAAGUUCGAAUCCUAGUUGAUUUAUAUUUUCAGCUAAGUUUGUUUCUAAAUAAAAUAAACGAAGCGGGUAGCGUGCUACCUAUCUCUCAAAAAAAAAAAUAUAUCGCUCUAAAUUAAAAAAAAAAAAAAAAAAAACUUCACAUAAAAUAGUGUACCUCUUACUUUCUAUUUGUAAUGUUCUACUGGAACUUUUACCCCUUUUAAUUAAUUUGCUAGUGGAUAAGAAAUGAAUUUGAUGUGAAUUUUGCUUCACAACUUAAUCAGCCAACUUCGAACGUUUCUUAGCCACAAAUUUGAUGAUUCAUCAAAUAUAAUCAAAGUGUGAAUACAGUAUUUGUGUUAAUCUGUAGUUUUUUGUGCCUUUAGGAUAGGUCAGGCGGUAGGGAUCUGCUAAGCCCUAUUCAUACUGAAUGGUUUCUCAAUAUAAAAGGAAAAUGAGAAAAAAUUUUACGUAGUGCAUGAUAUGAUUAAUAGCUUUUUUUUUAAUAACAAUUUAUUAUCAAGUUAAUUAUUUAAUAUCAAAAGCACUGUUUAGUCUAAAUUUUUAUAUUUUGUACGAUUAAACUGUAAAUUCUUCCUUCUAAGGGUAUAUUACUUCAGUUCUCAACAUUGAUAAUUAAAUUGCAAUCUAGGUCAACAGACUUAAGCACUCAGAUGACCGACAAUAAAUAAUGAGAUUAUGAGAAACCACAGAUCGAUCCAUCCUUAAGAGCUUAAAGAAAAAUAAAUAUAGAACAUAAAUAUUACGAAAUACCCUUUGAUUAAUUUUAUGCCCAUGAUAUUUGAAACCACUUGAUAAGAUACUUACCUUUAUUCUAGAAAUAAUUAGCAGCCCCAAAAGAACUUGGCUUAAGGGCAAUUAAUUGAAUAUUGGGCAUCCAUUAUCUCUUUUUUAGUGAUGUCAAAUGGCAAUUACUGGCCCUACCUUCAUUUAUUUAACCCUCCCUUCUGUGCCCUUUACACUAAUUCCCAUUAUGGAAGCAUUUUAUUGUACAUUAAUUAUGUUCCCCGGUAGGUGCUACAUCUAUUAACCAUUAGAAUGGUUUAAAUCAUUAAAUCUAGAGAAGGGUCAUAUACAAGCUGACACAAUCUAGUGUUGCUUGAUUGGAGAAUGAAGGUGGUUGCUACCUCAACCACAAUUUCACAAUCAUGGCCUGUAUUUCUCAAAAGAAAAAUAUAAAUAAUAAAAAAACAAUAAUGGCAAUAAUUUUGUACAGCUUAGAGCUGGAUGCAAUUGCAUGAUGAUUACAUGAGCCGUGUAUGUACGCAUUAAUGCGAUAACAAGAAAUUAUAGACAAUUCAUUGGAGAUGUAUUACAGUAUGAUUCAUAACUUAGUGUUUGUGCAAAGGGGCAGCCACUUUAGAAGGCAAAAGAGCAAUCUUCCUUAAGAAAUAUCAAAAGCUCACUACUUUUCAUGCAUGGUGAUGCGAUUUGAAAAGGAAUCACUUUUGCCUGCUUUAGAUUUCACAACCCAACAUUCUCAUCUUUGGAAAGUAGUGGGGAGUGAAAAGCUUAACACAAAAUAAAGAUAAGCAUCUUAUAGUCUUUAGACCUUAAAGUUAGUGCUUUAGAAUCCUAAAAAGAUAAUCUUCUCUAAUCUCCUACACCUCAUUAAGAUAAAGCACCCAAGCGUAAGUAGGGUAUUUGUCGUGUAUAUGACUUUGGAAAAAUUACAAGAAAGAGGGCUUUGAAAUAUGUGGAUCUCCCAUAUGUGGAGCACAGAGGAGAGGAACAGUACUACGUGACACAUCCUACAUGCCUGUUUAUUACUUUUACAGUAAGGUCUAAACUAAUUUAAUUACAUGCUAUGCUUUUAUAUAUAUUAAUUAAUUUGCAGCUAGUAGCCCUUUUAUCACCUACAAUCUCCCAUCUUUAGAAAGGAUAAGACCACAUCAAUCCAAGUUUCCCAACUCUUUGGCUCUCUUAUCCUUUUUAAUACCUCCUUUCUUGGAUAGUGAUAUUAAUUAAUAGUCCUAAAGUUAAUUAGUUGCAUUCAUUGAAUUAGGAGAUAAUGACCAAAAUUUUUUUUGAGAAAUAAGGUAGCAAGCUACCAGCUUCAUUCAUUAAGUAAAAUAAACUGAGCGUACAAAGAUGGAAGCAGCUUAGGCCUCCGAAAACACAAAAAUAACAGACAAAAGGCCAAAAAGGGGAAAGGAGGUGAGAGGGGAAGGUUAGAGAAAGAGGAGUAAGUCUAGUGUCGCUUCAAGUCAGCAUGAGCUGUUUAUAUACAUAGCAAAUUAAUAGAACAAUUCUGCUUAUACACUUUUAGUAUACAGGUGUAAGAUUUACAAAGUAGCAUCUUAAUUAAAGGCUAGAGAUUUCUUCGCUUGUCUUAUCAACUUCUUUAUUAGCACUAAAAAUUUACAAUUUUUUUUUUAAAAUCCUAAAAUCAUGGAUGGUAAGAUUUAUACCUUAUAAUUAAUGGAGCGUACAACCAGCAUUUUUCUCAUAAAUAUUGCACUGUCAAAAUAAUAAUUCUGUCUCUUAAUUAAUUUGUUCUAGUAUGUGUGCUCGCAUGUAAGUAGACAAGCCUUUAGUGCGUUCUUGAAGUGCAUGGGCUAACUAGUCAUAAAUUAACCAAGAUCGACUAUAUAACUGAAGAGAAGACCACAAAAACGUUAACUACAUAAACAGAAGGUAAAGAAAACUGAGAGGAAAUCCAACAAACUCGCUAGCUAGCUAGCUAGUUGUAGCCCUACAAGCUAGCUCUUUGAAACGAAGGUUUACGUACUUCUCUCCAUGCACAAACUAUAAGGCACUAUUGAAAAAUAAUUAGGAAAAUAUAAAUGUUCCAGAUAUAUAUACAAAUUUAUUUCUUCACAUUUCAAUGCUUUCUUUUUACAUAUUUUAAGGAAAAGGCUAUAAGCAUGGUCAUACCAAAAGGCGAGACAGUACACUGAGAGUGCUGUAUACUAUUACUGAAGGCUUUGGGACUUCCCAGUAAAUAUAGUAUCCCACGUAUUCAAGGGAUUCGUGCCAAAUUUAUAUUAUUGUACAUGUUGAUAUAUUCCCUCGUUGAUUAAUUACAUUAUAGUAAGUGCUUCUUUUGUGGCCAAAGAGCACCAGGAUACAUGAUAUUCUCUCGUAUACUGUAGAGGGAGAGGACGAGACGAAUCCGAGGAGUGAUCCGAAUGGCUCUAUGGCCAAGAAAUACGCAUGCCUUGCAUGUGCAUGCGACUUAGACCCAUUGUAUUUCAUUCACUGCUAUGAGAAUCUCGUUGUGGAGUCUCUGUUGACUGUAUAAUCUUUGUGGAUUACAUAACUGAUCACAGCGGAAUAAAUAGAUAAGAUCACCUUUUGACUACAUCUAAUUGAUGCAUUUCCACUACAUGCAUGCAUCAUCUAAUAAAUUUAGCCAUAUAUAAGUCGACACACCAUAGUUUGGCCUUCAUUUGCAUGCCCACAUACAACAUCUGGUUACAACUAUAAUAAACCAAAUAAAAUUUAAUUAAAGACUUAAUUACCUGCAGUUGCACCUACAGUACAGCAUGAAAUACUAACCCGCCCUUAUAUAUAUAUAUGGAACCUCAUGAUAUGUACUGUACUAGCUAGUUCUGAUCAAUUUUGAUUAAUGCAUCUUGUUAAUUCUGACUCUCGUUUAUUGUUAAAACAACUUAAAGCGGUCUAUGGACUUAUUUUCAUUUUCACUUUAUUUAUUUAUUUUUCUAAUUUUCCUAUUUUAUUUUCAUUUUUAUUUUUAUAUUUUGGUGCGGUGGCUUGUAACUUUUUUGAGUUCGAAUUGCCUUAAAUCUUAUAGCUGAAUUUAUUUUCUAUAUGAAUGGAGCGGGUAGCGUGCUAUCCUUCUCUCAAAUGAAAAAAAAAAAAAAAAAAACAAAAACAAAAACCAAUCUUUGCACUUACCAGCAAAGAUGAGGAGGAGACCAGAGUUGAUAGAUUUUGACCACAAGCACAAAUAUAAAUUUGAACUAGUUAAACAGGCAGACAAUAAAUAAGGCUAAUAGCUACCUCAAAGAUUUGAAAAACCUCAUGUUGCUCUAAUAUCAUGUAAAAAACACUUUAAAAGCUUAAACUAAGUAAGAACGAUGCCUUAAUCAUUUAUAUUCACAAACUUUCGACCACAUGCCAAUGGAAGAAGGAAUCCUAAAAGUCAUAAGCAGCAAAAUAACCGCACAGACCUAUUUCCAAGCAUUUGUUCUUAUCUUGACAAACAUAAAGAAUCAACGAAGUGGAGGUAAUCGAAGGUUUGAAUGAUAUAUUAUUCCAAUAGAACAUCGGAAAUUAAUUAACAGCAGAAGUGGUAAACAUGUCUCCACCACAGAAGCCAACUUCAUCUUUUAUUAUUCUUCUAGCGAUAAUGCAAGAUAUGCUCUAAACUUUCUGAGAAAAAAAAACGAUAUCUGUGGUAUUGCUGGUAAGCCGAAAGUAACCAAUGUGAAUGAAAUAAUUUAAAGAACUGGCUGAAAUAUCCAGAAAAACUUUAUAUUCCUGAGAAUUAACCCCAUACUCAGAUUGACUGAAAUAAAGGAACUCAACUUUCAUGAAGAAAUAUAUAACAAGUUGCAAAGGUGCAUCACAAUUGAUUUUAUUAUGCGACAAGUGGAGAUGGCACAAAAAGGUGUCAUAUUCUAUUUAUAUAUAUGCUUUGCAAAAAUGUUCACAUUAGCACCAACCUGGAACUAGGACAACCAGCAUCUAGUGUCGCUAAUAAAAUAGUUAUAUAUAAAGAGCUUGUGCAAGUCUAUAACACAUCAGACAUGUCUCUUUACAGGCAAACUGUCCAUAAUCACCAAAUGUGAUUCUGUAGUUUCAAAAAUUAUAUUUCCGUGGUGUGAAACUUGCAUGUAUGUAAGAUUAGGAUGCUUUUAAAAGCACCAUAUUUAAUUGUGAUUUUCAGAAAGCAAUAUUUUGACCCUUUAGCAGUCAUUAGACAAGUACAGGAAGUGGAAAAGGAAUGUGCUGAAUUUUGCUGAACCAAGUGAUCGAUGGAUUUUAAUUUUGCAUUGUAAUCUCACUUCUUUUUGUUUCUAUUUUUUUUUUUAUUGAUUUUUUUUUCUUUAUAUGUCGUUCUUAACUUUUUCGAGGCUCCAAUGCCUCAAUUUCUAUAGCUAAAUUCAUUUACCAAAUGAAUGAAACGGAAAAAAGCACAAUAUUUAAUUGAUUGUGGUAUUUGCAUCACUAUGUACGCACACACAUACAUACAUACAUACAUAUACAUACAUGCAUUCACAAAUGUUUGUAGGCAUGUACUCAUCAUGUAUGUGUAAUUCAUCUUUUCUACAACGUUAGCUUUGAACUCUUUAAUUGGAUUAAUGCUAUGUCCAUCUCAGAUGGGAGAAAAAUUUGAACACCGAAAACUAUACCAUAAUUGUAAAUAUAUACAAAAACUUACCUGAAUUAGGGGUCAUUUUGAUUUGGCUAUCUAAUCUUUCAAAAUUUUAAUUUUACUAUCCAUAUUUUCAAUUUAUUUAAUAUGAGUUAGUCAAUAAUAUUUUGAUUUCAAAAUUUAGAUUAAUUACUUAUGUUAAUAAAUUUAUAGUUGUGGAAAUUAUAUAAAUUAUAUUAACUAAAUUUAUAAAGAUAACUAAUGCAUUUAUAUUUUAAAGUCAAAAUGUCAUUUACCGACUCUCAAAUCAAAUAAAUUGAAAGAUUGAGUACGUAGCAAUAUCAAAAUUUUGAAGGUUGGAUAGCUAAAUAAAAAUAGUGCAUAUAUAGUUUAGAACGAUAAAUUCUAUACAUUUUUACCUAUCAUAAAAAGAUCGAGAGAUUCAUACAAAUCAUAGGAUAGUUAGCCCCACAUAGCUCGAAGAAUUCAAUCGCUUUAAGUUGCUCUACUCUCAUCUACACUCGGGAGAGUGGGCUAUUGUUAGCUUCAAUUUAUUCGCAAUCAAACUAUCAGUGAAUAAAACAGCAUUCGCUGCCCUAGCAAUUUAAUGCUUGAUUGCCAAAUAUUGAAAGAUUUCAUUGAUUUCCAACAAAUUUGAUCCAUUCAAAGUGCUCCAACAUGUCAGAUGCCCCAUCAAUCCACAGAAUUAUUCUUUGUUCCCCAAGCUAGAUACCUUAUAAGUAGGCCUCAACUUAUCCAAUUGUUCAUAAACACUUCUUGUCAUUAGGCAUUAAAAUACUGAUCAUCUCUAGCUAUCAUGCUUUCCAAACGGCAAAACUAUCAUAUAUAUAUAUAGGUGCAUCCUUUGGUAGUGAAAAAAUAGCUCCUGAUUUCGUUGUUAUAGACCUCUUCGAUAGAGUCCUCUCUCAGAGCCUUUUUGAAGUGCCAUUUGAGUUUAUGCAAUACAUAUUUCUUCUUCUUUUUUUUUGAGGGAAAAGCAAUAUAUAUUUCAACAGAAGUGUUAUAUUUUUUGCACCGUUACCAAAUUGGGAGGAGCCAAGUUCGCCAGUUAUGGCCUGGAGAUUGACGAGUCGGCUGUACGUGGACCGCCCAUCCUAUCUCAGUCCAUUUCCUCCCAACUUUGAAUCCUCCGUUCCACUGCUCAGUGAGCUCCAACCUGAUUUAAAUGUUAAGUUCUUUACAAAAAAUUUAGGUGGUUAAAUCAUGUAAUUAUGCUAUGAGAUGGAACGGAUGGAGAUGGACAAGCAGUCCAUGCAUAGCAGAUCUUUAGUUUAUUUGGAUUUAGAAAGUCGAUUAGCUAGAUCACUGAGUGUUUUUUUUUUUUUUUUUUUACUUUUCCGCAAGUGGGCUUCAUGGUGACAUGAAAGACAAGUCCUCGAGCUUUGCCCUGGGAUAAAGUGAGACGUCACUAAAGUGAUGGUGUUCUUUUAAUCGGCUAAGAAGAUUAAAAUAUAAAGAGGGAAAAGGGGUAUAAUAAAGUGCGUAGAAUGAGAGACAUACUUAUUAGACCAACCUCCUCCAACUUUGUGAAGAGCCAAUCAGCUUCUCCUUGAAUUAUUCUUCCCCUCAAAUCCCCCCACCUCUAAAGAUAAAUGAAGAGCCAACUUGGAAGGAGAUGUCUAUCUGGGGGCUUAUUUUUAUGUAUCUUUUGCUGUAAGGAUUCAAAUAUUUUGGAGAUAAUGGUGCUUCUUGUUAGUGCUUGCCUUUCUCCUUUUACAAAGUGCUGCAACGCUUUUUAGGACCUCAAGACAAAUGCUUUUGGUAAAGAUUGGGUGCUUUUUCUCGCAUUAAACAUAGUAAGAAAUGUAGAGUUAGAUCUAACUAUGGCCAUUCCCACCUGAUUGGUGCUUCUGAAAGAAGCUCAAACUGCUGGUAGGUUGGAAACCGACAAUAUCACUUUGCGGAGCUCCAAAUAAUUACCUACAGAUUAUUGCAUGCUUAUUUAUUUACCAAACAGAUUGGAGUUUGAAGAUUUUUCAAUUGCUGUUUCUGAGUAUUAGACCAAGUACGAAGUUUCUCGUAGACAAAUUUAACACAGAUGGGCAGUUUAUAAGGAUUGACUAACACUAAACAUUUAAUUCGCUUGCAAAAGGAGUGACGGUCAAAAGUCAUUGUUGAACAACGUAAACUGAUCAUGAUCCACUAUCAAAUUUUAUCUGCACAAUGAAAAUUAUCAAGGCACCAAUUAAAAAGAUGAGCUGCUUAUAAAUUAAGACUAGUACUCGAAACAAAUAUAUAUAUAUAUAUAUAUAGAAUUAGGCUACUAUGCUAUUAAUAGCACAAAGUCAUUGGUGCUACCAAGUUUUUGGCCAUUGGAUUAAGAGAUGUGUGGUUAGGAUGAUGUGGGGCCCCUAGGGUUGAGUGAGUGGUUGGUUGAAUAGUAUGAUCUAACGGGUGAAAAUGAUCAAAAGGGUAGAUCUAACGGCGGAAAACUUGGUAGCACCAAGUGCUUCGUGCUAUUAAUAGCAUAGUAGCCGGACUCUAUAUAUAUAUAUAUAUAUAUAUAUAUAUAUAUAUGAUGCAUGGCAUGCAAUUUGAAAUUCCAUAUGAACGAUCACAACCUAUACAAUCUUCAAAAGUUUCAUAAAUUAAAAUCCAUCAGUUCUAUGUUUGCAGAGCAUAAAUUUUGACAAAAUCUUGUAACAUCUGUUUGUGUUUAUUGUGUUAAAAGAAACUAGGCAGCAUUUUCAAAUGUGCGAGAGGACAUAUAUAUGCUCUAUCCAACGGUAUCUAGCACCUUAGUGGAAUGAGGAUGUUGCAGCUGCAGUAGUGACUUAAAAGUAGAAGAGUCUUUUCAUAUAACCAAAAUUUUAUUUUCGUGCAGCGCAAGCCUCCGAAUGCACCCUGUGCGAGAUCUAGCAAACCAAUUUUUUACUGCAUGAAAAGAUAAACUCAUUCCGUCGAUGCACUACUCAUCAGAAUUCAGACAUAUAUAGUCUCCACUGCUCUCACACUUAGUUUAAAGUUUAUCUGCCGCACUGUUUCGUGUGAAACUACUGUUUAUCUGUGCCAACUUCUUAGAUAACAUUUUUCCAAAUGUAUAAACACAUGAAUCUUCGUAAAUCUUUUAAGUGAAUUGUGAGAGGGGUGUUACUUACAACAAACUCUCUGCGAAGUACAAAGAAGAGAUCAUAUGGGCACUUUAAGAAUCAGAAGCAGCUCUUACAGCUUUCUCAGAUAAAUGUAAAAGUCCAUUUGUUCAUCAGCUAUUAACUCUUCCGAUAAAACCAUAACAAGACAAGCUGCAAAACCCCCAAGGCCCACGAGGAAAAAGCCCCUACAUUAGCAUCUGCAAAAGAGACAGCAAGCAUGGGGACAAAGUUUCCACACCUCUGAGGCUUUUAGCAGUACUCUUUGAUAAGGGCAAAAAAAAAAACAAAAAAAACAUAAGCCCAGAUUGGCUCUCUUUUUUUUUUUCUUUUCUUUUCUUUUCUUUUUUUUUUUCUCUCACCGCUCUCUCCUCCUUUCAUGGGAAGGAGCCAUGCAUGAAAGUAAGGGAAUUCUCGGAUCAAGAAGCCCUAAAAUCCAAAAAAACUUGAUAGCUAAGUCUAUCCUAGCUCUAUGGCUUGCGGGGAGGGUUUCAUCAUUUGAAAGUGAUGAAUUGGGGGAUCCGAGGAGAUGGGCCCUCUCUCCAUAUGAUAUGCUUUAGUUUCGAGGGAGAAGAGCUAGGCCUAGAGGAACCAAUUCAUGUGAUCCUCUUCUCUCAUCUUUCUUGUUCUCUCUCUUUUUUUUUGUUCUUAAAGGGAAGAGGACUGGUCAAAAAGGAGGGGAGAAGAGGCCUGCAUGGUGUGAGGAAGAAUAAUGUGGGAGAGAGUGACAAUUGGGGAAAUGAUGGCCGAUGCUAGCUUUUGGGCAAGGAUAAGUCAUUGUCCUCAGAAAGAAUUUUGAGCAGGCCAGGGGAGCUAAAGCUUUUAAUUUGUAUCAUAUGGGAACUUAGCUGCAGCAUAUAGCUCUUUGUGGGAUAGGUAAUAAGGUGUCCGGAAAAGAAAUGCAGGCCAAGUGACUCAUAAUUAAUGGAAGAAGAGGAGCAGCAGUCCUAAGAAGACAAACAUCCCAUAGUGGCCUGGCUAGAUAUAUACUUGGUUCCCUUAACUAGGUUCUAAUUAUGAUAGUGGAGGCUACUUUUAUGCAAGGCAUUCCGCUAAUUGGAUGGCUAUAUUUAACAGUUAACACUAGCCUGUUAUGAUGGCAAACUCUAAUGAGUAAAGCAUCUCAUGUGUGAUUAAAAUGCCAUCUGAGGCAAAGGAAGGGUUGUUAUAACUUGUGCUAGCUGCACCUACAAAAAAUGUCUACCAAAGUUGCGGCGCUUUUUUUUUUCUUUUUUUAGAGUGAUAGGUAGCACGCUAGCUACCCGCUUCGUUUAUUUCAUUUAGAAAUAAACUUAGCUGAAAAUACCAAUCAACUAGGAUUCAAACUUGGGUAUCGGGUACCAACCAUCAAGCCCUUUGCUACUUGCUCUAGGGACGGUCGGCACAUUUUAACUCCUAAAAAUGGUAGGUGAGGUCUCACUGUUUCAUAGUUACAGCAUUGGAUUUUUUUUUUUUUUUUCGUGUGUGAAAACUCUAUUAGUGGCCUGCAGUAGUAUAACUAAUUAACUAAAAACUAGUAAUUAAAUAAAGUUGGUCAAAAAGACUUCAUUGUAGCUUCAAUAAAAAGUUUCAAUGAUAUUUAUCUCCGUAGAUACGCAUGGUUCACCGACCAGAACCAACGAGCCUUAGCUGGCUUUCAAGUAAAAGAACCUUAAGGUGGUUUGGAUCUCACCACGAGAAAUUGAUGGUUUUGUGCGUCGUAAGCAAGGAACUUAGGUUCGGGCAGAAAAUGUAGUAACCGAUCGAGCCCGUCAAAUUUGGUGGUGUCGCUUGUUGCGACCCGACUAGAAUUGGGCUAAAAAGAUGAAUACAAUUUUUGGGCCCAUUGAAGCCCAAGCUAAUUAACUGUGAUCCAGCCUGUAUCAGGACAUGUCGUGUCGUGCUUCGUGAUCUUCAAUUUUUCAGAACCUGAUUCCCUGCAAGGAUCCGUUCGAGUCCCGAAUUAGGGCAUGCUUGGCUCCAAGCCUCCAGAUGGUUUGAGGAUAAUUUGCUCUAGAAUUUCUUUUUCUUCAAUUAUUCUUGACUGAGUGGAUAACACAUUUGACGCUUAUAACAAAGAUAGCCCCUUAUAACAGAUAACCUUGUGAAAAGAGGUUGGACCGAAGACAUAGUCUGUGUGUUGUGCGGAAUUGAAGUGGAAUUUUUAGAUCACUUGUUCACACAGUGCAUAUUCAUCAAAUUCUUUUUAGUGAUGGGUGUGGAGGGUGUUCAGGCUAGGGAUCUGAAAGAUGACGUUAAUUCUGUCGGGGAUAGGUGAUUGUUUAGAAUUGGAUUGCAAACUACGCGUACUAGACUAGUUGAACUAGUGGCCGACUGGUGGAUCAUAUCGAAGGUCAGAAACAAUAUAAUUUUUAAAAAGAUCUAGCUGGCCCAGUGCUAGCAGUACACAAGCUUAAGCAGUUGGCGAAGCUUUGGAAAGUUCGCCUCUCAGCAAAGCGGAUCGCCUAACCUUUUUUCUUUUUUUGACUUACCCUUGAGACCCACGAUGCCUCAUCCGUAUAGCCUAGUUUACCAUUCCAGUGAAUGAAGUGGGUAGCGUGCUACCUUUUCCUCUAAAAAAAAAAAAAAAGAUAGCCCCACAAAAAGCAAAAGCAGCAUUGAGAAACAGAUUAUACACACUGAAACCCAAUUAUCACCAACAUACUAUUAAGUACAUUAAUCAUCUAUGUUUGGAAAAAGAUAAAGAAAAACAAACAACAGCAUGCUUCUUCUUCAGGGGAAUAUAAGUAGAUAUCAUGGGGCAGGAUCCUUUCCGAAGCCCAUCAAAGCAUGAGUAACAAGCAUCGAACCCCUGCGUGUGAUCUCCGCUAGCCGUCCCACUAAGGGAAGCUUCACAGUGUCUCUGUUUUUCAAAGGCUUCUUAUCCCACCUAAUAUUUCGUAGUGAAACAGAUGAGUUGCUAAUAUCCACCAUUUCAUAAAUAUAAUCUCAUACUGCUCGAAGACUGUUUAGAUGCAUGAAUUUGUAAUGUUGCCUAUUAUUUCCAACACCUAGCAAUGUUGCCCACCAAUAAACAACAAUAAUUAAAUGAAGAAGAACUGACCAGUCUUCAUGGCGGAUGACCUUUCCUUCUUCAAUUUCUAGCUUAAUAAGUGAUGCUAGAUCAACAGCUUUCCCGCAGAAUUUGUAAUGUUGCUUGUUAUCAAUCAGAACCUGAAAUAUGCAAAAACAUUUAUAGCAAGGAAAGGACCAAGCAAGUACAUCAAUUAAAAGGAAAAAAAAAAUGAAAGAUACACUUCAGAGUGUAGUGUGAAUCCAAACCUCGACUUUCCCCGGUCCAAUUGCAUUUUCUUGUACAGUAUAUUCAACAAUUCUAGAUUCACUGAAGACCUGAAAUACACUAAAUUGUAAAAUAAACAAGUUGAGAUAUAUUCAGAAGAUAACUACAUACUGAUAGAGAAGUGAAACUUCUACAGUCACGCACAUACGUAUAUAGAGAUACGGAAAAAGUGGAACUUUCGGCCUGUACUAAAACACAUCUUGUACAACAAAAAAGCUGAUCGAGUAUAUGACAAUUUUAUACCGAUCAAUCAUCCAUGUGAAAAUAAAUCAAUGGAAUAUAUACUACUAUUUCUUUUCGAGGAUCAAAGAAGCUGAGUUUCUGCAAUCUGGAGCUUGGCUGUGAUCGAAAUUGAUUUCAACUUAAGCUCAGGUAGAGUUGGGGAAACUUUAGCUCCAACUUGGCUCAUGGAAAUUUCGAGCUAGCUUGAUCUUGCCGUAUAAGCAUGAUAUUAGAGACGAAAGGAGGGGCUCAUAACUCAUUUGAAUGACAUACAUGAACGUGCACACGCGCAUAGGCACGCACGUACAUAUAUACACACAGAGAUAUAAUCUUACAAGUUACAAACUUACAUACACUCAAGUAGGCUUUUCGGGCUUCAUUAACUAACCUAGAUUGCAAUCCUGGCUCGAGCUCCGCUUGUUUAGUUAAUAAAAAAGCUGGAAUUCGAAUUGAACUGUAUAGGGACCCACCGAAAAGUGGCACUAACAAAACAUACAAGAAACAUUCCCAAUAAAAAAUAGCCAAAGAAAAUAAGAUUCAAAUGGUACUCAUCUCAAACUUCGUGUUUCCAGUAACCCCCUUGCUACUAGUUUACCUAACUUACAUGUUUUUUAACACUAAACAGGAAAGUCCAAAACUUUCAAAUUUGUCUAACAUCUUAUGAAUAUUAUAACAAACAAGUCCCCCAAUCCGCCAAAAUUACUCAUCGCUAAGAACGUAAAAACCUCUUUUAGAAGUAAAUCCAAACCUUAGGAAGCGAAUAAAACGCCGACUUGAUCUGCUUCACUCUGCCAAGGAGCACCUCACACUUAAGAUACGGAAAAAAGCAUAAAGAUCUACUCUUUACUAUACAAAAAUCCUAACAAUGAGCUCAUACCCACGAGCGCGCAUGAGGGGAUCCUCGAAGGUGGCGUUCGGAGCGUAAAUUUCAAAAUCUCGAGCUGUCGCAGACGAUCCAUAUCUGUAAACGAUCGCCACCGAUCCCGAUUAAGGCGAAUUCGCAGCACCGAAAUCGAAAUAAGAAAGCAGGGUAAGAGAGUUCGAAACUGAGUAGAAAUUAGGGCCAAAAUCGGGUGAAAGCUAGGGGUCGAACUCACAGGUUGAGGAGGUGGGGGAUGAUGAGCUCGGAGAGCCCACGCGCUUGCGGUUUCGGGUCGGAUUUUGCGUCGUCGGAUUCCUUCGCGUGUUGCUCCGCUCGGCUACUCUCGUCGUCCAUCGUUGCACCCUACUUGCGCAUUCAAAUGACGAGGAAGAUAUUUCUCUUUUCUUAAAGAAGAGAUAAAUUAGAAAAAUAAAAAAAAAAAAAAAAAAAAAAAAAAAAAAAAAAAAAAAAAAAAAAAAAAAAAAAAAAAAAAAAAAAAAACACAAAGAUUAGAGUGUGUGGUGUUUGGGUAGGAGACGAUACGGAAGCAGGGAGCGGCCGCCGGCUAGCGAGAAAGUCUGGUUCAUAUCUGCACCACAUCAUUAAAUUAUUUUUUUAAAAAAUAAUAAAAAUAUUUUCCAUAAUUAUAUUAUUAUAAAAUUAAUUUAAAAAAUUAUUUAAUUAAUUGAAAAUAUAAUAUUAUUAUUGAUAUAAUUGGUGCAUUCUAAAAUUUUUUAAAAUUAAUGGCUUGGAAUGUUGCUACGUGGCACUCUCUCGUCCCAUUAGCUAGAUUGUGGCUGUUAACAACCUCAGGAUUAAAUUAAUAUUAAUAUAUAUAUAUAUAUAAAUAAAUAUAACUAAUGGGCCUGAACUGGCCGGGCCUGAAAUGGGCUUUGAGUUCGAACCCAAGGUUUGGUUCAAAUCUUGGGUUGCAAUUUGUAAAGGACCGGGCCGGGUCGAAUCUUGGGGUGUAAUUCGUAUGGGGCCUGCAAGAUAGCCCAUAUUACGGCCCAAUUCUCACGCGGACGAUUUGAAUCCAUCAGUAGUACUACCAUUUGAUUCAACUCCAAUAAGCAUUACAACGUUUUAGUGGGCCAGUGUGAAUGAAGGCAACAACUAACAAGCAAACACAACUAAGAAAAUAUAUCAACAUGUUGUGGCCACUCUUGUAAAUACCAACAUACAUAGCAUGCACAAAAUGUGAGAGGUGAAAAUCCACCCCUAAAAAGGAGCAAGAUGAGGAGCAAGGCGAAGGAGAAGGGGAAGAAGGUUCGAAAGCAGCUAGUGUGGGCAGAUGAGGUUGGUGGGGUGCUUGCUAAGGUGGUUGGAGGCAUUGAUGGAGGGGUAACUACUGCUAUUGCUCCGGGAGCUGGGCACGACAUACCUGGGAGCUCUAAUGGCCAUUUAAGAGGCCACCAACUGUUCAAUGGCCAUUUAAGAGGAAACCCCCAAAUCGAGUGGACGCGGCAGACGAGGAUGGCGGAGUUGCUUCCAAGGUGCAGCGGAGCCUGGGUGAAGACAGGAUGGCCUUGCAUCCGAAUGGCAAGGCGUCAUCUAUUGAACUUAGGAUGGAUGGUAAUGAUGGACACCAGGAAGGAAAAGAGGGGUUAUUACCUAGUUCAACUCUGGGAGGAGGAAGGAGUAGGUCGGGAGCUGGGAGUAGGUACUCCAACUUCAGCAUUCGGCCGUCCUAUAAAGAGGCGUUGUUGCGGAGGGGGCCUUCAGGUCUUCAUCAACCUGCCAUUCCACCCAAGAAAUCCCACUCCUAUUUAGGGCCGAAGCUCCUUCGUGGCAAGAUCCAAGCCAGGAAGUGCUUUCGGUGCCUGGCGACGGAUCAUCUAGUUGCUCAAUGCCGGGAUCCUAUAAGGUGCCGUAGCUGUCUUAGAUUCGGGCACCGGGCGCAGCAGUGUAAAGCUAAGGGUGGAAACAGGGUGGGCGAAGAAAUGUUCAGGCCUCUUCAUCGACAGGAUAGGCAUCACCAGCGCCCGGGAGGCCCGAUACGUGCACCGGUGGCUCGCCCCCCUCGCGCGAAGGUGUUCGUUCCCCUCACGGAAGAGUACUUACGGCGACGAGAGUUGCGUCGCAAUGCUGUCCUCGCGGACGUUCUACGACCCGCAAACCUCGGACAGGAUCCCAUUUCCGUUAUCAAAGCUGCGAUGGCUCGACGGUUUGGGGGGUACAACGACGACUUCGCGGUUGCCCGACACAGGGAGAGGGAUUUUGCCGUCUUCCUACCGGAGUGGGUGGCCGCUGCAGAUCUACUUCGGAGAGAGGUGCUGUCUUUAGGCGAGUUCUGGCUUCGCUGUUAUCCUUGGGGGAGACACUGGAACGCCCGCCCACAUCGGUCGGGGUACCGGGCGUGGAUAAGACUGUUAAACCUUCCAUUCGAAUGCUGUACUAUUCCCCGGGUGGCGGCGAUCGUAGGGGGAUUUGGGCGAUUUGUGAAGGCGGACGCCGUAUCCAGAGCCAAUUUGGACCUGCGAGCGUUCCGCUGCCAAAUCGUUCUCGACUCACUGCUUGACGUCCCUCAGAACCUGUCGGUGGUGUUGGGCGACGAAGUCUUCGCCGUCAUGGUCCACCUUGAACACUGGGAGAGGAUCGAGGAAGGAGGGAGGGUCGACCCACCGCAACCCCCACAGGAUGGACAGGAGGAGGGAGGAUCGACGAUCAAGGCGAGGCGGACAACAACCACCGACACGGUGGCGAAGAAGAAGAGCAGGAGGCCGCGGACGAGGAGAUGGAAAAAGAACAGGGAGUCGUAGUGGAGGCUGCUGGUGCACGGCAGACCAGCCAGGACCCAGCCAGCAGACUGGAGAACCGUAGGCUGGAAUUGGCGAGUAGAGGUGGAAGGUCGGGAGAGAGUGCUUGGAGGAGUCGGAGUAGGCGGCUGGUGGUGAGAGGUGGAGAUGUGCGAGGCGAGGGUCGCCUGGCAGUGAUUGGCAAAGCAACUAGCCCCACGAUGGAGCGGGCAAGGAGGGGAGCGGGGUCGGCGGCAGAGAAUCGAGGCUGGAGCUGGAGAAGGUUAGCAACGCCUGGUGGGGGAACUAAGCGAGGCUCGGGUGGGUUGCCGGCGAGCGACGGACGGCGGAGGGGUGCGACGUCCGUCGGGAGCGGCUCGGACGGCGCGUCGUUCGAGGCCUGUGGAGCGCUCGCAACGGUCACCGGUGGCGUGCGGGUCGAGAGAGGAUGGGCACCAGAUACGAGGAUAGGGGAGAAGAAGCUGGGGUGCAGUGCAUUCGCGAAAGUGGAAUGGGUAAAAGCUGUACAGGGAAGUUGGUUAAUUAAUUUUUUCCCUGCUUUGGAUGGUUCGUGCACUUAUUCCAAGGUUGGAGGACUAAGUGCAGUAGUUGACUUCAAGCAAUCGGAUUUGGUGCCGGGGCCUGUGACGUCCUUUGGUUGUGUGCUCUGGUCGGCCUGGGGCAUGGAGCUUGUGGGGUCGCGUGUCUGCCACCUUGCACCACGACCAUGCCUGGGGCUCGCCAGCUGGGGCCAUGGAAACGAGAAGUGGGACGAUUCUGCCGCGUGGGGGGCCCAUGGGUUGGUGGGUGCUAGUGGGAGUGGUAUCUCGGCUUGUCUGGUGCCACGCUGUGUGGAUGAGAUGGGUCGUCGUGACCGAAGCCUUCAGCAGGAUGGGCCCUUACUGAUCACGGCGGGGCCCACGGAGGUGGCGAUGGGGAAGGAGCAGUGCUCUGCUAGGGAGUCGGAGUGGGGGGGCCCGAGCAGGGUGGAGGAGAGUCAGCCUUUCAGGACUGCGGCAACGGAGCCUUUCGGUACUAGGAGCAGCUUGCGUUUGGCAAAGAGUGGGAAGACUUCGAUCAUACAGCGGGCCAUGAUCAGGAAGGCUAAUUUACGGGAGGGAGGCGAUGAGAGCGGAGGGGGUCGGUCGGUCAAAUUUCUGGCGCGCAAGAGCAAACUCUGUGGUGUGAGACUAGGAGAGGCGGAGGCGCGGAACUUUGAGGAGUUUCUGGCGCGCUGUGCGUAGAUGGGGAGCUUCUCGCAGAUGUGUGGGCACCUUUUUUUUUGGGUUUUGGGUUUUGGGGUUCCGGUGUCCUUAGGAUUAUAUUAUGAUAAGUGUGUGUAGCUGGAACGUUAGGGGACUUAACAGCUCCUCGAAGCGGGACGCCGUUAGGGCGGUUAUCUCCAAGCAUUGUAAUAGGAUAGUGUGUUUGCAAGAGUCCAAAGUGAACUUUGUGUCUAACUCCUUCUUGCGUAGCUUCGGUGGUCCUUUCCUUAACAAAUGUGUUUACCUCGAAUCCAAUGGUACCUCGGGGGGAGUCAUCACGUGCUGGAAUUCGCGGGUGUUCACCGGCCGCGAUGUCCUAGUGAGGAAAUUUUCGAUUACUGUGCUACUUUUGCAUGCCAAGUCCGGUAUUAGUUUUUACGUCACAAAUGUUUAUGGACCCGCGACAUGGGACGGGAAGGAGGAGUUCUUUUCGGAAGUGGCGCAACUGAAAUCGUUCUGUAAAGGAUGUUGGAUCAUUUGUGGGGACUUCAACUGCAUCAGAAAACAAGAGGAGCGGAAUGGAAAGACUUGGAGCGUUAGAAAUAUGACGCUCUUUAACAACCUUAUAAGUGAUCUGGCACUUAUAGAUCCUCCGAUGAUGAAUCAAUCAUUCACGUGGUCCAACAUGCAGCUGAACCCGACUCUUGCGAGGCUCGACCGAUUCCUAAUCUCUACGGAAUGGGAUCAGGAAUUUCCACUAUCCAAGGUUGUAGCGUUACCUCGCGUCACAUCGGACCACUGGCCUAUUCUGUUGUCGGUUCAGCGAGAGAACAAAGGAAGACAGAAAAUCUUUCGAUUCGAAGAAGCGUGGCUUAAUCACGACGGCUUCCAAUCAAAGGUGCCUGGAUGGUGGGCCGAGGGAGCGACUAAAAGUUCAGCCGUGCUUACCUUUUCUGCGAAGUUGAGACACUGCCGACAAAGGAUUAAAGAAUGGUGUAAAAACGAGUUCUAUAGCAUCCGAAAUCAUAAGAACCUUCUUAUGGACGAAAUCCACAAGUUUGAUUUAGCGGAGGAACUUGGAACGUUGCCCGAGGAGGGUGUUGCGACAAGGGAGGAAUUAAAAGACAAGCUGCGGAAGGUCUUAAGCGACGAAGCCGCCAUGUGGAGAUCCAGGGCGAACCAGCACUGGUUGCGGGAGGGGGAUAAUAACACGAAAUAUUUCCAUAGUUUUGCUAACGGGAGAAGGCGGGCCAAUGGAAUCGGAGUAGUUACCGACAAUGGUCGUGUUUAUCAAUCAGAGGAGAGUAAGAAGGAAUAUUUUUUUCGCUACUUCCAGCACCUGUUUAAGGCGGACGACACGGCGCCGCACUCCUUUGGCGACUGGAGUGGGCUUUUUACUUUUAGGCGGGUCUCGGUGCCCAUGAUGAGGAGGUUAAUGGCGGAGUUCAACGUCGACGAAAUAAAGGAGGCAGUAUUUCAGUUAGGUAGUGAUAAAGCUCCUGGACCGGAUGGGUUCCCAUUAAGAUUCUAUCAAACGUUUUGGGAUGCCCUAAAGGGAGAUAUCCAUAAUGUCUUCCAAGAGUUAUACGAAGGCAGGAUCUCGACUACUCCUCUUGACUACUCCUUCAUCUGUCUAAUUCCUAAGAGAGAAGGGGCGGAGAGAGCCAACGAGUUUCGGCCUAUCAGUCUUAUAAACGGCAUCCAAAAGAUCAUUUCGAAAGUCCUCGCUAAUCGACUGGCAGCUGUUAUGAACGAGUUAAUCUCUCCCUCCCAAUCUGCAUUCUUAAAAGGGAGAAACAUUACCGACGCGUAUGUUACAGUCUCGGAACUUAUUGGAUGGGGUUGUAGGGAGGCUAUUGAGGGGGUUGGUAUAAAAGUGGACUUCGAAAAGGCGUACGAUAGGAUUUACUGGCCCUUCCUCUUCAAUAUUCUCCGAUGGUGGGGGUUCGAGGAGAAAUGGUGUGACUGGAUCAAACAAUGUGUAUGCAACGCUAAAGUAGCUAUUUUGGUCAACGGCGAGCCGACUAACUGGACCAAAACUAAGAGAGGGGUACGACAAGGAGAUCCAUUAUCACCAUUCCUAUUCCUGUUAGUGGCGGAGUGUCUCGCUAGACUGACCAGCACGGCCACCACUAACAACCUCUUUGUGGGCCUUGGUCCUUCACAUGAGAGUCUAACGGCACUUACUCAAUUUGCGGACGAUACGUUCUUUUUCUCUGUGGCAAGGAAACGAUAUAUGAGAAAUCUACGACUUAUGUGGAGUUUAUUCGAGUGGGCAUCUGGGUUGAAAAUCAACAGAGAAAAGUCUGAGCUCUAUUACCUGGGACGGAUUGAGGGCAAAGCGGAGAGACUUGCGCUGUUACUCGAUUGCAAAGUGGGGUCCCUACCCACCACGUAUCUAGGCCUACCCCUCUCUCCUAAACCUCCCACAAAGGAGGUUUGGAGAGGUGUUAUUCAGAAAGUUCAGCACAGAAUAGAUGGUUGGCAGGCCAAACUCCUCUCGAGAGGGGGUAGACUUAUCCUAGUCAAUGCGGUCCUCACCAACCUACCACUGUUCUUCCUGACAGUGUUUAAGGCGCCCAAAUGGGUCAUCAAGCGUAUUGACGCUAUACGCAGAGAUUUCUUUUGGAAUGGCCAAUGCGACCUUCCUGGCAGGGGGUGCCUGGUCGCGUGGAAAAACGUCUGCUUGAGCAAACGGGCAGGUGGGCUAGGGAUUCUAGACUUAACCGCCAUGAAUACGGCUCUUCUAGUCAAAUGGUGGUGGAGGUUUCAUACUGCACCCCAUUUGCCGUGGAUCAAGAUUAUCCGGGCUUUGUAUUAUCGUAGAAGAAGACCGAUGUGGGAGGGGAGAGGGUUCCGACCGUCUUCACACUGGUGGAAAGGGGUGCUAACCACUAAAGAUUUUUUCAAAUGGGGGACGGACUUUCAACUGGGUAACAGGAGAGCGGUUGACUUUUGGCUUGACAGAUGGUGUGGGGAUACCACACUCCAAGCGUCCUUCACAGAGCUAUUCACACUACUGGAUCGAAAACCUAGGCUGGUCCGGGACUGCUUUGGAACCAACGAUUGGGAUUGGAAUAGGAUCUUGGGCGAUGAAACGACUGUCCCGCCAACCCUGCGCCCAAGCAUCUCAGAACUCAAAGAAAGAGUUACUAGCUUUUGUAUUGGACUGACAGAGGACAGGCUAGGGUGGAGAUGGGAUAGGAAUGGUUUAUUUUCAGUCCAAUCGGCCUAUCGCAUGUUGAAUGACGGGGGCACGAGAGACGAACGGGGUAGUCUGAUUUGGAGACUUCGCACCCCACUCAAGAUCAAAGUCUUUUGUUGGCUAGUGCUUAAGAAAAGAACACCUACGGCCGUUAACCUCAGUAUGAGGGGUUGGCCUGGAAGUACGGCGUGUCCGCUGUGUAGGAUUCACGACGAGUCAGUGGAUCACCUGUUCACCCAAUGCGUCUUUAUCAAGUAUAUCAUGGUAGCGGGAAUGAAGAAGUACAGUUGGGGGAGAUGGGCGAUGACGUCCACGAUGUUUGGGAUAAGUGGAGGCGUACGGAUGGUGGUCUAAAUAGGAGAAACGGCCUACCUGCGCUAGCAGCAUGCUGGUGGACCAUUUGGAAAGCUAGAAACGACCUUAUCUUUCAAGACAUACAGUUUGACCCAGUAGGUGUGGUGCACAGGCUCAAGUAUCUGAUCGACUCUUGGAACGAAUCUCUCUAAAGUUUAGUUUUUUUUUUUUUUUUUUUUNACAUACAGUUUGACCCAGUAGGUGUGGUGCACAGGCUCAAGUAUCUGAUCGACUCUUGGAACGAAUCUCUCUAAAGUUUAGUUUUUUUUUUUUUUUUCGUAUUUCGUACUUGCGAGGCCCUCGUUGUCUCACCCCUGUAGCCUAAUUCACUUUUUCAAUGAAUGAAGCAGGUAGCGUGCUACCUAUUCUCAAAAAAAAAAAAUUCCAAUAAGCAUUAAGCACUACAAAGUCGCCUAGCUUGCACUUUUAAUAAAUAAAUUAUAAAAAGCUUUGGCUGACUCACUGGGCAACGGCUAUUAAAAAUGUGUCAUGAAAUUAAGGGCUGACAAAUGGACGAUGCAUGAGUGUACAAAUGCGGAUGCAAACAGUAACAUUUCGAUAAGAAUGUUAAACAAUUUUGACAUCAUGAGCAUGUAAUCGGAGACGUGGCCCGCGUGCAUGAGGGGGUCAUGAGUUCAAUCUUUCUGGAGAAUAUAUAUUGUCUCACAAGGUCCUUUCAAUAUUUUGAUUAAGUGGUGCUAAAAGGAUGGAACGAAACAAUAUGAAUAAAUACAUAGGGCAUGGUCCCAGGUGCGGUGGAUUUAUUCUAAAUAUCAUUUAGAAAUCUUUAUGCAUGCUUUUGAUUCUCCCUUUUGUUAUUCUCCCUUUCCCCCUUUCUUUUUCUUCUCCCUCUAAAUGAUUAUUGCUUAACUUUCCUCUAACCUAGUUUGUUCAGCAGUAGGCCAGUGUCUGAAUGCAAAUUGUCUUCAUACAUCUUCUCUUCAUUCGGAUAAGGUUCUAUCUCUCUUUUCCUCCUUUUCUUCUUUCAUAAGGUUCCAUAUCUGUUUCUCUUUCCUUCUUUCAUAAGGUUUUAUGAAGUGAAGAUAAAUAGUGAGAAAAUAAUUCAGUCUGCGUAAGUAAUAUUUGAUUUAUUGAAUCAAGAGCUCAUGCACGCAUUCAGUAACUACGGUGUGAUUAUUUUUUAUUGAGUAUUAAAACUGCAUGUUGAGUACAGUUUAUAUGUACUAUAUCUCAGGUCCAGUUUAUAAACCAAAUUUUCGUGGUAAAAUAUUUAAAUUUAAAUUUCAACAAAAAAGCAAUACUCCAGUACUAAAUUAGUACUGCUCUAGAGGGUUCGGCUACGUAACAAGGCCAAACACGUCUUCUCCAUGUGCCCAAUCAAUUCGAAGAAGAAGCCAUUAGCCAACAUUUGAAAGAGAAGGUCAUUCCAAUGGUCAAAGAGAGCAUACAACUGGAAUUGCUCAAAUUAACCACAUUCCUAUAUUGAGUAGUACAUGAUCACUUUGCACAUGGCUUGUGGAAUCAUGAAUCACACAUUAAUCACAGUUGCUCUAUGUGGCCCACUUUGUUAAUUAGUGCUGAUGAAUAAAUAGAGAAACAUCAGUCAAUAAUCUCACAUCAAUUUUAAGAUGGUAGGAGGUCUGCGUCAUCAAUCUUUUCCCUCCUAACGUAUACAAUAAUUGAGAGGAAAGGAAAAAACUAAAGUAGCUUUUUAAUUAAUAAUGUUUAGUUAAGGAAUUAAAAAAAAUGAGAUGAGCUAGAUAUUGUAGAAGCUUGUCGUGGCGUUUUGUUUGAGGUUAAUUAACUUAAUCCCUCUGCAGAACGGGUCGAUAAUAUUUCCUGAUCUUUUGCGUGAUGUAUUUCUCUUGUGAGAGUGACCUAACAAAUAUAACAAAUGAAAACGACAUCCACCCACGAGAUGCUUUACAUAAAAUAGGAUGAAUAUUAAGCACUGUCUCAGUACUUAGGCAAUCCAUUAAGGUUAGAAAUAAUUAUUAAUUUGUAGUGUUCAUUUAAAACGAUUUGAUAAGACAAUGAUCUUAAUCUAUUAAUAGGAUAGUAGCUAAAUUCUAUAUAUACUAUCAUUUCCUGUCUUACAGCCAAAAAAUUAAAUAAAAUCCUCCAAACAUCUGACAUGGAUUAAUCCUUUGGAAACAGCUCAGUCCUGCAGGUGAUCGGUGCUAAACGGGCCCCAUCCAACGAGCCAAAAUUUUGCAAAAGGUUGAUGUUAACUUCAAGCCACCUCAGCGAUUCUUAUUGCUUCUAGAUGGCCACCUUUUAAAAUGCCCAGCAUCAACUAAUAAAAAAUUUCAAAAGGCUACAGUGAUGUUUAACUAUGUUUUUGUUAUUUAUUCCUUAAUUUGCUUGUUAAUGGCGAUUACCACUAUGUAUGCACUGCUGGUUUAAUGACACCAAUGCAAUAUUCAGAUCUCAGCGUUAAUAAGUUGUUGGAGGAUGAACUCAGCACAUGGAAGAUUGAAUUCACCUGCACAUAAUUUACUGAUCACAACAUUUCGCAGCAGAUACAUGCAUGUAUAUAUCAACUUCAACACAAUAAUUAGAAAUUUGGAUUUCCGUUAUGCUCGAAAGAUGGGCUGAGUUUUGUUUUUUCCCUAAAAAGUACCUAUUUUAUAAUUUUUUAUACAAUACCGCAAUUUCUACAAAUCUCAUGAAAAGUUCUAAGUGUGGGUCCGAAAACCAAUACAAUCUGCUCCUCGGGAAAAGGUGUCAAUCAAUUGCGCGAGAUAAAAAAAUAAUAAUAAUAAAUUUAGAAGCCACCAUUAGAUUGCUGGAAGAAUUGACUUACAAAAUUCAAAAUGCAUAAUAGUUAUAUUAACUGACAAUUAACUUGGGAUUACUGUAAUACAAAGCUUUCUCCAUUUUCUUAUCUUUUCAACUACUAUUCCCACUAGUAAAAGUGUCUUUUUAGUUUCCUUUUUUUUUUUGUGUACUUCUUAAAUUAUCGUCAUCAAACCUAUAUAUAUCCACCAUUACUUUUCCCAUCUCCCUAUGGUGAUUAACCAUAAAAAGGAAUUAAAAAAAGGUGCCACGUUGUAACGACAUGAGUAAACGACGUUAUGUAAGGCUUACACAGCAAAACUGAAAGCAGGAGAUCCGUUUAAUUAGACGCCGUCGCUGCAGAAAAAGCCAAAAAUUAGCAGCUACUAAUUUUAAUUCCUAAAACCUGGCCCUCUUUUAAUUAGACUGCAAAUUUCAUAUUCACAAAAUACUAAUGAACAAUUAACAUGAGAUUACAGAAUUUUGCUCCAUAUAUAUANUAUAUAUAUAUAUAUAUAUUCCGCACUUUUCUCAACCACAAAAUUUCUUUAUUUCUACGGCUUUCCCUCCUCCACUAUAUCAAUGUACAAUACAUAAUUCACCUUAUUAAUUAUCCGUCCACAAGCAAAAUCCUUUCCGAUUAAAUAAAAAUAAAAAUAAAAAUAAAAAUAAAAACUGACGCGCAACGGCGUUAGCAAACGGCGUCAAUUUUAGGAUGAAGUAAAAAAACUAACUAACAGGUAACAGUAGAACACAUGGUAUCACCGGAAGGACCUGCCGUUAAAUCAGAGUCAGACGUCGACGCUGCAGCCGGUCAUCUGCUGGAACUUGAAAGACAGCGCGGCGCCGCCGCUGCCGUCGCCGCGGGUGGAGAGAAAGGCAGGGCAGUUGACGAAGAGGUGGUAGUGGCCGGAGAUCCAGCUCCCGACCUUCCACCGUAUCCGGCCGUCGAUCUUUACGUGCACCAGCAAGAACCCCGCCGCGCAGUCCUGCUGCAGCGCGUCCGCCAGGUACGGCGCCACCGGCACGGCCGCACCGUAGAGAUACGGCGACCACACGUCGAUGUCGUUGUGCCCCUGAUACACCGGCGGCAACACCGACGACAGCGUGAUCUGCUGAUACCUGUCCAACAUAAAAUUUAUAGUUCAAAAUACCGUUCUUAUCCAUGAAUAAGACAGAUCGAUGGAUAUAAAAAAGAAUUUUUUUAAAAAAAAAAGAAUUGCAGUUGUUUAGCAGGUUAGUUAAGCUGAUUACUUGUAGGAGGCGUAGACGUCGACGCGGUCGUAGUAGAUGCCGAUGUGGUCGUUGGGGUUGCGGGAGGAGAUGGUGACCUGGAUGACGGAGGAGAGGAUGUUGUCGGGGGUGGAGAGGUUGAGCUGGUAGACGGAGGCGUCCUGCAGGUAGAACUUGGGUUUGGUGGGGCGGAGGGCGAGCCAGACGAUGAGGAUGAUGAGGAGGACGAUGAUCACCAGCCCCAGCAGGCACGCGAAGGCGCGCCGGUACAUCUUCUGCCGCUCGCACUCGCCGUGGUUGCCGCAGUCCUUCCCCAUCCUUGUAACUGCUCAAUUAUUAGUUGAUUAACAGCUAAUCGAUCGAUCACUACCUGUUCAGUGAAUCGAGCACUAGUAGAUCGAUUAAUUUUAGCUAGCGCACAGGGUUGAUUUUGAGUGUUUUUGUGUUGGUGGUGACUGGGAAUUGAGUGCUAGGAUUAGGUAGGAGAUAAGAGGGGGAAGAGGCGAAGGGGGAGGGGGAGGGGGAGGGGAAGGAGAGAUAGGUGGAGAAGGGAGUGGAUCGAGUGGAUUAGUAAAAUAAAGUUGCUAGGUUAUAUAGUGUGGAAAUUAACUCGAUCGAGGUGGAGAUGGAGAUAGGAGAGAGGUACGAUGCACCGCAGGAGAUGACCAACUUAGGCUCAUUUUGGUCUUCUGUGUACGUAAAAACGUGCUAUUUUAAUAGUACUGUAACAAAAAUAACUUUAUUAAUUACAGGGUUUUUUUUUUGGGUGCAUUAAUUUCUUUCUGAGUUUUGGUAAUGAAAACAGAAAUUUUUAAUUAUCUUGUACUACUGGUCGGAUAAUUAAUUUUUCAUUUUCAUUCCUGCUAUAAAAGAGUUUCGAUUUUUUUUCUUUUGAUUUAUUGCAUAAUUAAUUGCAUUAGACUAGAGAUUACCACCAAGCCUCUAUUAUCUUUUCCUUUAGAAAAUAAUAUUUAAUUAAUGAAUCCCGUCAUUUUAGUCUUCUCCAAUAUGCAUCUCCAUUUUUUUUUCACUUUUGAUGAGCCUAAAAAUAUAAUAUAUCUGAUAAAAUUUUUCAAAUUUAAAUUUUGAACUCAAAUCUAUAAAUAAAUAUUAGUAUAUAUCAACUUUCUAUACUCUUAACUAGAUCUUAAUAAGUAAUUACCAAGUUUUUUUUUCUCUACUUUUCAUAAGGAUUUGUAAUUAGUGAUUCGUCGAGGCAAUCAUAACACCCUCACAUGAUUGACAGUUAAAUAAAAGAGCUAUAAAAAUAUAAGCGCACAUUAAUUAAGAGAUGGCUUGUGUGGAAGCGGGGGAUCGUAGAGCCAAUAGGGUGGUCACGUAGACAAAGAUGUGGCCAAGUUAAAAUCAUUUUAGCGCUAGAGAAUAAAUUGGGCGCAUCAUAAUUAAGGUUCAAUUUACCUAAUAAAUAGUUAACAUCUGUGUCUUAUUUAUUUUUUAUUUCACUAAAUGCGCGUUUCAUUUUAUAUUGCACGGUCAUUGCGAAGUCAACGAGUUCCUUGGAUCUCACACUAAACUAUAUACAGGUUUGUUUCCAAGCAAUUAAACUCGAGUAAGUUCAUACUACCGUAGCAAUCAAUCAUUGUGCACGCGGUGGGUGAGAUAUAACAAUGUAUACGCAUCCAUCAGCUAAUGCAAGUGGUGUGUACGUUGGAGAUGAUGUUUCGACCAUGUUAGGGCGAAUUUUUGGACGUGUGAGUGUGCAGGAUAUGAAGGACUGAAACCAUGUCAAAAAUUAAGAUAAAAAAAAAGAGAGUUUAAUUACGACGCAUACGAGUAUGUUUUAUACUUUUAUACGUGGUAUUUCUAUUUCUAUUUUGUAAAUUUGUGGGUGAUAAUUAAGGCGGUGUGUUGGGUGGGUGGUCGGAGUCCGCGUCGCGUCAAACAACGACGUAACCGCGACGCUUCCGCACCGACUGUUUCUGCGGCCGAGAAUGAAAAGGGGGAUGACGUGGCGUCGGAUGAGCGGAUGGUUCUGGGUGUCACGGAAUCUUGGGUUCGGUAAGAGAACGUGACCGAGCCCGUACGAGGCUUAUUCUUUAUCUUCGACGCUAGGGUUUGGUCUCAGUUUGGUUUUGGACUGUGACAGUGGAACAUGCUGCAGCACUGCUACGAGGAGAUAGCAUGAAUUUUUUUUUUUUUUUUUUUUUUUUUUAUAACGAAGACUUCGUGCAAUAAUUGUAUAUGAAUUCCUGUUUUCAAUUAAUUGAUAUAUGAAAUACAGAAAUAAAUAGGAGGAUCAUCAUAUUUUGCAAAAUCACAAUGCUCCUGAAACUUACACUGCGGUAUACGAAAGCAUCCGUACUAAGUGAUUUUGUCCAAUCAGGUCAUCAUCUAAGCAUAGAUUUAUUUCUUCUUAUUUUAAUAUUUUGGACUUUGAAUCAUAUUUUACUACGGUAACGAGCAAAAAUACUUUCGAUCUCUACCUCCAUCACCUUCACAAUCCCUUGAUUUAACAAUCGCAACGUAUGAGAUGGCUCAUACGAAUCAUUAACACCACAAGAUUUUAAAAAAAUUAUAAAAAAAAAAAAAUUAGCAUCAUACGCAUAUCAACAACAUCCUGUGGGAAUUUCUCUGCACCGCACCUGGUGUGAGAUUGCAGUUUGCGGGAAUCUUAAAGCUGUUGAAAACUCUGUUGCUGGAGCCCAUAAUGAGAUGGCGUAGGGUGAAGUAUGGACCAGCGAAUAGUACGUGAGACUGUGUGAGCAGUGAGCUAAAGGGAAAGAGAAGCACCUCCCUCUUCUGUCUCUCUCUCUCUCUCUCUCUCUCUCUGUACCUCUUUAUUAUUUAAUUUUGUACAAUCCAUUAAUGGCGACUCGCUACCAACCUUUGUCCCCAUUUUCAUUAUUAAGCCCCGUAACGCACGCCACAUGUUCUCCCACCCCUUAAUUUGGCUAUCCACGAUUUCUCCACAAAUGUCAUAUCUCCAUAUACAACCAACAAAUAAUUAACCUUGUUGGUAGAUGCUUAAUGAUUUUGUGCUAAACGCACCAACUUACUGGCGUGUCACGCGCAUCCCUAAGACCUACUAUAUAUAAGCUGCUGGGUUAGUUUAACACGAUCAUGAGAAGUUUUUUUUUUAAAAAAAAAAAUAUUAGUUACGGUUUGUUCUCUUUUUCAAAUAAGAAAGAUGUUAAGAAAAAUAUAAAGAUAGUUAUUUUUUUGGUGCAUUUUUUAGUUGGCAAAAAAUAUGUCAUGGCGCGUGCAGUUGGAAUACAGUGUAAACUAAUUUAUAAUUUAAUAAAAACUAUAGAAGGAGAAUUGGUAGUGCAUUCAAUUAUGUAACAUUUGAAUCCAAAUAGAAUAGAAACGAAAGCACCAGACAAAUAAGGCUAACAAUUUUUACUUUUAUUUUUUUAGAGAUACGUAGCACAUUACCUGUUUUGUUUAUUUCAUUUAGAAAUAAACUUAGCUAGAAAUGUGAAUCAACUAGAAUUCGAACUUGGAUCUCAGAUACCAACUACCAAGCGCUUUGCCACUUUGCUCUAGGGACGGUCGGUCAAGCUAACAAAAUUUUAAGAAUAAGAAUAAAAGGAAAGGACAAUGUGAAAGGAGAAAAGAAGAAACCGCGGUCCUCAAGAUAACACUAAAAGCCGGGAAGGGGCUUCCUCCAACCACCGUUGCAGCUUUUGCUUCCUCAAACCGCCUUAAUGGACAUCGCAUUUGAGAGUAAAAUAAGAAAGAACAGCUUUGAGAAACAGCAGCUGAGGCUCGUAUGCCCACGAUGACUCCAGAUAGUACUAAGCAAAAUGUCCUUACAAACACGUUUCUAAUGAGCAUAUAUAUGCUUCCCUUGGGCAUGCAAAAGCACUUCAUAAAUUAUCUCCUUACUCCAGAAUAGUAGCAGUAACAAAAGAGACAAAAGACAAUAGGAACAGUAAAAACCAGAGAGCAAAGAAUUUCUCAGCAAUACACACCUUUCACUUUCACUUUGCAGUUUCACCUAGUUUUGUGCCGUUAUUUGUAACUCUUUCAAUUUGAAAAUAGUUCGGAAUUGGUUUAUACGUCACUUUUAAGUCUUUCUUAAUUUACUUCAGUUUUCAAACCGUGUUGAUACAAAACCAGUUAAAGUCACAAAGAUACAGAUAAAACAAACCAUUUCUUCUUACAUAUCGACUCCGACUUUGACUACAAAAGCAGGAUGAUUAAAAUUUGAAAAGGAUAAUGAUGAUUCCAGAAGAAUCCAACGAAAAGUGCUUUAUAGUGUUAGCAACUUUUAAGCGUCAAUAAUAUGUCAAACAUCGAUCGCAAGCUUUAACGGAUGGCUGAGAAAUUUGGUAAAAUGUACCUUUAAGAAGGCAUUAGCUACCUUUCGCUAUCAUAUACACUUUGCAUAGAAUCCAAUGCCAAAGGAAUAUGACUAAAGAGGUUGCAAACAAAGCAGAGGCCAACAAAAUAAGUGCUUAAUUAAUGAGAAUGACAUGAUACGAUAUUCAUAUGUUUUGUUUAUUACAAUCAAGUUGUUUUAGGAAAUUCAGAAACAGACUAAUACAAUGCUUAUGAUAAAGUUAAAAUACGGAGGAUGAAAAACAGAAUUCGAUAAGAAACUUAAGAUUAUUAACCAUACAGAUUCUACAAAUAGAGUAACAGAUCAUACUAAUAUUAACCAUCUCCUCGUGAAAUUCUACAGAAGAAAGCUCUCUUCUGCUACCAGCAUAGAAUUUAGAAUUUUUCAGUUCCCCAGCAUUCAAUAAAAAAUCAACUUCUAUAGCACAAAUAUAAAUACAGUUUAUUUCACAACAAAGAGAUAAGCUAAAGAAAUGCAUUAAAACUUCAGGCAAGGCCCACAGAUAUAUAUAUUUUUUUAAAAAAAGCAAAAAAAUUUUAGGCGACCGGCUAAAGGCAUGAUCUUCUUGGCAGGGCAUGUUGUUUUGCCCUGAUGAUGUUCAAUCUAGGCCGAUCUGAACAGAAAACUAGGUAUGGUUUGAAAAGAACAACAACUCGUUUUGUUUUAAAAAAGGACAUACCAUAGUUCCAGCUGCCCUUCUAACGCUCGCCCAGUAGUGCAAUUCGAAGAUCAUAUUAUAAGUUUGGAUCUCUCAAUUCUACAGGUAAGCUAAACACAAACAAGUAAAAUGAUCUAUACAGCCCCCAGUAAUUCAUAUGUAGUAUGUAGUUCGACUGGAACAAGAAUUAACUUCACAAGCUUCACAUAAGUAUACUCCCCGUGCUACAACUCACAACUCCACUACAGCUUUAAAUUUACACCAGUCAACUGUCAUUCACACUCACUUUCCACUGAGAAUUAAAAAAAAUAGCCGAAAGGUGAAUGGCAUUCUUAUGGUUAGAUGUGUAAGGCGACCCGAAGCUAGUUCUAUCUCUAUCCAGCUUGUAUGUUCUGGAAAAGGAACCAAAGGAUAAGGUGCUACACAUAACACCAGAGGCCAAGACAAAAGAAGCAUCAGGACCCACCUAUUAAACACCACAUACCUUACUCCAAACAAUAUCCUUAUGUAUCUCCCAUCCAUAUUUCAUCAAUCAUAACCACCUAUUAAACACCACGUUCCUUCUCAAGCUCAUGGUCAAGACACCCACAAUAUCCCAAUCAGCGUGGUUAAUAAAAUAAGAUGCUACAAGGACAUGAAAAGAUGGUAAGGGUACAUGCAAGUAAGCAGGAAUGUUUUUCCAUUAUUAGCAACUCUAUUGCAAUACAAUGCAAUUACUCCCUGUAAUUAUCAUCCAUAUCUGUAAUCACAGUAAGGAACCAUAAAACUUGCAUUUCAUGACUUCCAUCCAUAGAUAUCAUCAGUAACUGAAAAUAGGUUCCAUAACACAACAGCAUAUAUAUACCUGCAUGUGUUUACUCAUUUUAUCAUGAAAAGAUGGUGAAAACAUGGCCCUGAUCUAAUUUUGAUAAUUCAGUUCCCAAGAGUAAAGAUCACCUUAGCAUACUGCAGAAAAAGUAAAAGCUAUGUACUGAAAAGAAGCCAAUUUAUGGUGUCCCAAUUCACAAUCUGACAAUAAAAUGCCCUCUUAAUGGUUUUACAAAGAUCCAUCUACUGGCCAAGAAUUUCAAACAAAUAAAAAUAAAAAAUGUAGCCAAACAUUUUACAUCUCCGUACUUUCCCUUCAGCAUCAAACUUCUGUGAAGAGAUUUGGCAUGUUAAAAGAGAAAAAAAGUGCUAUUUACAGAGCCCCCACGACAAAAUAGCACAACUAAGGCUUAGUUUGGUAUUGAGGUGGAUCUAACGCUAUUAAAUAGAAUGGAGUUGAGAAAAAACAUAUAGGAAUAUGCUUCUACGUUCUCCGAUGGGACUAUAGAAAAUAUAUCGUAACUGACUAACCGUAAUAUGUGGAACGCAAUAUUACGUACGGAAACAAACAAGGUAUUUUCGCAUCGUCGUUUCUCACCGCACGUAACGCAAUGUCCCCGCAAUCCCAAACGAAGCCUAAGUAAAACUAGCUCAUCUACAAGGAGCAUAAGAAAAGGUUCAAACGCAUAAGGAAAAUGCGAUACUUGAUUGUAUGAACUUGGAUUGUUAGUUCAAGCAACAACCAAAACAAUCUCAAAUAUUUUAGAACCCUAAUCAUUAGAGAAAGGAGGUUAAAAGAUAGUCAGAUACAUGAAAGGGCAGUAAGCUAGCACAGACUGGGAUUAGUUUCCUUAUUCUACUACAACCACCAAAUUUUAACACAGAAUGUUCUACGAAUUCUUCAAUUUUGUGUUCACGAGUAAAAAGCUGCUAUUGAUCAUCUGCAAGUCUGAGAACUGAUUCUCUUUUUGUAACAGUCAAUCAAGAUAUUUCUAGUUCAUAAACCAUAAAGGUACACACAGCUAAUGCUUCUGAGAUACUCAUCUAAUCAUCUAUGGACACGUUACAAUCUGCAAGCAAAUAAUAAUUGUUGUUAAGACAAACAAAGAGCUUCUUAUAAGCUCAGAUAUUACAAUCUUGUCUUAUUAAGUUCGACUAUGAUCCUUCAAUUUAACUAAAUUAUUUGACUUCUGCAUCUCAGAGAUGUAAGUGUCUAAGCAGAGCAAUCGCAAUAGCAGUUCAUUAUCUUACUUAUAGCUAAAACUGUUCAGAGUUCAAGUCUCAUGACCAAACUAUUAUUAUGAAGAGAAAAUAUUGUUCUUUAGGAUCCCUUCAACAAUGUCGGAUCAAUUAGGAACUCCAGUCAAGUUUUCCAUAACAGCAUAAAAGUAUUAUUCACAAUUCUAUUGAAAACUAUAGGGUUAAUUUCUUCAAUACCCUCCUGAAAGGUUGUAAUUUCAUAAAUACCCCUUCAAAUUGUAAAAUAUCAUUGGUGCCCUUUUAUACAUUAAAAGGGUUUAGACGGACAUUUGCAAUAAGAGUUAUAUGUUUAGAGGGGUAAGAAUGAUAUUUUAGAGUUUGAAGGGGCAUGCAUGAUACUUUGAAGUUUUAGAAGGUUAUGUUUGAAAUUGCCCCAAAAGAUAUAUAACAUAAAGUGAACAACAUCCAAUAGCUGGGGCAUCAAUUGAAUGAGAUGCUAUUUUCGACUUACUAACCGUCCUCCUCUCAAGCUCCAGAAAUUAUGUUUCUUGCAUCAACAGAAACUUGUUCCUCGAAGUCAACUUCUAUAUGCAACAACCAUAAAUGUCAGCUCAAUCCAUAUUUCAGCAGAUGUUCAACUUUUACAAAGAAUACCAUAAUAGUGUUUCCAUUCCAACUCAAAAUGCAUCCCCUAAUAACCAACGUACAAUAGUAUCACCCAGAUCAAUGUCUGGAAUCUACCCAAUUGAAACCAACCUAUAGAGGCAAUUUUAAAUAUCUGACAUUCAUUGCAAAUAAAACACCUCAAGUUUAGUACCGUAGAAGGAGUAAAGCUGAAAUACAAAGGAUGGAACUGGAUGCCUCAAAAACAAUAAAGGCCAAAUAUCAGCAUGGGAUAAGCGAAAACCACACAAACAACUUUAGCGAUUAACAGAGACAACAUAAUGCAGAAGAGAAUGACAACAACUUAAAAGAGAGGAGAGAGUAUGAAAACAUGCGCAACAACUUUAGAAAGGAGAGAAAGUAAGAAAAACAAAAGGACCAAUUAUAAACAAAAAACCAAAGCAAAGAUAUAUUUGUCACAAGCAUAGAAACAUAAGCAACAGGCACGGGUGAGAAGGGAAAUCCCUUAUAUGCAGGUGUCAAGUUUGAUUUCAUCAAUUUGUUUGUGUGUGAAAAAAUAAAAGAAAAAAAACCAAAACAAACACAAGCAAUUGGUAUUGGCAGUUUUAUCAAAAUCUACAUGCAAAAUAAAGUAAGUUAUCUACAAACAUAAAGAAUAAGAAAGGUGUUCAAGUAAGACAAUUCACAAAACAAUGGGAAUAACUUAUCUUUACUGUCCAUUCCUCAAUCAUCAGAUUUUAAGUUUAAAUUUCAAAUUUUAAAUUUGAUAUCUCAAUAUUCAAAUUUUAAAUUUCAAAUUUUAAAAAAAUAUUUUUAAAUUGAAAUUUAAAAUUUAAAAUUUAAAAUUUGGAAUUUGAAUUUGAAAUUUAAAAUCUGAAUUUAAAUAUAAAUUUGAAUUUAAAAUUAAAAUUAAAAAUUUGAGUCUAAAUUAGAAUCAAAUUUCAAAAUACAAGUUUAAGCUGCUGCUGAUUUUGGUCUCUAAAAUCAAAAAACUAAUUCUAAAAAUCAAAAGCAGAUUUUAAAAAAAAAAUAUUUACCAAUAGCCCUACUGAAGGAAAAUCACUUUUUGCCAUAAAAUCACUUUCCAUAAUGUAGGCCAAACACCCACAUAUUGCAUCGCCAUUUCAUAUGUUUGAUAACAAGAUCAAACAGAGAAACAAAAAGAUGACAUCGUCAAACAGGUAGACAAAAAGAUGACAUCCUCAAACAGAGACAAAAGAUGACAAUCAACAAUCACUAUCCGAAACAUCACAAGUGCUUUAGGUCAUUAGGUUUCUUUGAAAAAGAAACACGAAAAUGAAAAUAAAUUGUGGCUAGAAACGAAAAUGAAAAUAUAUGGAUAGACACCAAGGACACAGCCGGGCAAUGCAACCUAAAAUGGAUACUGAUAUCAAGAUUAGAACUCGCUUAUAAAUGGAAUCAAUCAUUUAGAACAACCCAAACCUGUUGUAUCACACUAAUUUCGCCACAUAUUUGUGACCCUGAAUGAAAAACCGCUCCCACUUAAAUAAAAUAACAACACGAGCAGGCAGAACAACAAUUCAACAAAGAGGAACACGGCACAAAAUGCUUAAUCUCAACAAUUAGGAGUUGUAAACAAGCAGUUACUAAUUCCGUAUCUACAGGGCAAUUUACGAGGCGCAACAAAGAUUAGCAAUCUUUUGUGCGUUAAUCAUGUCAUAGUCUAGUAAAACUGAAACCAAAUGUACCCGAUUAGCUCUACCAUUGAUCCCAUACAGCUACGAACUAGUAAAAUAAUCGACUACAAAAACCUAUGCAUUCGCUUACUCAAAGAUAAACCUGGCACUGCUUCGGCGACCCCAAGAGAGAUCCCAAACUAGCCGUAGAGUUAUUGAACCCAAUGGAGACGUCCUCGCAGUAGACCCUCAUCACGUGCCGCCUCGUCCGCCACCCACCCGAAUUGAACACCGCCCAGGAGAGAACCCUAAACUGGAAUCUAACAGCGCCAUUACCGUGGGAUCGAUCCGAGUUGAUCCCGUUUGUGACGUCGCCGCCGACGUAUUCGCCCGCCGCGACGAGCCGCGCGUGGACGGUGGUGACGUUCCCCUUGCUCUGGUAGAAGGGCGGGAGCGAGGUCUCGGAGAUGGUUUCGCCGCCGUAGACGACGGCGGCGCGGACCCCGUCGUACUGGACGCCCAUCUUCUUGUUAGGGUUCCGCACCGUUAGGGUUACGUCGAAGUCGGCGGAGAGCUGCUGGGACGAGGAGGAGAGGUUGAAGGAGGAGACGGAGGCGGAGGAGACGGAGAACUGGGGGAGCCGAGGGCGGAGAACGAGCCAGAGGAUGAGGGUGGCGGCGCCGACGACGACGAAGAAGGCGAUGGCCACGGCGAGGAGGCGGCGGAGGAAGAGGGUGUUGGAAGGCCCCAAGGCGGAGGUGGAUGCGGCUGCGUAGGCCGGUGGAUAGUACGGCGGAGGCGCCACGGGCGGCGCCGCCGCGUGGCCCGGUUGGGGCGCGUAGUAGCUGUAGGAGUUCGCUGCCGGUGGCAGUGGCGGCGCCGCCGUUCGGGCCGACGGCCGGGUAGCCGGUGACGGGGGCUUUGGGAUCGCUCGUAGAGCCCAUCGUGCACGCGAGAGAUAGAAGAGAGAGAGAGAGAGAGAGAGAGAACGAGAACGAGAGAGAGAGAGGGGGUAGAGAGAGAGAGAGAGAGGGUCGAAAGGGGCUUUUUUCUUUGUGUUAUAUUCCCAUCCCUUGUAUCGAAGGAACCGCGUACAGUAACGAAACUAGCGCGUAUAAAGAAAGAGCCUCGGAUUAGAAGCAACGGCGGAGAUGAAUAAGGAUUCUUUUGGAAUUACGGGAAGGUUGCGUUUCGUGCGGUGAGAAAGUACGUUAGAAAAAUAUUCGAUUUAUUUCGGUACGUAAUAUUGCGUUUCGCAUAUCGCGACGAGUCGAUUACGAUAUAUUUUCUGCUGUCCCACCGGAGAACGCAGAAGUAUAUCCAUAUAUGUUUUUUCCUCAAACUCUAUUUUAUCUAAUAACGUUAGAUAGGUCUCAAUACCAAACUAAACCUAAAUCACCAAUGCGAUCUGUGAAAAAUUGCUCUGCUUUUCAUAGUGAAAAAUUGGUCUGCUGUCCGGAUCUCUUAGGAGGCCCUAGCUGCCUCCAACAUAUACGCUUAAUUCAUAUUACUUAAUGAAUGAAGUAGACAGCUUCCUACCUAUUUCUCAAAAAAAAAAAUUGAAAUGUUAAAAAUUUUUAUAUAUAUAUAUAUAUAGAGAGAGAGAGAGAGAGAAAGAGGAGUUGUUAAUAUAUUUUAAAUUGUUUUCACAAAAUUAAACGUCAAUAUUAAGACUUUAAUUAUAAGGAACAAUUGCUUAUAUAUCUCUGAAAAGUUUCUAACUUUUCGAUUUACCUAUCUUAGAAGGCUAAUAUUGAAAAUAUCAUUUCUACGUUCCAACCAAUUUCUAAUAUACCCCUAGAGUUAAAAUUUGUUAAUUAACUUUGUCAUCUCUGUAAAAUUAUUAUUUUGCCCUUUCAAAUAUACCUUUCCACCAUCACUGACUUUCUUAUUUGCUCUUAAAGUCAGGGACAUAAAAAGUAUUUUGACUUUUGGUCUUUUCCAAUAUACCCCUCUACCGUCACCAACAUUUCUUAUUUGCCCUUAAGUUAAAGGCAAAAUUAGUAUUUUAAUUUUUUUAACAGAUAUUUCACUCACGUUUAACCCAAGUUAACUUAAUAGGAGAUAACUGCGAAAGUAUUUUGCAAUAACGAUGGAACAUAUGAGGGGUAUUUUAGAAAGAAAAAAGGAACAUAUGAGAGAUAUUUUAGAAAGAAAAAAAAAGUGAGGGUAAAUCGAAUAUUUUCAAACAUACGAGGGGUAUAUACGUAAUUAUCUCUAAUUAUAAAAUACAAAAUGCAGGCAGAUAGAUACACCGAGUGCAUGCAUAAUUUAUUUUUAUUAUUAUAGAUAUUACAACCAAUCAGAUGUAGCAACAUACCAGGUUGCAGUUGAUGUAUACACCGUGGAUUAUAGAUGAUGUGUUGCUAAAAUUAGGUGGAGGUGACAACAGAUAAUAGGCACGCUCCAACCUCCACAGCGAAGUGUCCAACGCUUGUUUGAUAUUAUCAACGUAAGAAGACUAAGAUAUGAGAUAUUUUUUUUAUAAAAAAAGAAAGGAGAAAAUAUAGAUUAAAAAUUAUAGAUGGUUGAGUUGUUAAAUACCUCGAUUGGGUAAGACCUGUCCAUUCCUCGUCCAUAACAGCGUUAGAGCGAGUCAUUGACAACUAUUAAAUUCUGAGGGGUUCUACUUAGUUCUUUUAUUAAGAGAAUCAGCAGCUGGGUAUUUAAAGCUUAAAACAAUACAAAAAGAACUACUACAAUUGAUAGUUUACUGAAUAAUUACUAACAUAAUCUUUGUCAUUUUGCUUGUCUUUUAUUUCUUUACAUUUUCUUUAGAGAAAAGAAAUAUUUUUGAGUUCCGCUUUAAGUAUCUUUUACGCAUUUAAUGCAUUUGUAAUUCCAUCUCACAGCAUAAAUUAAUCAAUAUUCUUAGCAUCGCGUGUGUCGCGUAUUAGUAUCAAACUUGAUAAGACACAAUAGAGGAGAAAAAAAAAAAAGGUAGAAAAAAAAGAAUGACUACAUCCCCUAUGCCCAUCAAAUUACUUAUUAGUCCACCACACAAGAUUGGUCUCAUUCAAUGCUUGAGCAAAAUACACAAAACUACAUGGGAAAGAGAGGAAUGAGAAUAAUGAAAUCCAAAAAAAAUCACCCUGAAAUUGGAGUGUUUCCGCUUUAUUAAAUGCCAGGCAAGUUCGCAUGCUACAUGGAAUGAAUGAAUACAAACAAAAUAACUUAUUGAUAGGGAGCCACUUGCUAAAUCAAAUACCAAAAUAAACUAAAUUAAAUCAAUUAAAGGCUACAAAAAAGGUUCUUUUGGUUUUGCAAGCCCUCAGCGCUUUGGUUCAGCCCAUGUCUUUCCCUCGAAGAACUCACCGAGUAGUCGUUCGAGCUCUCCCGGAGUAUACCUGAUAUAUUUCUGAGGAUUCUUCCCAUUCUCGACUAGCGGCCUAAAAAGGUUAAUAUGCAUCCGUUAAACAAUAAAAUGCCACAAUGAAAUUAGACGCUGUUUUGUAGCGUUUCUACUGUAAUAGACACUCCAGAUUGGCUCUUUCAUUUUCUUCUUUGAGGAAAAUGAUUGACGCAAGGUCGACGCAUGAGUUAAAAUUGCACAUAAAGAGUAAACAUGAAACAUUGAGAAUAUUGCUCAGAACGUACCCAAAACGUUUUACGAAAGAUCUGUAUGCUGGUAAUAGAACUUCAGCAACUGCGAGCCUCAGAGACUCGCGCAGUUCUUGAUCGGGUACCGUCCAUUGAGAUUGCUUUUGGUGAAGCUCUUCAAAUUGCAUAUUGAAGGCCUUGAAUCUGAUGAUGACAAGAGAAACUACGCCUUGGAGAACCCAUCAACUUUCAAAAGAUUAUGAAUAUGCAUGGAUAAUUUGUAGAAUUGAAAAGUGGGAUAAGUUAUGCUGACCGUUCCUUGAUAGUAGCUCUUGAAACUCCGCUGCUGUUACUCGCAUCUGCUGCCAUAGAUGGGCCGCUAUUCAUGCCUUGAACAGAAAGUGUCUGAUGAAUCUGCAGAAUAAAUGGAUAAUGACAUACUUAAGCUUGAGGAUCAUAGUUGAUCUGAACUCUAAACAUUACUAAUGCCCCGGCAUUUCUAUGUCAUCUUCUUAUGUGAUUCAUGAACAAUCAAUGAAAGUCGAUGAAAUUUGGCCUUCCAACAAAGUUUUAUAUAAUAUGUCUCUCUAAGUUUUUGUAGGUUAAAUGUGACCGUCAUUUUUGUCUGCCAAGUACGCCUUUUGAAUCAAUUAAGUCUUUUUUUUUUUUUGAGGAAAAGUAGCAUGCUACCACUUCAUUCACUAAGCUGAUGAACUUGGCUGCUGGGUUGAGGCAUCAAGGCCUCGGAGAAAAGAAGAAAAAAAAAAAAAUCUACAAAACUAUGGAGAAAAAGAAAAAAAAAAACACUACAAUUAGCUUUAUUAUUAUUAGGAAAAAUGUGACCGCGUUGCAUAAUAAUCACUAUUUUGUAUGCCAAUCCUUAAUAACUUAAAUUCCAAAAGGAGAGUAAGAAAAUACAAUGAGCAAAAUAAAUCAACGAGACAGAAACCUGUGCAGCCAAGAAGCAAUGAAAUUAAACGGACAGAGCAUUAUCAAAUAACUAUGACUCUCAUCGCACCAACCUUGGCCCAAGCAACCCUUUUAUACUGGUUUGCAUUUUGCUGUACAAUUCUUCGAUGCCUUUGAAUCCAGUCAUCACCCAGUAUAUCCUUUGCUUCUGACCUGAAAGAAGAUCGGAACCCAAAGUGUGCCUAUGUGAUUCCCAUGUUCUCUAAUUCAAACUGUGAGCAGUGUAUCAACAUACCUGCGUACAGACCGAACCAUAUAAUGUAUGUUGUUCAUAAGAAACAGGUAAGUCAAUGCGGGAUCUUUAUACUGCUUCGAUUUCCCAUCUAGGUUACUCUGAAGAGCUUGCAUUAUCCUCAUUGUUACAAUGGCUAGCUGAGAAUCUGUUUCGUUACCGGUUUCAAACUGCUGAAAUAGCUGUUUCAGUGUCGACUGAUAACUGUACAUAUUCAAUGAGCUGUUUUAGAUAUUUGACAUUUAAAGAGUACUCUUAAGAGAAAGGUAAAGAGUAGUUUGUUUGUAUUUUAUCCAUGUAUCCCUGUCCAUGCAAAUUAGCGAAUAGCCCUUAACAACAGUAUUUGUUCAUGCACCUUGAAAAACCGUGAGUAUUUCCAUGCAUAACCCAGUCAGGAAUUUAUACUACGUAAGACAGAGUUUGCAUAUGCACAACUGACUAAGGCAUGGAUGCAAGUAAAUAUGCUUUUCAGGUGGUACUUUGUAAAGGUAGCUGUGCAAUUUCACAUAUUUGCAGGGGUAUAUGUGCCAAAAAAAACCCAAGAGAGCAUAAAAAGACAAGAGUCUUACUCAAACAGAAACUUCACAUAAUUAAUCACGUAGCUAGUUAGAGGAUGGACAGUUCCGUCAAGAACAGUUGUUUUUGAGGCAUCCUUUUCAACUGCCUCCUCGAAAUCACCAAAUGUUUCUUGAGCAGUCUGCGCCAAGCGCUUAGUCAAACUUAGUGCUGCCUCCCGCAUGUCAGCACAAGGUUUGCCUUCAAAAAUUGUUUCGAACUGAUGACAAAAUUUAGCCAAAACAUACAAUCAAAUCUUUGUCCCACACCAAAAAUCAGGCAGCAAAAUACCUUGAAGAACUGUCAGCUGUCAGCUGCACACACACGACAAUUCCUUACUUGUUGGUGUAUGCACUGUCAAUUUUGAAUGCAACUGGUAUAUGGCUUUUAUAGAGUGACCAAAAGAGGAUCUUAAUAAGUUGAUUUGCUACACCAUACAAAUUACAUAAAAAUAAAUAAAGUCACGCAAAUUAUCUGAGUUGGAAUAAAAUGACAAAUUAAAUCAUGCUUAAUGAAAGAUCAACAAACUUAGGCAGAAUCCAGAAUAAGAGUUAAGAAAUACCUCUGACUGAAGCUCGCGCAUAAUUUCAUACAUAUCUAGUAGCACAAACAGCUUUUCUGGGGAUCUUUUGCUUUUAGCAACUGCCUCACCGAAACUGAGAAGUGUUGCUACACUAUUAACUGUUACUUCAGCGAAACAUAGGUUCUUUUGAAAAUUAACACCAUCAAAAAUUUGAUCACAAAUUUUCCGUUCCCCAGCAAACAAAAGUUUGACCUGUAGUCAGCACAAUCAAACGAUUGAGAAUUGCCAGGUAUACAAUUCUUUAUUUCCAUGAUGGACCAAACGAAAUAUACAGUGGAAGAACUUCAGUGAGAACUCUUACUGCAAUUCGCAUAAAGUGGAUCCAAUUUCCAAUUUUGGCCUCAAGGGCUUCCCAUUGCAUCUUCUGCACAUCAUCUUUACCAAGUUUUUCCACUCCCAGCUUCCGAAGGCUUGAUUCUAACGAAGAAGCACGAGCAUCUCUGAAGGCAUAAGGCAUUUCAUUUUCUUUUUAGUCGAAAGGAAAAUGAAUUCAUCUCUCUUACUCCUGACAGCACACAUCACCAGAAGAGGCAGGAAGAUAGCUAGUCUCCGUAAAGAAUUUCUGUAUUAUUUUUCUUAUUUCUCUAUUCUGGCUGGAAAACACACAGGGCUAUUCUUUAUAUAUAGAGAAUAUUUGCGUUAUGGUAUAUUUAGUGACAGAAAGUUUGACAAGUGUCCACAUGAAAACAAGAAAAGAACAAUGCAAACCCAUGCAUUUACAUUACAUAUCUCCUGAGAAGCUGUUUGUCCUUCGUUCGCUUUCGCUUCUUAAGGGAGGAGCUGUUCAGUUUCAUUUACAAUAGUUGGUCCUCUAAAAUUUCAGCAUUUCAUCACUAAAGAGUAUUUUGUCAAAGGGAUGUCGUGUUUGGCAAUAGAAUAGAGAGCAAGCUAAAAGAUCCGACAACUGGAAACCGUACCUGUAGAUUCUAAAACAUUGCUGUUGGUAUCCAGCUUGAACCAGUUGUUGGGCUAAGUCAUGCAGGAGGGGCACGAUCCUUGGGGGAAUAAGAGUAGGGGUUUUGUAUAUGGCCGUUUCCAAGCUUUUUCCUGAGUGCUCAGCAUGGUUUGUGGUUUGAGGGUUCUUGCUAUCUUGCUCCAGUGAUGGCCGCAAGGAGGUGGGAAGGCAAUCAAACAAGCGAUCAGGCUCGAUAGGUUUGCUGAAAUCAAAACGGAGAAAACAAAUUAGUCAAAGCGGCAAAAUAGUGGCAUCAAAUAACAAACGAAUGUCUAGUUAGUUGCUCGGCAAAUACGCCUCUUCACAGCAUGGUACAGUUGAUAAUGAGUGCUUACAAAUCGGCAUCUGUAAAUGCAGUUAAUACAAUAGAACAACAGCUCAACUGCUGCACUACAAAAGAUUUAGCAUCAAAGCAAACAACCAAAAAGGGCUCUUUUUUUUCCGUUAUCUGUCCGUGAAAGUCCUCACAAAUCUUCCGAGAUGAGACAACAAAUUAACUAGAAUUGGCAAUAGAAUGAAUCCAUUUUGUAGAAAAAAAAUCAAGAGGAGAAAACCUGUAACUAAUAACAAGCUGCCUAAAUUCCUCUUCCAGCUUCGAGAUGGACUUGGCUAACAAGCCGUUGACAUGGUUGAGAAUACCGUCGGCAUUUCUGAAGUUCUUUUCCGUGGUGAAAAAACGAACAAUGCCUCUCAACACAUCCACUGCCUCCAGAUAGCUCUCUAGAUCCUCGUGCGGCCCCCUCAGUAUUGUAGCCUCUGCCUAAAUACCAGAACUCGAAAGCGAAAAAAGAAUAGCAAAAUUAAGUCCCGGUAUCCUGAAUCGCAACUUGACAGAGGCUCUCAAUUCAUGACCUCUACAUGGUUCUAUGCAGCUGAAUCAUUUGAUUGAUCGAACUGAGCUUUUCUAUUCUGAAAACAGCCAUGCCAUUUAUAUAUAUAUAUAUAUAUAGACAUAAAGGAAAACUAGGUUCUUAUUUUCUCGAAAAGGGAUUAUGCUUAAUCGAAAUGGGGAACUGAUCGGCCGACGAACCUGACGCGAGAGGUCGAACUGGCCCAGGAUGACCUCGGCGGCCUUCAAACUCUUGUCGAUAUUCUCGUGCGCCAUUCGAAUCGCAUGCGUCCUCACCUGCGCCAUAGAACUCAACCAUCAUCAACCCAAUCCACGAUCCGAGGAGACUCAGCGCAUUCGCCGCAACCACCACUAAUCGCCACUGCUUUAGCACAAAGUUCUUGAUUUUUUUCUCUUUUGGUUUUUUUAGUUUUUGCACAGGAUGUGAUGUGGUGCUGCUAGAGAGUAGAGAUAUGAGAGAUGGGGACCUGGGUGGGGCGCAUGGCGGCCUCGAGGGCGGAGAGGCGGUGGUCGAAGGAGCCGAGGAUGGCGACCAUGCUGUCCGUGUUGGUCUGGCUCUUCUGCAGCGACUCCCUCAGCAUCCCCGCCCUCCGCGACAGCGCAUCCAUCGCCUGCGGCACCCCCAUUCUACUGUACUUGUUACUUCUGCUAAGCUUCUAAUGAUAUCGAGAGACAGAGAGUAGAGUUUGGGGGAAAUGGAGGAGGGAGAUGAUGAGAGAGGGGCCAGAGGGCCUUCGUCUCGUUCGUUCCCUAUGCCCUCUAUGCAACGGCUAUAAUUAGUUGGAGGAGGGCGCGGCUACGCGCCAAGAGAGCCAGUGUUUCCCGCCGUUUUUCCCGUCGCGUUUGCGUGGGGAUAAAUUGCAAGCAGACCCCCUUCGAAAAUAAAAGAAAAAAGAAAAGAAAUGGAAAUGCUAUAAUUACAUUUAUUAUAGAAAAAACUUCAAAUACCCUUAAUGUGGUUUCACUUUUUUUUUUAUUUAUUAACAUAUGGUUUAAAGCGUAUCAAAUUAGUAUUUUAUAGUUUCACACUUUUUUACUUUAGUAUCCUGUGGUUUAAAGUGUGUCAAAUUAGUACCCUAUGUUUUCGCACUUUCCCACUUUAGUAUCCUGUAGUUUCCUACUUUCCCACUUUAGUUUUCUAUGGUUUAAUAUUUUAUUAAGAAAAAAAUAAAAUCAUAUGGUACUAACUUGAUACAAAAAUAAAACUAUAGGAUACUAACUUGAUGCAAAAAUAAAACCACAGAGUACUAACUUAAUACACUUUAAACCACAUGGUACUAAAGUGAGAAAGUGUGAAACCACUGGUACUAACUUGAUACACUUUAAAUCAUAUGGUACUAAAAUAAAAAAGUGCGAAACCACUGGGAGAUUUUUUGAAAUUUUUCUUUAUUAUAUAAAAAAGUGCAAAUCUUACCUAUAAUAAAAUUUUAGAAUUUACAAAAUUUUACGAAUUUUUAAAAUUUAAAAAUCAAUAAAAUAAACAAAACUAAAAAUCUUUGAAACAAGUGAGAUGUCAAAUGCGUACUUAAUAUGAAAGAUAUAUAAAUAGCAUUAUUCACCAGAAAAAUCAUCACAUCAGUCAUUCAUAAAUCGCUAUGCAUAUAGUAAAUAAUAAAUAAAAUGAUCUUUGUUUGUCCCAAUGGUAUUUUAUUAGAAGGCGAGAGUGCAAUAUUUAUGAAAAGUGUGAGAUCUCUUUGCAACAUACGAUGACAGAUAUCUUUUCUACUGCGACAUGGUUUUGUGUGGACGGAUGUGUUUCGUCCGAAUCUCGGCAGAAAAAUAAUUAUUAUUUAGACAAAUAAAAAGGUAGCGUCAAAAUGGACAAAAGCUUCUACAUGCAUUUGUACCAACCCCAUCAAAAUUUAUCCAUUUAACUACAAUUUAGCCAACAAAAUUGAACAUUUCAUAACUAAUAACUUGCAAAAUUGAUUAGUUCAUAAAUUCUAUAAUUUAAUUAAAUAUAGGAAUUAAAAGAGGCCAACUUCAUAACAGUUAUUAGUUGGGGGGAGUAUAAGUACAUUUUUACUAUUUAUUUAAAUCCAGGUAAAUAUCAGCCACGCAAUUCUUAAUCCCAUACACCCCCAACAAAAUAUGACUCGGUAUUUGCGGUAGAUCCGGGCUAAAGCAAACCUGGAUAUUUGUCAUCUCCGUUUCUGGACACGUGUCGAGCAUUUCUUGGUGCCAACAAGUUUCCCAUUGAAAAAAGUUGCACGGCUCAAAAGUGUCGGUUUAAAGAUAAGUUAAUGUUAAUUAGCAUUGUAUAUGGUUCAAGGCAAUUAAAUUAAGUGGGCCCAAGUUCUCUUUAUUCGGCAACGUGACAGGUGCACAAGCUUUUUUCAUUUUUAUUUCUUUUUAGAUUUAAAUUUUCAGUAAGCACCCACGUAUUUCUUAAAAAAAAAAAAAAAAUCAACAUUGUCACAUUUACACCGUAUCACCGGUAAUAAAUCAAUCAUAUCGUUUUUAAAAAAUAUAUAUAAUAAAAAUAAAUUUUUAUAAAUUAUGAUAAAAUAAAUGAAUACAAAAGGAAUAAUAAUAUUAUCUUCUAUAAACAUCGUAUCAGUAAUAUAAUUGAUACAUUGUAUUUUUUUUUUUUUGCUCUUGCGGAGACACACACACGUUUUUUUUGUGCUCUUGCCACCACACGCACACACUAACCACACUCAAAAACAGAAAGUAAAGAUAUAUUUCUCCAGAAGUUGAAGUGGGCUGCAGGAAGGUCAUAAGCUACGAGUUCGAAGUUCGAACCACCUCUAGUUCACGGACAACGGCCACUUGUUCGAUUCCAACCAUCCAUACCCUUUGGUUUCUUUUUUAAGAAAAGAAGAUAUUUUUUUUACUUAAAUAUUACCAAAACUACCACAAAAGAAAAUAAAUAAAAAAAAGGCCGCUGAUCAAGCUGUAAAUUUACUCCCCGUGCAGGCCUAUAUUCCAUGCACCGUCCUCCUCUCCACAUUUCCUUUUCCGUCUUUUUUAUUUUUAUUAUGUUUAGAUGAAUUAUUCUCCGAGAGUAAUUUUUUUGGACAUAAAUAUCUUAAAAUGAUAGUUUAGACUUGACAAAUUGCUCGUAUAUAUAGAGCAGAGCAAUACAUAUUCGACUUGAUAUGAAUAUGAGGACUAACUGUAUAAAUAAUAGUGCAAAUCAAAUAAAAUUUUUGAGUGUAAUUUUUUUUUGGGUAUCAAAAGAAGAUAAAACUCCAAAGCACUUAUAAUAUUUUUGGAACUUUAAAUUAUCAAAAUAAUUAUGUUUUAAAAGUAUGUUUAAAACCUAAAUCUAAAUCACAGCUUUAUUAAAGGAAAAAAAAAAAAAGCCUUCAAUAUGAUAAAAAGGCCGGACGAAUGGUGCACAAAACGUCAUGCACCGGGCGCAGGCAACUAUCUCUCCCCAAAAGAGUAAAUCUCAGAAAACUGGAAAAAAAAAAGAAAAGAAAAAGAAAAAGAAAAAUAUCGAGAUUCGGGCAGGGGGGAAAAUAUCUUAACGACUCGAUUCUGGUUUUGGGGGUGGUGGGGUGUUGGGUGUGGAGACGAGCCGGGACGAGCGUGGGUGUGGCUCGUUCCGUGGCCAUGUGGAUGUCGCUCCCAUAAUCUGCACCGCGCACUCCGAUUUGAUUUCACUCUCUCUCUCUCUCUCUCUCUCUCUCUCGCUUCCCCAUCUCUCCAAGCUGACGUGGCACCGAUGGAAAUAUCUUCCCAUUCGGGUCGGCGUGGCCACGGAUUACCCCCUCCUCCUUCCCCCAACGACACCAUUACCACCACCAAAUUAACCCCCACGCUCCUCCAUUUUCUCCCCAUUCUCAUGGAGCAGGGAGCGUGGGGACGAGGAGGCGACGGAGAAGCGGGGGAAGCGGCGGCGCCGCCUCCUCCUGAGCACGGCGGCGGCGGCGGCGGCGGCGCUCGGUCCGCGGCGCUUGGAGGGGUAUCCGGCUCCGCCGCGUGCCAGGUGAUCCGGUGGGAUCGCUUCCUCCCCCGGCGCUCCCUCCGCGUCCUCCUCGUCGAGCAAGACGACUCCACCCGCCAUGUCGUCACCGCCCUCCUCCGCAAAUGCAGCUACCACGGUAACCUUCACUUCCCCCCCUCUUUCCCUUCACUUUCCUCCCUCACUCCUUUCCUUUUCCCGUUUUGAAUUCGAGUUUCCACCUAAUGUGGGGUGGGGGCAUCGGGGACAGUUGCGGCGGUGGCGGACGGGCUCAAAGCGUGGGAGGUCAUGCAGGAGAAGCGCUACGGAUUCGAUCUCGUCCUCACGGAAGUCGCGAUGCCGUCGCUCUCUGGAAUUGGUCUCCUCUCGCAGAUCAUGGCCACUGACGAGUGCAAGAACGUCCCCGUCAUCAGUAAGUCCCUCAAUCGAAUCCAAACCCUGCAAUCACUCUCCUCAAGUUACUAAUUUGAUCUGGCAUAUGACACAGUGAUGUCUUCUCGAGAUUCGGUUGGGAUUGUGCUCAAAUGCAUGCUGAAGGGCGCUGUGGAUUUUCUGGUGAAGCCGCUGAGGAAGAACGAGCUGAGAAACUUGUGGCAGCAUGUGUGGAGGAGGCGCUGCGUAUGUUAAUUCUUUUUGAGGAAUUAAAUUGAUCCAUUUUAUUACUGCCAAUUGUGAAUUUCUCCUGUUUUUUGAGAAUUUCCUGUUAAUCCCAAUUCUCGGUGCAGUCGAGUAGCCAAGCAAAUGCAUCUGACAACAGUGCUGCUAGCAAUCAUUUGAGUGCCAAUGCUGGUGAUGGGUCCAAAAGCGGAGAGAAUAGUAAGUAUCAGGUAAGCAAGUUCUUCACCUAAUCAAUCACCUUUUAAUAUUUCAGCUACACCAGCUCAAUCUGUUGAGGUGAUCAAUUGUUAAUAGAAUUCCCAAUCAUACAACUUGAAAAACUAUAUUCCAGUAGGAAGGUGGGUAUCAAUAUUUGAAGCAAACUCGGUUCUUCGUCCUAACUUGUCGUCAUCCUGCACAUGGUGUAGAUUUGAUUCGAUUUGUAGUAAUAAGAGGGGUCCAACGAUCGAAAUUAUAAGAGGAGCAUUAAAGACUAGAUGAUGAGAGCUCUAAGUUGCAUGGAUGAAUAACUGUUUUGAAUUCGGCUAUUGACAGAGAUAAUAAUAAUAAUAAUGGCUAGUUUUUAUAUGUUUGUUGCAGGGAGAAUCAUCAUAAGAUUAAAUGAUUUUGACAAGUGAUGGUUAGGAAUCCACAACUAUUUAGCUUUCAAAAUAAAUGAAAAAAAAAAAAGAAUCUACAACUGUUUACCUGUGCAAAUUGUCUGCAUGAAAUCAGACUUUAUGAAUUGGGAAUGGGGGAAAUGCUUAAAUAGGUGGAACUAUCUAUAUGAUGCUUUAAGAAUUAUCCAUCUCAGAGGUGUGUUUUAUGUGGCACUUGAGCAGAGCUCAGGCAGUAAGCAAGAGAUGGAAAUUGAGAGUGCUCAAAAUUUCGGGGAGAAUGUUAUGGCUGAAGCUGCAAAUUUUCCAAGAGGAGUGGGAGAAAAACCAGAGGAACCUGAUGGCACCAUAACAGUGAGAGCAAAUGUGUUAAACGUGGAGGAUGGCGGAGAAACUAGAGGUGGUUUUUAAUUCGAGAUUCAGCACUAUUUUUCCUUCUUUCUCUAAUCAAUGACCUUUUUCUGACAACUUUUAGUUUUUACUCAUGCAGAUAAGUCCAAUGGAAAUGCAGUUGAAGUUAAUCGGCAGCCUCUUUUUUUCGCUGAGAAGAACAUGGAGAAUAAGUGUCUCAAUGAUGGAAUCUGUUAUGGGGAUGAUUCACGACAUCAUUUAAGAUCUAGGGAGGAUGUAAUUUCUGAUCUUAAUUUGCAGCAUCAAAAUGAUUCUUCAAAGAAUAAUGUAGAUGUUAUCGAGCCAAUGGCUAUCAGAAAAUCCAGUUCUUCCCGUUUGAAUCUGAACACUGGGGAAAAUGCAUUAUGUGAAGCUUCUACAUGCUCUGAAGCCAAGACUAAAAAUGAAUCUGGUUCCUCUCAAUUUCUGGAGCUUACUCUGAGAAGACCACACCUCAACGGUUGUGUAAAAGAGGACUUCAAAGAAAAGCAUGUGUUAAUCCAUUCUAAUGCCUCUGCCUUUUCGAGGUACUUAUUUUUAUCUGAAGUUCCUAUUCAUCCAGUCGCUAAUAUGUUCCACUGUCAUGCCUAUUCCGGUUCUUUUGACUGGAUAUAUUUAUAGUGUGAAACAAUUUACUUGCCAAGUGCUGUCAAGAAUUUUGAUAGGCAACUUUAAACCUUAUUUGUAGUGACCAAUUUACAAGUUUUCUUCAUUACUCAUAUAGACAUAUGUGCCCACGCUAGCACUCAAUAGCCAUUCAUGGAUGUGUGCUGCACAGAUCUAUAAACAGAAUAGCUAAGUACACCUGACCUGAAUUAGACUUAUUUCUCAGGUAUUGCUGAAAAGACCAAUUUUUAAUAUCAGAAGACGGACUGAUUUCAUUGGUCCAUUUAAUUUUACAGCUGAUUCUCUAUGAUCUUCAUAGUUCCAUGAUGUUUCAAAAUUUUUUCUCUAUGAUCUUCUCUAUUGAACCUGCUAAUUUGACAUAUGAUGCAGGUAUAGCAAUAAACGGGUUCAAUCAUCAUCACCAAAGCCAUAUUCUUCAUCUAUAUGCAUCAGAAGCAUGGAAUAUUCUGAUAAGGAGAAAAGUACCACCCUCCAACGUAAAGAGAUAUCCCCUUCCUUUCAAGGCAAUGCAGAGGAAGCCGCAAUGCAUUCUCAAUUAUCUUUUGCUACCAACAAGGAGGAUGUUGGUGCUUCAUGUUCUGUUUCAUUAAGGGAGAAUGCUCGUGCCGGCCAUUCCUCCAAUGGAAUUGACACUUCCCUCCAUACUCCCCAAUUUGGCUUUAUUUCCCUGCCAGUUCCUGUUCGAGCUAUACCUUAUCAUGGCUUGCAUGCUAGCUAUGGUGCUAUCCUGCAGCCAAUUUUAUAUUCGGAAAGUUCCUCUCAACACCAGAAUUUAGCUGUAAUCGAGAAAACAUCAGUUCAGAUUACUUCUGAUCAGUCUGAUUGCCGUGAAAAUAACCUUAUUUAUCAUUCUCAAUGUAAGGAACUUCACCAUUGUGAAGAAAACCAUCUUGUCCAACAUUGGUCACAGGAAGUUGAUAGAGAACAAGUCAAUCAAAGUGCCAGCAGUAGCCAGGAUAUUGUUAGAGGUAGUGGAAGCGAUGGUAGUCUUGAAACUGCAGAGGCGACAACAAAGACAGUAGCUGUGAUGGAAAGCGGGAAUGAAAGUGGUGUCCAGAACUGCAACAUAAAAGGGUCAGACUCUGAUCGCUCUCGUCGUGAGGCUGCCUUAAUUAAAUUUCGCUUAAAGAGGAAAGACAGAUGCUUCGAGAAGAAGGUAAUUGUCUCUCUCUUAGUUUAUUGCAUACCAUUUUUGUCUUUCUCUUAGUUUAUUGCAUAUAUGGUUUCUACCAUUUUUUUUUUCCCUCAUUCUUUCUGAGCCAAGCUGCAACUACAAAGGAAUAAAAGGUUCUUACUCUCGAAUGAAAGAAAAGAAAUGAAAAAAAAGGGUGCUUUAUGUAUUGUCUCAUAAGCUUGUUACUACGCAUGACUGAAAAUUAAGAUAUAUGUGGGGGUUAAUUUGUGAUGGAUUCAAGAAUGAUGUAGUAUGAUAUAAUCAACAUCAUAACCUGGAUGAUGAUCAUCAUAUGUAUAAAUCAAUUUUGAAAUUCAGUUGUAAUUGGUUAAAUGAGCCACUUUAGCACUCUAUGCUUCUAAUUCUUUGUUAUACUGAGUAUCAUGUGGCAUUUCCAAGUUGAAAUCGGUUGUUGGAAAUCUAGGGCAUGUGAUUUUGGGAAGGCUCCAGCUAGGAUGCGCUUGUUAUUUAUUUUCUUUUUGCAGACAUUAUUUCUUUGAUCUUUUUUUUGGUUGGGUGGGUGGGUGGGUGGGAGGAGGGGAGCAUAAUAGAUGAAAAUUUAGGAUUUUACAUGCCCUGGAAGAGGAAGUCAUCUGAUUGAGAAUGCCUUUGUUUAACAGGUCAGAUAUCACAGUAGGAAGAAACUUGCAGAGCAACGGCCAAGAGUGAAAGGGCAGUUUGUGCGCCAGAAAUUUCCUGAAUCCUUACCAGCAACAGAGGCAGAAGAAUGACAAUGAAUAGUUUUCAGCAUAACAGUUACUUAAAUGCUUGGUUUCCUGAGACAGGGUGUUUGAGGUAAGAGUUAAAUUUGGGCAAAUUUCUCUCUUUGAUGUCCGGGGGCUUAGGUUUUAGGGUUCCGGGGCUUAGGUUUUAGGGUACCUGCGAAUGUCCGAAUUAGCAGUCUCAAUCAGUACAAUUUGUAGAUUAUGUCAAACUUGCAAAGUGUAAUCAGGUGACAAAAAAAACUGUUUCCUGGAAAAGGGUUAUUUUUGGUGCAGUUAUUAAACUCACAACUCGUGGACGCCAAAUGAGCAGUAAAUUCAUAAGGUUGUAUAAUAUGUCAAACUCAUAAAAUGUAUUAAGAUCCAAAAAAAAGUAAAAAGACAAUAAAUAUCAGAUAUUUGUUUGCAAGUAAGGAUGCUUUAUAUCUUCCACAGAGUAAUUUGCUCCAAGGUCGUUUUGCAGGAUGUCUGUGUGUUUUGUUUCUUUGGAGCCCGAAUGCUUGUUGUGCUUCGAAUUUGUAGUCCCACAUUCUUGAGGUUUUUCCUGCACGAUCCAGCGGCAGGGAGGGUAAGGAAUCUCUCACGUGCACGCGCUCGCGCGUGCACGUUGUAUAGCAAAUAUCUUGAAAACUCUGAUAUGUCGACUGACGAAGCGAGAAACAACUUUUUUUGAAAAAUGAUUAAUUCCCGGAUGCAUCAGCAGCAGAUGUCAAGUUCAUUGUAUAGUGUGAGAUAGCAUAUCAUUUUGUAUAGGAAUGUGGAUUGUGGCAACUUACCUGAGCAUUUUGUAACUCAUAAUAAUCAAUUUCAAUGGUACGGCACUUUUGGAUGCUCAGCCCCUGAUUCCCUUUGCUAAAAUUAAUGUGUUUUCGAAAAGAUGUAUUCUACAUGUAAUUUACAUUUUACCUUCUUGGUGAAUAGUAGCUCACAAUAAUGAUUGGAUGGAAGUAGUACUAGAGUUUACUGUAAUUUCCAUCUAUAAUAUUAGUAGUACUCUAAUCUGAGAGAAUUGUUCGCUAUAAUAGUUGAAUUAAUAGAAGAAAAUUUAGUGAACUAUUGCUUAAACUGGAUCUGCAUUACUAAUAUAUGUAACUCGUAUUAACAAAAGAGAAGGGAGAAACAAAAACAGAUGCAGUCAAGGUUUAUGUGCUUUUUGUCAACAUUUCCUUACUAUCUUGUGGUCACAUUCACAAAUUAAGAUUGUUCCUGUGUACAUAACCUAGCCAAGAAAUCAACUUAAUUAGGUGGAACUUUUUGUCAAAUUUGAGUCAGAUUUGUAGUUAGAUAAAUUCUAGUUUAAUUAGAAUAAAAUAUAAUUUAAAUUUAAUUUGACUUAUAUGGAUUAUAAGUAGUAGUCUUACUCUAAUUGAAUUAAAGUUAGAGUUGUGUUUAGAAGCUAUAUAUUAUAUAUGCGUGCUACGCCUGAUGGUCGGUAGGUUGAGAGAACUUACGGAGCAGCUCUAAGACUGCUGAGAAGUAGCUGUACAUUAUUUUCUAUGAAGAGCCAAGGUAAUUAGUUAAGUGGCAUGUUGCCAUGUUGGUAGUCCAUGUGGUGAGAGCGAGCCGCAUAGAGUUCGGCGCUUUCAUUUUUAUACUCCGCUUUAUAUAUAUUAAUAAAAGUAUUUUCUCCUUUUUUGCCCAUUGACUUCAACCGAUGGCCGAACUACGUAGAUUUUGAUGUGCUCUUUUUUUUUCUGCAUUAAUUAUUUUUUUGAAAUUAUUUUUUGUCGUUUCAAUUUUAACCCUUUUUUUUUAUUUUCUUUUCAUCUGAUCGUGAUCUUAAAAUUACCUUCUCCAUCACCACUGCAAAGAUACGUUCCUUCAACUCCUUUCUCAGCAGGAAUUCAAUUCACACAAGUUAUACCCAGCUGCCGAGUAAAAAGCAACCGUAGCCCUUACCUUGAGAGUUCUUUAUUUUCGUAAUUUAGUGAACUAUAUUACUAAUUUAUAGCUCAACUGGAGAAGCAUCUUAUAGUCUUUGUUGCCAAGGAGCAUCUGCUGACACCCCCUUUACAGCAAACCUUUGCACCAAUGCAAAUAUAUGCCCUCAGUGUUCUUUAAGCUUUUAUAACAAAGAGUGCAUAAGAAGCUUCGAACCAAUAUGUAGCAUGGCCCUUUGCCUCGGAAGAGAAACACUAGCCACUUCAAGUGGGAACAUGUUUUCUCUCUCCAAGUGGCCUUCCAUGGAGAAUAGCUUCUAUCUUGUGGCUGCAGCGAUCACAUUACUGUUCGUGACUGCGCAUGGAAGAGUCGAUGAGUCGAUGAUGGCUCCCUCCCCGGAGUUUAAUGUGUUAUGCAUUAGCGAAUGCGGUACUUGUCCGAUGAUAUGUGCACCGCCGCCACCGUCACCGCCGCCGCCGCCGCCAUCGUCGCCGUCAUCAUCCUCAAGUACCCCUACACUGCAUCGGCCUCCCCCGCCGCCACCAUCACCAAAAAGCUACUCUUCUCCGCCUUCUCCGUCGUCGCCGCAUUCCUCAUCACCUCCUGCAGGGGAGCAGCGAGGGGGAUCUUCUAGUCCCUACUACUACUUCUACACUUCCGGGGCAAAGCAAGUGCGUUUCUUUUUGAACUUUUGGGAAUUGUUCUUCCUUGUGCUCGCUUCUUUCGCCCUGUUUCCGCAUUGAUUAGUGGUGACCUCAAUAUAUAUAUAAACUAGGGUUAUUGCUAAAAUUGAGUCCCCUUCAGAUAGAAGGGUACAAUGUAUAUUAUUAUUAUUAUUAUUAUUAUUAUUAUUAUUAUUAUUAUUGUGGUAAUAUGAAUUAAGGGCUGAUGGUUGGUCGGUCGCGCCGUUCACUCAAUUCGUCCGUAACGAGAUAUUGACUAAUCAUUAAUUUGUUACCUUCAUCAAUGAAGUGAUUAGUAAGUUGGAUGCGUCAACAAGCCGUUGCAGGGUACGAUGUCAUAUCGGGUUGUUCACGUCGAAGUGCCUCGUUUUUUUUUUUUUUCUUUUUCCCUUAAUGCUUAUANAUAUAUAUAUAUAUAUAUAUAUAUAUAUAUAUAGAAAAAAGAAAUUUGAGAAAAACACUAUUGCAGUAUAAAUAAAUUUCAAUAUUUGGAUGAUAUUUGCUUGCCCCAGCAACUCAUGGAGCCAUGGGGCGUGAUUUGCCUUCCGUUCUGUGGGUAGAGAGAGAGUUUGUACGCAUGGAACAUUCCCGUUUGCAUGGUAUUUGAAGAUCCGAUGAUGGGUGGCAAAUCUGCACGCCAAUCUUAAAGCAACCCUAAAAUGGCUCAGACGUUAGCUGAAGUCAAAUUCCAUUCUGCUCUGCUCACUGAGUCAGUGUAGGCUCGGGCUAACUCUCAGCCCAGUCCACAAUUUCCAAUUUCCAGGCCGUUUUCACCACCAGCAGUGGCCCUGCGAGCCCGCCCAUCCCUUCUGCAUGCGUCUCACAUAUUGUUGUCUCUUCUUUAAUCCACCAAUAAUAAUAAUAGAUAAUAGAUAAUAGGCUAACACAACAAGGAACAAGCACUUCCAUUAUAUACUUUUCCACAUCUUCUUGAUCAGAAACUGACCCACCCACACAACGCAUUACGCACUAGCAAAUAUUACAUUUAAAAAGAAAAUAAUUAAAAAAAAGAUGAGUCUAGUAUACCCACAAUAUCCGACGCCGUGUCUUGUCGCACAGAUUAGAAACACGUGUGGACCACCACCAUCAGCACGACAGGACACGGGUCUACUUUAAAUAAAAAUCCAACAAUUCAAAAAAAAAAAAAAACAAACAAAACAAAACCCUACCACUCCAUCUCUCAAGGAAAAAAAAAAAAAAAAAAAAAAAAACCCACCACUCCCCCGCCCUUUGACCGGGACUUAUUAUUAGGCUUUAUCUUUCUUUCUUUGGGGAAAGGGGAUUUCGAAGCACCGUAAACUCUUACUUUAAUUAUUACUGCAAAUACACAGCGAGAUUGGAGGGAAAGCAUUAAAUGCCCCACCAAACCAAACAAUCCACAAACCCAAAAAAUUAAAUGAGACAGUAGGAAUAUACAUAAGAUUAAAAGAAAAAAGUAAAAGAAAAAGUCCUGCUUAAACAUAUACACACACACUCCCAUUGUAUCUGCCUCCCCUGCCUUCCCUUUGUGUUUCGCAUUAAAUAAAGAGAGAGAACUGAGAAGACGUUGCAAUGACACACAUUAAAAGCACUGCACUCGUGCUUCACCACAUAUAAUCAUGGGAGAAUAUGAGAAACCCACUUAUUUUAUUAUUAUUAUUAUUAUUAUUAUUAUUAUUAUUAUUAUUAUAUAUUUUCUAUUUAUACAAUUGAUGAUAAGCAAGAUGAGAAAGACAAACAAAACACCAGCAAAAAAAAAACAGAGCCUACUUACCACUGCUGUUACUUUUUAUCUUUUUAAAUUCUUUUGCAGCAUCAUAAUUUGUUUCCCGCAUCAUCAUUGCCCCUGCUAUGAAAUUAUUUGACCUGGAUUUGAAUCCCCUCUUUACACAUAUCACACCCUCCUGCUCUCUCUCUCUCUCUCUCUACUUAAUUCACCACCCCCUUUUUGUUGUACUUAUUCCCCUCCUUCCAAAAGACCAGAACAAAACAAAAACUUGGGGUCUUUUAAUUUUCUAGAGGGAGAGAAAUAGAUAGAGUUUGGGUGCGCGAGUGUUAAUUAGUAGGUCCAUUCGGCAGGAAGAGCCAGUUCGAGGGGAGGAGGCUGACACGGCAUCAUCCGCUGCUGCUUCUUCCCCACCACCACUGCUGCAUGCUCUGCGCUCUGCACCUGCUGCGGACACUCACAUCCUCCUCUCACACCUGCGUAAAUAAACAAUUCUUUUACAUAUUGAAUACAUAUGAGAAUGUACACCAAAAGAUUAAUGCUAGCAUGGCUAGUCUACAUUCUACAACCCAUAAAUAAUUAACGGAUGAUUAUUUUGGGAUGAUUAAACUAAUUAAUAAAUCGAUGCAAGGAAAGUUUUUUUUUUUUUUGAGAGAGAAAGAUGCAAGGAAAGUUAAAAACUUUAGACCAGUAAACAACAUGAGAAAACACACGCACGCUUUUAACCCAACACUUUCGAGUAUUGUUCCAGAAUAAAGGAUACCGCAGAAGAAGGCGUUAAUUUUGGAAACAAAUAAGAGAAAAUAAAAUGUAUACAAAUAUGUGUGUAUAUCUUACUGGGUUUCUUCUUGGGUUGGUUGUUGAGGGCCACGCGAGGAAGGAACACGCCGGUCCCGCCGCACCCUUUUCCCGAGCCGGUCGAACGGGCCGGAACGAACCGGACCAUCCUCUGCCCCUGUUGGUUCACCAAAACCCUCCUAAUCCCUCUCUCAUGGCCAAAACCCCCCUCCACCUGCUGCAGUUACACACACCAAAACCCGAUUCUAAUUUUUAAAUUUUAAUUUUACACGACACCGAACCAAAAAAGCAACUACAACCCGGAAAAGAAGAAGAAAAAGAAAAGCUAGGUUUCCGGUUCAAGUAACCUUGGGCUGAACCGGCGGCUUCAUGACCGGCGGGCACGGGCAGACCGGGCUCGAACCGGCCCCGUAGACUCUCGCACCGUACUCCGGCUCCCUCCACCCGUCGAACGUGAACCCGGUUCGCUUCCCCGGUUCGGCGGGUCUAACCUGGGCCCAAGCCGUCUGAGCAGCCUGGAGUGCAGCUCAACAGCAAGGAGAACCACAAAGCUGUUAGAGGACGAGGCGCGAAGCAAACCCAUGUAACGGAAAUUGAGCACGAGGAACGACUCGGAGUCUGGAGAGGGUAAGACCCGGAUUUAGGAGUGGAGGAAGAGUGCUGGGCGCGGUCCAUAGAGUCGACCGAAGCUCGGCGACGGCGGUGCGGCCAGGUCUGCACUAGGCGAGCAAAAAACAUCGGGGCGGCUGUGGCGCCGGGAACGCCCCCGAGUCAGGGAAUAUCUCCCGGCGAGGGACACAGCUCCCGUAUCGUCCAGAUUUUGGCACGAACUCCGGCCAUGGAUCCACCACCACCACCCACCACCACCACACCACCAACCCACCCUACGCGAAGACCGAGGAAGAAGGUGAGAAAGGGAUGAGAGCAGAAACAGUGCGAGAGUGGUGUUGCGUUGAGCCCAAAAUAUAGCGGCGGGGUUGGGGGGGGGGGGAGUUUGAGAAUGGAGAAGAGUGGGGGGGUAAUUUGGGGAUUUUAGAAGGGCAGGAUUGGGAUAUUAUUAUUGGGCUCUUCUUCGGCUUUUAUUUAAAAGCGCUGGAAACGAGGUUGAGAAGUGGGAGAAAUGGGCCCUAUGAGGAGAGAUUUAACACCGGCACCACAAUCGCGACUUCAAAUUGUGACUCCAUUGUUUUAUUGGUUAAUAGAGCCGUAAAGUGUGUGUGGGUUCUUUUGUGGAGUCACAUUCAACGGUUUACGUGAAUAAGUUCACGAUAUUACGUAUCUGGGGAAGAAACAUCGGCGGGAAGAUGCGCUGAGUAACGCACAACAGAAAACGGGGGUAACGGGUCACUUGUUCGCUCGACACGUGGCGUGCUCUGAGUGAUUUCUUUACGUGGCGCUUCCCGGGACGGGGCGAGAAGCGUGAGGUGAGAGGGGGGAAGCUGUCGUGGGGUGACGUGGCCGUACGGCCACGUGGCGUAGUGGGGGCCGCGGUCUACGCCUCGCGACUCGGGCCCUCACCUCCCAAAUGGCGGUUGUGGCUCCAAAAGCGAAAUGACGGUUUAGCCCUCGAGGCCCUGCGUGGUGGGCCCGAGGAGAAUGGGCGGGAAAAGCGUGAGGGCAUUUUCGUCUUUGUACGGGGUCCGAGUAAGGUAGCCGUGACUCGGUGAGUAACGCAUGCCGCAAAGUGGGAGGGACAAUUUUGCUCGAAACUCCCUAAUCUUAUUCUUUAUUUUAGAUAUUAGUACACAGUACUUUCAAAUUUACUUGAAUUCUUUUUUUUUUUUUGUCUUUUCUCAUUUGAAUCCAAAAGAAAAUAAAAUAAAAUAAAAUAAGACAAAACGCAAACCUUUUUCUUGUGACUAGCCUUAUUUGUCCUGCAUUGCUUUUGGAGGCCUCAGUGCGAUUUUCCCGCGCAAACGGCAUUUCAGUCCCCCGCUUACUGGGGAUAUACUCUUGUGAUGAUCUUUUCCCGUAAAAAUAAUACUACUUUUAAAAUAUAAAACUUCAUGCACUUCUUCGUUGAUAUAUGGGUACCUAUAAUAUACAAAAUUCGGGUCGGGUAGUGCUGGACCAUUUCGGGUUUAUUGUCGAGGUGGUAAUUAAGCAAUAACUUUUCCGAGAUUUUGGGGUGCUCCCAAACUAUGCUUUGGACAGUUGGACCAGAUUGGGUGGGGCCUUCCACGGCUGGAUCCCAGUUUCAGAGAAGAGAAACUGGGCAUUAGAAAUCGAAGAAGCCCAUUCAAAAUUCUGAUGAAACGCAUCUCAGCUCGGUUUGAAUAUCCAUUGGGCUAUUUGGGUUUUCUUUUGUGGUUAAGAGAAAAAAAUGGGUUAGCUUUAAGAGCCCUGUAAGAAAAACCCUUCGAACCUAAUCAGUGUUGAAAUCUGGGUUUGAACACAGGCCCGGCCCGAUGAAUUCUCUUUAAGGCUUUGAACCCAUUAGGCUCUCCAUGUUAAAUAUUAAAUAUGGUAAAGAUUCAAACUUCGCGCUGAGCAACGGACCUCUCAAAAAGUUAUAGUUAGUUAGGUUUAUAUGUUGUUUUUGAUGUAUCAUUAUUGUACACAACAAAGAGACACAACAUCAGACAAAGCAUAAUAAGUUUACAACCUCCUCAAAAUUUCAAACAACAACCCCCUUCAUUUCCCAGCCACAGAACUCUUCCUACUAGCACUCUUCGAAAGCUUGUCAAUUUCUUCAGCGACAAUCCCCGCCACGACCUCCGGCGAGAACCUGCGGAUCAUAUCCUCCCGCGCCCUCCCUCCCUUCCUCCGCCCCUCGUCCCUGUCCGUCGCCACGCGCCUCAUCAAAAGCCUCAGCCCAUCCACUGAGGGCUCGGCCCACAAAUGGCCCGCGAAGGGCCCGUUCCUCACUCGGCCCAUUCGCUCCACGCGCAACGGGUACCCGUUCUCCUCCGUCAAGUACUCGGUGGGACCCGACCAGUUCGUCGCGAUCACGGGCAAGCCCAUCGCCAUGGCCUCCACGAUCGGCCUCCCCCACCCUUCGCCGCGCGAGGGGAGCACGAACGCGUCCGCGGCCCUGUACAAUCUCGGUAGAUCCGAUUGCGGUAUGUGCGUAUCGAUCGCGUACACGCGCGCCCACCCAUUACUCGGCUCUUUCAAUCCCAUUUCCUCGACAAAGUUGGUGAUUUUGCCGAUAAAGUCUGCGUCGGAGUGGUAGGCGCUUAUUAAUAGGUACAGGGCGACGCCGUCGGAGUAGGAGAACUCUUCUAAGAAGGCUCUCAGCAGCACGUCCCAUCCCUUUCGAUGCUCCCAUUUGAAUACGCUUAGAAAGACGAAGCCUUUUUCGGUGGACAUUGGGUUCAAAGGUGGUGUUUUUCGGGGGGCGGCGGCGCUAAAAAUGGGAUUUUUAGUGGGGAGAGCGAGAGCCUCGUGCUUGGACGGGUCGAAGAAGUCGACGUCGACGGGUUGCACGAUUUUCGCCACCUUGGAGGGGUCGACGCCGCUCCGCACGAACGCGGCCAAGUGGAAGUCGGUGGGGACCCACACGGCGCCCAUGGCGUUGCACCGCCGCACGUGCUCGCGCGCCACCCGGUCGGUCUCGAACAUGGUGCGCCCGACGACGAACAUGGGCUCGCCGUACCCGGUGGGCGGGCACGGCGGGGUCUGGAACAAUGGCGGAAACCACGCCCCGGGCUCGCUGUGGCAGAUCACAAUAGUGUUAGAGAGCUCGCACUCCGUGCUGUAGAGCUCGUAGGCCAAGGCCUUGGACUCUUCGGGUAGGCCGAGCCAAAAAUCUAUGGAUUCUAAGUCGCCGUGCUGAUCUAUUUUGAGCUUAAACUUGGGAUCUUUGACGUGGGUAUGGAGAGCGGUGAUGUAGGACCACGCUUCGGAACUGUAGCCACCGCCGGAGAGGAAGGGGGCCAUCCAUCGAACACAUGGUGGGCGUUCGGAGAUGGGUGGUAGCGCCUCAGUUCCUUUGGAUUUGGUGGGAGAGAGGAGGGUGAGGAACAGGGUGGGUUUGAGGAAGGGGAGGGAUCGGAGGAGUGGGAGGGUGGUGAGGUGAGGGGAAGUUGAGUUGGAGAUGAUGGCGAGGGAGAGGGCGAGGAGGAGAACGAAGAGAGCGGGUGCCCAGAAGAGUAGCUGCUUCCAUUUUUGAGGUGAGGGCCGUGGUUGAGAAGGGGGAGCUUGGUUUGGGGGGCUCCGAUCGAUGGUCGUAUGAUUCAUGGCGAUAUGGAGGGAUUGGAUCUGAGCACCCAAAAUCUCUCUCUCUCUCUCUCUCUCUCUCUCUCUCUCUCUAUCUCAAUUCUACUGGUACAUUAAAUAAAAAAGUUAAUUUCAUAUAAAUCCCUAUAAAUACUGUAAAUUAUAAAUAUAUUCUUAAGAAGAUUAAUUUUUAUAUAUUAUUUCUUCAAAUGUCUUAAUAUUUUUAAAUAUAUCUCUCUAAUUUAUUGUCGUUAAAAUACUAUUUAUUUUAUAAGUGAAACGUAAUUUUUAUCAUUACAAAUAUGUCCCUCCAAAGAUCUAAACUGUUAAUUAAAGAGAGAUGAAAAUAUUAAUUCACCUUAUUAACUAAUCAGGAUUAAAUAUUUAAUCUAUGGUAAUUAAAUUUGUCUAAUAAAUUUUAAUGAAAUGUAUAUAUUUGAAAAUAUCAAAAAAUUUUACAGAAACAACAUAUAAAAGUUGAACUUUAUAAAAAUAUAUUUAUAAUUGACUAUAUUUACAUAAAUAUAUAUGCAAUUGACUCUUAAAUAAAAUUGUAAAUCUUAUAUUAUCGUAUCCACCAACUCAUAUAUUGAAAUUUUAUAAAAUUUAUAUAUUUUUUAGUAUGUGUUAAUUCGGCGAGCCUACUCAGCUACCAUAGCACUACUAUUUUAAAAAUUCGAAACAGAAAUUACUACGGAUUAAGAUUGAAAAAAGCAUAUAUAAUUUAGUCUAUUUCCAUAUAUUCUAACUAUAAAAGUUGAUAUAUUUCAGAUGAAAUAAUUUGAUUGAGUAAAGCAAAUGGGGCAACUCCUAAAACAAGAAGUAUCAAAUAAUUUGGAUCAAAUAAACUAAAUAUUCAAAUACAUUAUAAUUAUUUUAAUUUUUAAAAUAUUGAAUCUCUUUGUAUUUAUUCUAUUUCGCUCUAAAUAGUUUAAAACUCAACUCAAAAUAAUUUUAUUUAAAAAUCAUCUAAAAAAUAACAGUAUCUCUCUUCUUCUUCUUCUUUUUUUUGGCUUUUUUUUUUUGUGUUUUUUUGUUUUUUUUUCAAUCUCUCUCUUUUCGCUCUUCCCUGUUUCUGGAAUGUGUCCGUUUCAUUUUCCAGGUAAGUGUAGGAGCUCGAAACGCUGGAGCAUGCGAUGGAGCCGUACGUGUUCGCUCACCGGAAACAACCGCCGCGAGCACAGCGCACCACCGCCACCCCCUCCAAACAACAACGACAACGACGACCCAAUAAAUUCUGCGAAUCGCGCACCUAUUUCUCCAUUGCAUUGCUGCACAGCACACCGACGCAAGGCAAAUCCUAACCCUAACCCUAACCCUAACCCUCCCCUCCACCUUCUCCUUCGACCACCUCGUUCGAUAUUGCCAUGGCGAUGAAGAGUAGGGUGGUGGUCGUGGGAGGAGGGAUCGCGGGGGCGCUCCUCGCUAAAUCCAUCCAGGAUAUCGCCGAUGUUGUCUUAAUCGAUCCGUAAGUAGCUUUUUUUUAUAUAUAUAUUUUAACCUCGAUUGCUUUAAUUUUGAGGGGUAAUCGUUGAGGAUUUAGCCUAACUGUGAUGAGAGAAUUUGAAGUAAUAGGGAGGGGAAUGCAUGGUCAGAGACUAUGAUUUGCCCACAUUUUCUAAUGUUUCGAUGUGAAAUGAAGAUGUAUAUUAUAAGUAAUAAGGAUGUAGAUCCUUAUGUAGCAUUUUGGUGAUCUAUUUUUAUGCUUUGAGAUCUAUCUAAUUGGAUGUUAUGUGUCCUCUUGUAUGCUAAAUAUAUAAAUAACAACUUCACCUAUCCUUUUCACUGUAAUAUUUGCUCAGUUUGCUUUCGUUUUUACCCUAUCUAAGUUAAAAUGACUGCAAAUUUGUCUACAAAGAUGAGGAUUGAACCCACAACUUUGCUAAAUUAAAGGGGCUAGUAGUUGGCCUCAGUGCCGUGUGACAAAAGUACAUUUUAUGAGUACUUAUUUCAUUUUUACCUGAUAUUAGGAAGGAGUAUUUUGAGAUUCCUUGGGCAAAUUUAAGAGCGAAAGUAGAACCAUCGGUUGCGACGAGAUCAAUCAUCCAGCAUACUGAUUACUUAACAAACGGGCGGGUCAUUACAGCGUCUGCUGUGAAUGUCGGUGAAUUCGAGGUUUUUACAUCAGUGGGCCGCUUGGUGGCUUACGACUACCUUGUCAUCGCAACUGGCCACUUAUCAACAAAUCCUAGAAGGAGAAGUGAUAGGCUAGAAAUGUUUCAGGAAGGCAAGUAUACUCAGCAAAUUAUUAUCGGUGUUCAUUCUAGUCUUAAAUAUAUUUGGCAAUUCAUCUUAAAUAGUUUUUUUUUAAAAAAAAUGUUUUCGUAGUGUUAUCUAUUGGCUAUCCUAUUUAUAUUUAACAUCUUCCCAGGAUCUUUUACAUUUGUAAUGGAAUGCAUGUAAAAUUGUUUACUGCUAGGCAACUAGAAUUUGAAACCAUCUGCAAGAUUUGUUUGUUGUAAUUCUAACUUUUAUGAAUCAAUGCUACGGUAAUGUUUUAUUCCGUUGCAAAGGUUCCUUUCCGUACUCAUUUGCCUUUAAGACAUGAUAAAUAUCCUUUUGAAAGAGAAGUGCAGUUCCUAUAAACUGAAAGUGUCGUCACUAACUUCGUGCCAAACUUAUUAUCUUGGUUUUUAUUUUUCCCCCAAUGCCAGAUAAUCAAAAGAUAAAAUCUUCCAAGUCUAUCCUAAUCAUCGGUGGCGGGCCUGUUGGUGUUGAACUUGCGGCAGAGAUUGCAAUCGACUACCCUGAGAAGAAAUUGACUCUGGUUCAUAAUGGACCGAGAUUGCUUGAAUUCAUUGGGCUGAAAGCUUCUAGCAAAGCAUUCGAGUGGUUAAAGUCGAAGAAUGUGGAAAUACUUUUUGAGCGGUCGAUUGAUACGGAUUCCAUAUCGGAGGCAGAUAAAGUUUAUACAACAUCAGCAGGGGAAACUAUUACUGCCGACUGUUACUUUAUUUGCACGGGUAAACCUGUGGGCUCUGCAUGGCUUCAGGAGUCCAUAUUGAACGACUGUCUUGACAGAAAUGGAAGAUUGGUGGUUGACGAGAACUUGAGAGUUGGAGGGCGGAAGAAUAUCUUUGCUAUCGGAGAUAUAACCAAUGUACCUGUAAGUAAUUCAUUAUUUAGUUACAGUCUAUAUAUUGAAAGAGUUUGGAGCACUCUACUAAAUGUAGAGUAAGAAGGCUGCACAGACGACUCUAUACUUAGCCCAUCUCAAGUGUCUGUUGAAGUAGUAAAGUACGACCUCGCGCUAUUCAGGUCAGAAGAAAUUCAGUAAUUCUUGUAUGUCUACAAACACGAAAAAGGUAGGGCCGAGCUAUUAAACAGAUACUUGAGAUGGGCUUAGUAAAGGUAGGGCCGGUCACAAGAAAUUCAGUAAUUCAUUGUGCAAAACUAGAUAUAUUCUUCAGAUAUGAUUCAUAGCGGACAUUGCUUAUUUUGGUUUUGCUUUCUUGUAGGAAAGCAAGCAAGGUUUCAUUGCUCAGAAGCAUGCCAUAGUGGUGGCCAAGAACUUGAAGCUACUGAUGAAGGGGGCGAAGGAUGGUAAGCUGAUCAAGUACAGGCCCUCGUCGCUGACCACGACAGUUACAUUGGGGAGGAAAGAUGCUUUAGCCGAGCUGCCGUUUUUGACCCUUGUCGGGCUUCUGCCUGGCAUGGUGAGAUCGAGGGACCUCUUUGUAGGCAGGACACGGAAAUUGAUGGGGCUCGACCGAUUGGGUUUCUGAUCGGAAUUUGCCAUUCUUUUAUUUUGUUUCUCCUGAUCACCGGAAUUGUUACAACUUGUUUACUCCUGCAUAUAUUGUUGUACUAGAAAGCUUUUGUUCUGUUGAACUCAUUCUUAUAUAUAUAUAUAGAUAAAUAUCUUAUGUCCCGGUCAAAAUUAUUUAGUCUCGACAAUUUUGUGAUCUAUAAGGUGGGGGGGAGAGAGAGAGAAUGUGCAAUAGCACCUGGGUGAAUUUUAUUUGUUGUUGCCGUAAGAGCUCUUUUCAGUCCAUGCGGUGAAAGAUCGGUGUUUUGCAGGAGCUUUUAGCUGGAAAGUUCCGCACUGAAGUGCGCUGUUUGAAUGAAAACAUUUGAAAUUUUAAUUUCUUAUUGAAAAGCAGCACAUGAUAGUGACAUAAGAAACUUCUCACUGGGGCAGCUAUUGCUUGUAAUGCUGCAUUUUAGUCUCUUUACUACAGAAGCAGCUCUAGAAUAUUUGUCAAAUUAAUACUCCGUAACUGCUUGUGCUACAAAGUUGUUUCAGAAGUCUUGGGACUAUCUUUUAUUUCCACUUUCAAGCAUAGUCUCCUACAACGGAUCAUUCAUUAAAUAGAAGUUUGGAGCUUGCAAUGUGCAGUAAACUUAGGGCUUGUUUGAUUCAUCCAUUUUAGGUAUGGAAUGGAAAUCGGUUUGAUCAAAUCCGGUUAAUUUUGUUUGGUUCGCAUGAAUCGAUUUGAAAUAUCUAUUCCGGACUGGAAUGGGAAUGGCUUAUUAGCCUUCAACUUGAUUCCGAUCUUCUAGUCUGGAGUGAAAUUUCAAUCCGGAAGCCCACUAAGUUCUCGAAACCCAUGUGACCAUCUCACCUUCCUUCUCUUCACCCCUUUCUCAUCAAAAAAAAAAACUUAUCUUCUCUCAAAACCUUAUCCUUAACCCACAUCAAUAAAAGUUUUUAAAAAUAAAUUUGAUAUUUUUUUUGAAAAACUUAUUAGAGAAUAGUAUUAUAUUUUUCAUAAAUUUUAAAUAAUAUAAAUUUAUAUUUGAAAGUAAAAUUAGUAUAAUAUAAAUUUAUAUUUGAAAGUAAAAUUAGUAUUAGUAUACUAUAAGUUCGUUAGUUUAUACGAAUCAAACAAUGAAAUAUGAAUAACUCAUUUUAGUUCCCAAUCGAUAAAUAAACCAAACGUCUUGAAAGAGUGAGUCAUUCCAAUUACUAUUUCAAUUUAUUUACAUUUCAUUAUCCAUUUCAAUUUCACUCUUGAACCAAACAAGUCCUUAAAGUGAAAUCCCCAAGUCUAAACCAGAAGCUUCGAUCGAUACCCUAUGCUUUUGCUGCAUAAUAGAACUGCUCCAUCGAAAAGGGUCUAAUUAACAAGUCGUUAGUACGUUACUCAACAGUACGUACCGCAUGGUAUUCUCAAACACGAUCUUGCGCGUGAAUCAUGAUGGCCCGAAUCUCGAUAACCGUCUGAUCAGGACGGCGUAACGAUCAGCAGCGUUCGUACGUAUACGUGGUUAGUGAUUAGAACUGUUUGGAAUCUUUAACCAAAUACGGGGGAUUUUGUACAGUUGGUGUACGCCAUUUAUGCACCUCUACCCUGAGCAAAUGGUUGGUUUCGUCAUCAUGGAAAGAUUUUAAAAUUACUGCUUUUGACGCACAUCAAAUCACCUCACCGUAGAUAGAUAAUAGCGCUCGAUUAGGUGCGUCCAAUCGAAAUCAUUGCCUUUCUUAAUUCUACGUCAUAUAUUUAUAUUAUUAUAUAAGUAGAUUUUUUUUUUUAAAAAAAAUUCAAUAUACGAUAGACGUGUUCGAUUAAUGAAAAGUUGCUGGGUAAACGCGGGAAUAUAUAUAUCUUCAGUAGGAUGUAAACUGUGCUGCAUAUUAAACUAAUUCAAAAUUUUAUUAACGUCCCAUUUAUAACUCGAGUGGUGAUGGGUGAUACGGAGAUCCAGGUGACGUCAUUUGGGGGGACAUGAAAUGAAGGGCGCGAUACGGAGUAUCACGCGCUCGGUUCUCUCGGCACGUGCCCAAGCUGCGAAGGCUCCCCUCCAGUUUUCUGAAAAACAAUACCAUCCAUGCACACAAAAAAAACUCUAUAUAUAUAUAUAUAUAUAUAUAUAUAUAUAUAUAUAUAUAUGUUGAGCUAUGAUACUUUUAUAAGUAUCACCAUCAUGGUAUUAUUAGAUUUUAAGUCAUUGAAUCUAUUUUUUGAUUAUUAAUAGCUCUUAGAUUAAACACUCUUCCACCUACCGUCACCUACCACCAUCAUCUCAACCUCAAAUCUCUCCAUCCAAGGACUAAAAACACACAAGUAUCACCCCCAUGAUACUUUUAUAAGUAUUCUAGCCCUACUCAUAUAUAUAUAUAUAUAUAUAUAUAUAUAUAUAUCCAUUCUAUGAUUUCUAUCUCAAAAUUAUUAAUAUUUUAUUUAUUAUAUUAAUUUUUUUAUUCUUAUUAGAAAAUAUUUAUAUUUUUAUCUGCAACACUGGAAUAGAAUAAGAAUGCCUGAUCUAUUUUCCUUUUUAGGCAUACUUGUUCAGCGCACGUGCAAAUAUACGCAACAAUUAUUUUAAUAGUUAUCUAAAUUAAUAUAAAUUUUUGUAUCAUAUUUACCAAAAAUUUAUAAUCAACAAUAAAAAUUUAAAAUUUUAAAAAGUAAAUUCAUCUGUAAUAUUUUAGUAAAAAAUAAUUGUUAUAUUCUAAAUCAAAUUAAAUAGUUAUUGGCCACACUAAUUAUAUAGUUCUCUAAAAUUUAAGUUUAAAUAGUGAAUUAAAUUUAAUUUUAGAUAUCAAAUCUGGUUUAACAAUUAACAAAUUUUAAUUAAGGUUGGUUAAAUUAAAUUUUAAAAUUUAAAUAAACGUAAAUUAAUUUUGAUACUUUUAGUUUGAAAUGCGUGCGAGGAAUAUUCUACGGUAGAUAUCCUCCGAUCGGUAAAAGUUUGAAUAAAGAUAAUUUUUUCAGCUUCCUCAAGUAGAUUGCAAUAUUUUUUUUGCUAAAUAAUUAUUCUGUCAAUAAUUAAUUUAAUAGUUAUCUUAAAGCAAUACAAAUUUUUGUACCAUAUUUAUCCAAUAAUUUACAAUAAAAAAAUUAAUUCUUUUAAAAAAUAAAUUUAUUUGUUAAAUUUUAUUUAAAAUAUCUAUCAUAUUUUAAUUCAAAUUCAAAUAAUUGUUGCCGGCUAUAAUUAUAUAGUUCUUUUUUUUUAAUAUAUGCAUUGAAUAUUUUCUAUAUUUUUGAAUUUUAACGAAUCCAAAAUUUAAGUAUAUGUUUUGCACUAAAAGUACAAAAAUUUUAAUUUACGUUUAUAUCAAAACAAAGUUUAAUCUUCAUCCACUAUAUUAAAAAUUUAAAAUUUUUUAAUUAUCAAUUCAAACUUAAUAUCCAAAAUUAUAUUUAAUUCACAAUUUAAACUCAAAUUUUAAUUUUAAUUUAAAAAUCAUUACUUUAAUUCUAAAUUAUAUAUUUAAAAUAUAACUCUAAAUUUCAGAUGAAAUAAAUAUUUAAAAUCAAAUAAUAUUUAAAUUAUAUAUACACACUUGAAAUUAAAUUUAAAUUUGAUUAUUGUUGCAAUCAAUCAAAAGUUAUAUAAAACUAAAUAUUAGUAGAUAGAAUUGAGAUAAUCUUAAAUAUUCACCACAAAAGAAAAAGAUGUUGAAUGAUAUAAAAAUAUUUAAUUACACAAUAUAAUUAUUCGUUAGAGAAAAAAAAGUAAUUAAAUAUUUAUUUCUUUUCAUAUCUAUUCCCACUUUUUUCUAUUCUUAUUCUUAUAUUUCUUUUCUUAUCUUUAUAUUUUUAAAAAUAUAUCUGUCGGCAAACUGAAAUUUGAAAUAUGUGUUUUUAUACAUAGUAAAUAUAGAUAAGAAGUAUUUUCCUUUCUAAGGUGUGAUGUAUCAGCGCAUGUAUGCUAAAAUAUUUUUAGCAAUGCAUAUUUGUAAUUUGGGUAUAUUAUAUAUGUUUGUUAGGAUGUUAAUAUCUUAUGAAAAUUAGAGUAUUACACGGUAAAGAUAAAAACGCAUAAUUUUUUUGAAUUACGGUUCAUUUUAAAUAAGAUUAUUUAAAUUUUAAAAAUUUUAGUUUUGAUUUUAAAAUUUAAUCUAAUUAGUUGUUUUAAUAAAUUUGCAGUUACGAAAAUUGCAUGAAGUAAGCUAACUAAAUUUGUAAAAGUAAAUAAUAUAUUUAAAUUUUAAAGUAAAAAUAUGGUUGUUUUAUUCAAAUAAAAAAAACUAAAAAAAUAAAUGAUAAAAUUAAAAAUUUUAAAAAAUUAAUAGUCAAAUCGAAAUGAUUCAGAGUUCAUACAUGUUUGUUUGGGUGGAAGUAGGGUGGACGUGGAGAGGAGAGAAGUCGUUUUCGUCCUAAAGGGUGUGUUUGGUUACCCUGAAAAAAAAUUUUCGGGCUUGAAAGUUGCUUUUCCAGCGUUUCGUUUGAUGUAAAAAAAUUUUGCCAAAAAAAUCAUUUUACGGAGUCUACGUAAAAGCAAGCUUUUCGUUUUCCACCAAAUCGCGGCGGAAAACGAAAACUCACAGUGAAAAAUCGCGGCUCAGGAUCGGCGUCCACGAGCUCAUCCAAGAGCUCGUGGACCAUGUGAGUGGUUCACACCGACUCCACACACACAUAUAUAUAUAUAUAUAUAUAUAGAGUUGGACUGAGCUAUUAUUAGUAGUAAAAUUCCAUUGUUGCUACCAGUUUUUAGCCUUUGGAUCAAUAUAUUAAUCCGACCUUAUGAUAAUUAUCAUUUUGCGAGAAAAAUGAUAGUUCAAAAAUUGGGAACCUACUUUUUAACAUCCCAGUCCUACUAUAAUCAGUCAAUCUUAACUCACCAGGGGGAUCCCAACUCACCAGGGGUGACCUAAUAUCAUAAAUUAGGUUACCAAUCUUUAUUACUUUUCUCANUCUCUCUCUCUCUCUCUCUCUCUCUAUAUAUAUAUAUAUAUAUAUAUAUAUAUAUAUAUAUAUAUAUAUAACUAGGCUGGAAUACUAUCAAUAGUACCAAGCUAUUAGUGCCAUUAGUUUUUUAGCUCUUGGAUUGAGAAAUGUACGGUUAGGAUGAUGUGGGCCCCGUAGGGUUGAGUGUGUGGUUGGUUGAAUAAUAUAAUCUAACGGAAAAAAUUAAUCAAAUGGAUUAAUCUAACGGCAGAAAACUUGAUAGCACCAAGUGCUUGGUGCUAUCGAUAGCAUAGCAGCCGAUAGCACGGUAUAUCUAGGCUGCUAUACUAUCGAUAGCACGGACACCUCCGUGCUACCAAGUUGUUUUCAAUGAUGCCGCUUCCAAAUCGACGAUCGGCUCCGUUAGGCUUGAUCUACAUUAUUGAAAGUAUUUGGAAACUAAAUUUCAUAAUUUUUUAGUAUUAUUUAGCUAUCAAACGAGUAGUCUAAAAAUAAACGGCUGAAAAUAAAAACCUCAUAAAAAAUAAUGAUAUAGGACUUGAAUUUAAGAUCAGAGGUAUUGAUCAUACUCUAAAUAGUAAAAAAAUUUUCUAUAAAAAUUUCAUUUGAUUUGGAUUGUUUUACGCCGUUAAAUUUACAAAUGCAUCAUAUCUACCAUUAAAAUUGUCAAUUUUGAGACCUUUUGAUCACUAGCCAAAUGAUGUCGAAAAAUUUUGAAAUUUAGUUUCCAAAUACUUUCAAUAGUGUAGAUCAAAUCUAACGGAGCUGAUCGUCGAUUUGGAAGCCGCAUCAUCGAAAACAACUUGGUAGUACAGAAGCCACCGUGCUACCGAUAGUAUAGCAGCCGGACUAUAUAUAUAUAUAUAGAACUAGGCUACUAUACUACCGGUAGCACGGAGCGCUCCGUGCUACCAAGUUGUUUUCGAUGAUGCAGCUUCCAAAUUGACGAUCGGCUCCGUUAGACUUGAUCUACACUAUUGAAAGUAUUUAGAAACUAAAUUUCAUAAUUUUUUAAUCUCAUUUACCUAUCAAACAAAUAGUCUAAAAUUGAACGGCUGAAAAUAAAAAUCUCAUAAAAAAUGAUGAUAAAAGAUUUAAAUUCAAGAUCAGAUAUACUGAUCUUACUCUAACUAGUGAAAGGAAUUUUCUAUAAAAUUUUCAUUGCAUUUGGAUUGUUUUACACCAUUAAACUCACAAACACACCACAUCGGCCAUUAAAAUUGUCAAUUUUGAGAUCUUUUGAUCACUAGUCAAAUGAUGUAAAAAAAAUUUGAAAUUUAGCUUCCAAAUACUUUCAAUAGUGUAGAUCAAAUCUAACAGAGCUAUUCGUCGAUUUGGAAGCCGCAUCAUCGAAAACAACUUGGUAGCACGGAGCGCUCCGUGCUGCCGAUAGCAUAGUAGCCGGACUAUAUAUAUAUAUAGAGCUAGGCUAAUAUACUAUUAAUAUAUUAUAUAUAAUAUAUAUAUAUAAUAUAUAUAUAUAUGAAAAUUUAUUUAUAAAUUUAUUUUAUAGUAUUAAAUAUAUAUAUACUAUUAUAUUAUAUUAUAUUAUAUACUUAUUGUACAAUAUAUUUUAAAUAUAUUUUAUUUACAAAUAUAAAUUAUAAUAUUAGCAAUAUAUGAUAAUUAUUACAUAUUAAUAAUAUAUAAUAUAUAAAAUAAAUAAAUAUAUAAAUAUAUAUAUAUAUAUAAUAUAAUAUAAUAAUAAUAAUAAUAAUAAUUUUUUAUUUAUAAUUAACUUUUUCCUUCUUUUCCUUUCAACUAAACAACCGUAACGGAAAAUUACCUUUUUUUUCCUACAAACCAAACGCUAAGAGCGUAAAAUUUAUUUUCCUCCGAAAAUUUUUUUUUCACAGUUUUACGUCAAACCAAACAACCCCUAAACGACCACUUCCAUUGUUUGGUUCGCCGUAAAAAAGUUACAGUCGAAACUCGAGUUAACCUUAAACGGCGUAAUUGACUUCGCCCCAUUGUUGGCCAAAGUCAAUUACGGUGAAAGAGGCGAAAACAAAUAAUAAAAUUAUAUAAUAGGUAAAGCUAGUUAUAUUUAAAUAUAUUUAAUUAUGUUACUAAUUAUUUUUUUAUUCAAUUAAUAUAUCUAAAAUAUGAUAAAAAUUAUUUAGUUAAGUUUUAAUAUUUUCUUUAUUUAGUUUGUAAGUUUUGAAAUAUGAUAAAAAUUGAUUAAUUAAGUAUUAAUUUUUUUUUACUUUAUAAUUUUAUUAUUGUAUUACUAUAAUUUAUGUUUAAAAAAAUAAUUUAGUUGUUUUAAAUUAAAUUUUAAUUAUAUAAAAAAUAUAAUUAUAUUAUUUUUAUUAUAAAAUAUUUGUUAUUUAUAUAUAAAUUAUAGUUUUAUAUUAUACAGUUCUUAUCAAACAAACAGCAGAACUGAUGGAACUUCACAUCCAUAACUACGAAACAAACAGCGGGAAAGAAGUAGUUUUCACCGAACUCCAGUUCAACCCAAUGUCCGCUUCAACCAAAGUCCAGUUUCAGUGAAACAAACAUGCAGUGUUCCAUCUUUUUACCUAUAUAAAAAUAGAAAUUGAAUGCUAAAUUGUUUUGAUUGAAACUUAAGUUUCAAAAGUGACGUGUUAUUUUAUUCUAUAUAAUUUUGAGAGAAAACUUGCAUAUUAUCUGCUAAUUUAUUUUUACUUAUAAACGAAUUUAGAUGUUAAUGAAUGACGCAAAUAGCGUGCUGCCUUUCUCUCAAAAAAUAAAAAUAAAAAUAAAAAUGUUAAACAACUAGAUUUCAAACUUACAUACUAGACAUUAAUUUUUUUGCGAUUUGCACCGGACAUGAUCGGUGUGUCGAAAAUAAUAUAUAUAUUUUUUUUAGCAGAACAUAUCCAUAAUAAUAGUCUUAACAUAGAUGAUAAAUAAUUCAUAAUUCAUGGUGACGUCCUUUUUCUGUGUCUCCGUUUUGGAAGGGAUAAUUGGGUGCAGCAUUAUGUAGAGUAAUAAUCAUGGGAGGAAGUAAAGGCGGCGUGGUUUGUGUGGAUUCGGGUGCGCCGCCACUGAUCGAUCCGAAAUCGAGCAGCUCUCGCCCCGGAACCAAACCCGAUCCAACUAGCAAAGCCGCAAUCAUUCCCUUUACAUCAUGCCGAUGAUUUGCAUUGUGUACUCGAUUUUGUGGAUCUUAACUCAAUCUCUUUCGUUUCUUUCUUUGACAUGAGAGCAUCCUAUCAUAAUAUGUAUUUUUUAUGAAAAUUAACUACCCCUCAUUGCUCCCAUUAAUUACAUCAUACGCUUCUCCUCUUCUAUAAAUAGCCACCAUGGAGGCUACGUAGAACAAUACACGAGAUUAUGGGUCGGUUUCGUUUAAUUCUGCAAUCCUUUUCUCUACUAUUACCACUACUACUACUGGUGGUUUUGUCCCUUGGGGUGGAAGGAAUUCGUCUUGGUAUAUAUUUGGAACGAAUUAAACUCUUUUAAUCUCUUAAUCAUGUUUACGGGCUUUUAUGACACUGUUUAGUUUAAUCAUGAACAGGUUGCAGCGGUGGUAUUGGGUGUUUAAAUUACGACACUGCUCCUUCAGUGAGUUUGGAUCGAGAGGUUUUGUUGUAGUUCUUGUGGGGAUAUUUUUGAUGUAGGAUAUAUUUGCAAAUGUGGUUAAUUUUAUGAGAUUAAAUUAAGUUUGGGUUUCAGGUUAAUUAUGAAUACGGUGCAUCAAAGGAGGCCGUGAUGAGGGGUUUUUACAGGGAGGGGGUGGUCGGAACGGCGACGGCGACGGCGGUGGCGGAGGAGCUGAGGUGGGUCCCGUCGGGGCCGGACCCACUGCACCACAACGGUAGCCCCAAAAAGCCCCAGACGCCUUGACGCGUGUCGGGUCCGGAUUGGCUGGAGCUGUGACUGGAAAGGCCGUGGAGGUGGAAGCAGGAAAUAUAUAUCCAAAUUAUAAGCAACUUUUUGUGUAGUAAAUCAGUGGCACAAUGUGCGUGAUACAAGUAACAAGUGUGCUGCUGCUGCUACUUAAUUAAUUAAGUUCGUUUUUUUUUUUUUUUUUUUUUUCCCUUCUUUUGGGUUCUUCUUUUUUGGUUACUACUGAAGAAGAAGUAUAUAUGGGUAGUUUUGGGGAAUUAAGAUGUGGGCUUGCUUUUUCUUUAGGAGUGUGUGUAUAUAUGAAAAAUAUUUGUUUUCGCGUGGUAAUACCGCUGUGUGUAUAUAUAUAUAUAUAUAUAUGUUUUGAAUUCUACACUAGUCUCUAAUGCAUGUACAUACUACAUACUAGAUACUACAUACUAUCGAACGAAUAUAUAUAUAGCUGCUGCCUUGUCGAUCUCACACCAUAUAUGAUAUAUCGACGCGACGCCCCAUGGGAAUAAUUAGAGAUAUCCGGCCGGCUCUGGCAGUCUGGCUUAAGUUCAGGGAGAGCUAGGGUACUGCGUUAAUUAAGUAAAUAAUAAUAAUAAUAAUAAUAAUAAGAGUACGAGUAAACCGAUCGAGAGCAUGGCGGUCCGGGCGUACGGCGCGUUGCUGGACGGCAUCUUGGCGGCGCGCGACGCGGGGGCGCUCCGGCGCGCCCACGGGAGGCUGGUGGCGGUGGGGCUCGCCCCGCACCCCUUCCUCCGCUGCAAGCUCCUCUCCGCCUACGCCGCCUGCUCCCGCCCCGCCGAGGCCCACCUCCUCCUCUCCUUCCUCUCUUCCUCCCACCGCCGCCCCCCUCUCUUCGCCCUCAACUCCCUCCUCCGCUCCUCCCCCUCCGCCUCCGCCUCCCUCCGCCUCUUCCGCCGCAUGCUCCUCCUCGGCCCCGGCCCCGACGCCCGCUCCUUCGCCGCCGCGCUCUCCUCCGCCGCCCCCUCCCUCCGCCUCGCCCGCCUCCUCCACGCCGCCGCCCUCGUCGCCGGCCUCCUCCGCGACCCCGUCCUCCCCCCCUCCCUCAUCUCCGCCUACUCCCGCGGCGGCGACCUCGCCUCCGCCCGCCGCGUGCUCGACGAAACGCCGCAGAGGGGCCGCACCCUCGCCGCGUGGACGGCCAUGAUCGCCGCGUGCGGGGCCCACGGGCGGGCGGCGGAGGCGGUGGAGAUCUUCGAGCGGGAGGCCGCGGGGGGCGGCGACGCGGCGGCGGCGACGGCGGUGCUGGCGGCGUGCGCGCGGGCGGGGAUGGUUGCGGCGGCGCGGAGGGUGUUCGCGCGGUUGGGGAGGCCCGCGCUGCAGCACUACACGUGCAUGGUGGAUGUGCUGGGGAGGGCGGGGCUCGUGGAGGAGGCGGAGGCGCUGAUCGCCGGGAUGGAGACCGAGCCCGACGACGCGCUCUGGGCGACGCUGCUCGGCGCCUGCAGGAUGCACGCUCGCCUCGACGUCGCCGAGCGCGUCGCCAACCGAGUCUACGGGCUCAAGCUCGCCUGAUUCUUCCUCCUUUUCCUUUUGUUUAUUCCUCUCUUUUUUCUUUAAACCGUGAUGCGUACUAAACCAUGAUUCUUCGCCAAGUUUCUUCCAGUUGUUGAUGUAUUAACAUUUAUUAGCCAAAAGAUUUCAAAAUCAAAAUUUCUCUCGUUUUCAUGCACAGUAUAAUAAUUUAAUUUCGUUCAUUAUUAUACGACUAUGGUUUUCAAUAAAUGUAGUGAUACAUUAUAUAGGAUAUUUAGUAAUUUAGAUCAAAUUAUGAUUUAGUCUAUUUAAUCACAGCUAUUUUAAUUGGGUUUAUUAAGAAUUCCUCAAAAAAGUUUCUGAGUUUUUUUUUUCUUUUUCCCCUCAAUCUUGUGUGAUAAUAAAUUACUCGAUUUUACAGGCCCAGGCUCGAGUCUGGGCCUUAACGCAACGGCCUUACAACACAAGCGGCCGCAAUUGCACCUGUUUGGCACCGUAACCAUGAGCCUGGGCCUUAGCCUGAUGGGUCCAGUAAAAAAUGAGAUUUUAAACCGACUUUAAUAUUGUAUCUUUUAUUUGAAAAAAUUAAAUUACUCUUGUAAAAACCCUUCUACACCGGAACCCUUGCAAACCUUCGCCUCAUCUCUCUUCGCCACCAUGAUAUGAUCGAUAAUCCAUGUUGAUUCUUACACAGCAUGAUUUUCUCUCUUCUCUCUCUUUUGAUUCUUACACUUCACUCUUCUUCUUUUCCUUUACCUUUUUUUUUCCAUCUAAAUUUUAAUUUGUAACCACAAGGAGAUCACAUUGAGCUUCAUCGCCAGCGCCAUGGAUACCGCCUCGAUCACUUCGAGCGCAAGCGGAAGGAGAAGGCGCGUCAAGUCCAUGAAAGAUCCAAUUUUCCCCAAAAGGUUCCCUUUUUCAUUUUCUCUUUUUUUUAAUUAAUCUUAGAACUUUGAUUUGCGAAUAAACGAUACGCAGAGAAGGCUACGAUGAAGAAGACGUAAGUCUCUAAGUGCUAAAAAAAUUUGGCUACUCUUUUAAUCCCUGGAAAAUUAUAUGAAAUUGGUUGCUAAAACAUAAAGAAUGUAUCUUAUUUUCGGUUUAUCGAAUCAUGGUAAAGCUAGCAGUUUUAGUCCAAAUUAAAACUUAAAUAACUAGCAGAACAUAGUCUUGGGAAUAUCUGACACUAGGAUUGGGUGGAACUGCUUAAACUACAAGAGCACGGGCAAAAGAAAACGUGGAGGAUAAUAUAGGAAGUUUCCUUUUUUGAAUAGACUUUUUUUUUUUGGGAGUAGCUGGAUUUGUUGUCUUAAUUUUCUAACUAGUGAUAAUAAUAAUAAAAAAAUCUCUCGAGUACGUCUUCUUUGCUUUGUUUUCAUUGUUAGUGUGUGAAAUCACUUGGUUAGCCUAGUUGAAUCACAUCUGCUGUUCAUUUCCUUGAUGAGUAAAUGUAUCGGCUCCCUGUUUAUAGCUUAAUUUAUUUGCUCUGCUCCCCGAGAAAAAAAGGAAAAGAAUAGAAAGGCUAUGCUUUUUAAAGUUUCAAUAUGCUAAUAUGUGGAAUCUUAUGAUCAUUUGAGAAUACUAACAAACUAGUUGGAUAUGUUAAUAUGUCUACUCUUUGUUAACUGCUCUUUGUUGGUUGAAUGAUAAGUAAGUACCUCGUUCUUGUAAUUUAUCUUAGCUUAAUUUUUACAGCUUCAUGGUUUUAUCCUGGGAUCUUCUAUUCAUUGGGUAUUGCUGUCUUAUAUAUGAGAACUUGGGUCGAGUUUGUUUGUGAAACUCUGCAAUUUUGACAUAAUUUGUACUUCUGUAGGCUCAUCAUGCAUGAAGAAUCUUCUUCUAGGAGAAAAGUUGAUGAUAAGGUUCUAGUAGGAGCUGUUCAUGCGCAUCUCCUUAGAUCGUGAUGUUACCACGCGCGCGAAGGUAAAUUGGUCCUCCUAGGUUAUUACAUUGAGUUGUCUUUCUUGUUAAAAUAAAUGCAUCUUAUUAUACCUUUCGUCUUGCUUAAAAAUGUUCUCAGCAACAGUGUUAAACAGAAGAGGAAAGAGAAGGCCGGAAAAUGGGAAGUCCCUUUGCCACAGGUGAGUUUAUAAUCAAUUCUUCAUAUGCAUUGUUUAUUUUUCUCUGUAGAAAAAUGAGUAGUCCGAGUAUUAUACCUUAUCACACAACUACUUAUCCGGUGCAGGUUAGGGCUGUUGCCGAAGAAGAGAAUGUUUAAAGUUGUCCACUCUGGCAAACGGAAAAGUUAACUUUUCUCAUCUUCUCUGUUCUCCAUCUUAUGAUACUUUUUAUUCAUCUUACUCAAUUAUUUAUAUUUUUCAUCUUGUUCGACUUGUUGGUGUGUUCGGCCAAGCAGUCGAAGAGAAUGCUAACCAAAGCCACAUUCGUCGGCCCGGGCUUUACGAGAAAACCACAGAAAUAUGAACGCUUCAGCCGCCCUACGAGAUUAAGGUUCUUCACUAAAGCCCAUGUGACGCAUCCGGAACUGAAAUGUACUUCCAAUUUAGAUAUCAUCGGCAUUAAGAAGAAUCCUAAGCCUUUGUUUGGUUGGGGGUUAAGGGAUUAUCCCCAAACACCCUCAAAAAUUGGUGGGGGUUAUCAAAUGGGCUAUCCCGGAUUAGCUAAUUCCAUCUAACCCGACCAAACUCCAACCAAAUACUAUUUUCUAUUCGUAAUAACCCACCCCUUCUUAUCCACCUACUCCAAUCAAAUACUAUUUUUCACUAUUCUGAACUAACUUCAACCCGCAACCAAACACAAAAAUACUCUAACCCCAUCUUAACCCUGAACUUAACCUUAUCCUUGGAAUAACUAGUUUUUCCUUAACCCCAAACCAAACGGUAGCUAAAGGUUCUACCUACACUUGUCCAGGUGUUAUCACCAAAGGAACAAUAAUUGAGGUAAAAUUGUAAAAAUCUACCUCCUCAACGAUUCUCUUUAAUCAAUAAUUUCGUUUUAUUUAUAUAUAAAUACAUAGAAUUAAAGAGUGUUGUAAUCUCUUCUAUUACAUUCUAGUUACUUUUUUUAUUGGGGAGGUUGUGUGGGGUGAGUUAAUAAGCUGCACUAUAUCAAUUCGAUCCUUCCUCUUCCUUUCCAGUAAUAUAAAUUACUUAAUUUUCCUUCGUUUUAUUAUGCAGGUAAAUAUGCUCAGGUAACUAAUGAUCCUGAGUAGGACGGAUGUAUCAAUGCAAUUCACCUUGUCUGAUCACUGUAAUAUGUCAGUCUUAGUGCCGAUGCUACUGGGUGUUUUUAAGUCUCAAUCAACUAAGUUGAGAUUAGUUGAUUCACAUUUUCAGCUAAGUUUAUUUCUAAAUGAACCAAACGAAGCGGGUAACGUGUUACCUAUCUCUCUCAAAAAAAAAAAAGAAGAAGUCUCAAUCGACGGCAUUCUCAGAUAAGAGUUGAAGAAUGGAUACGUAUGAAAUCAACGUAAAAUUGAUUCGUAUGAAGUUAACGUAAAAUUGAAUUCUAUACCUCUCUUUGUAGGCCUAUCCUUUCCGUCUUUUAUGCAAUUCUUAAUAUUUUGUACCCAUGUUAUAUUACAGAACUACUAUUUAAUUUUUAAACUUAGUAUUAAAAAUAUUAUUUCAUUUACGAAGAUAAUUUUUAUGAUUAUCAUAAUUUUUAACAAUAUAUAUUUUUAAUGUCAUUAAACACGUAACAUGCACCAAGUCUCGUCGCAAACAAGUCCAAAAAAGCAGGCCUCUUUGUUCGAUCGGUAUGUAUGACGUAUCCACCGGGAUGUUGAGUGGAGUCCAUUUCGCAUACAAAAGUACAAAUCGAGCAGCGUGGGUUGGUACGCAUGAUGGGUUCGAUCAACGUCUAACAUCGACACUUCAUUUAAUUAAUAUUUUUUUAAUUAACUGAAAUUAUCAUUAUCAAUGAACUUCGAUUGGACAGAGUUUCUAGAGAAUCCGCUGCCCAAUUAGGCAGUUUGGAAUCUUUUAAAUACUUAUUAAUCAACCUAAGCUUAAAGUUGGAUAUUCUUGAAAAAGUAGAGCGCUAUAUUACAGUGUGUGUAUAUAUAUAUAUAUAUAUAUAUAUAUAUAUAUAUUUAGAAAAAGUAGCAUGUGAUCUGUCUAUAGGGAUGUCAACGGGUCGGGUUUGGGUCGGAUUUUUAAAAAUUCAAAUCCGAACCCGAAAAUCAAAUUAAAACCCGUAUCCGGACCCGAAUCCGACGGGUUUUAAAAAUUCAUACCCAUAUCCGUACCUGAGCAAAAACCCGAAACCCGAACCCGGACUCGAACCUGGCGGAUUUUAAAAAUCCAUACCGUUUGAAUGAAGAUCUAAGAGAUAAAAAUUAUUAAAUAUUUUAUAUAUUAUAUAAAUAAAUAAAAAUAAAUUUAUGUAUAUAUAUAUAUAUAUAUAUAAUUUAUUCGGGUUCGGGUCGUGUUCGGGUUCGGGUUCGGAUCGGAUAAGUACAAAAUCCAUACCCGUAUCCAUAUCCGUCAGGUUUUUAUUUUCUAUACCCAUAACCAAAUCCAUACCUGUUUAGCUCGGGUAAACCUGUCCCGUUCGGGUUCGGGUUCGAAUAAUAUUUCGGGUAUUCAUACUUAUUGACAUCUUUACUUGUUUCGUUUAUUUUUUUUAGAAAUAAAUUUAGAUAAAAAUGUAAAUCAACUAGAAUUCAAACUUGAAAUUUCGGAUACCAACCACCAAGUCUUUUUUACUUCAUUUAUUUUCUUUAGAAAUAAAUUUAGAUGAAAAUAUGAAUCAAUUAGGAUUCGAAUUUAGAACAUCGGAUAUCAACAACCAAGUCUUUUGCCACUUACGCAAGAGAUGGUCGAUUGUUGCUGCAGCACUUAAAUAUGUUUCUCGUGCCUUAAUAAGUAAACAUACUUAUUAAGUACAAUUAAUGGAUUAGUCUCGACCGAUUAAUUAGUGAAUUGAUUUUUCAAACUUUAUUUAUAGAUAGUUAAUUGUGUUGGAAGAAUCUUUUAGACAGUUCAGAAAGUAUCACCAAUAUUUUGGUAAUACUUUAAAACAGGUGAAUUAAUUUGGACACGCCGCAUAUGAUUUCUAAUGACUUUAAUAUAAUUUAGCCGUAAAAACAAUUAGCCAAAAUUUGGAUCAAUCGGGCGAUUUGUUUUUAAAAGAAAAUUGUACGAAUUUUUCAUAUUUAAAAUUUAAAGAACAUAUAAAUGGAUUUUGAAUGUAGAACCGGUCUAGUUCGGAUCAACAAACACGCACCAAUCACCUCCACGGACUCGGGCCGUCGAACGUCCCUCGACCGCAGGAUAUUCCCCCCCGCCCUUCGAGAAUAUUCUACAAAAAAAAGAUCACCUGUUCAUCAUACACCCACCAACCACAACUGGCCACGUCAUCAUCUCGCGUUCCGUCUCCGCCACGUCAGCAAACCCCGCCCUGCUAAAAUCUCCUCGUGGACCCUGUACAGUUUCACGAUAAAAAUGGACCUCGCUGCUUCUCCUCCUCUCCUCUUUCCCCUCGUCGCUUCCGUGGUGUAUUCUCUCUUGCGCGCUCCACACGAUCGCAUCCCCUAAUAGAGAGCGCGAGAACACGGAGAAGAAAACCGAGUACCCUAACCCUAGAUUAGCCAUGAUCAACCUCGGCAUGGACACGAGGCCCUCGGCGGCGAGCUCCGGCACGGCGGAGAAGGCCUUCUCCUUCUUCUCCAAGGGGUGGCGCGACGUCCGCGACUCCGCCGACGCCGACCUCCGCCUGAUGCGGGCCCGCGCCGACUCCUUGAAGAACCUCGCCGACCGCGAGCUCGAGAACUUCCUCCACUCGGCGUCGGCGUUCUCGGCCCCGGCGCGCCCCGCGGCGGAGGGGUCGAUCGUCGAGCUCGAGUUCGUGAAGCGGAUCCAGCCGAAGCUCUCCGAAAUACGGCGCGCGUACUCGUCGCCGGAUUUCAGCCGGAAGGUGCUCGAGAGGUGGAGCCCCAAAUCGACGAUACGGGUCGAUCUCUCGGCCAUAAAGAAAGCGAUUGUGGCGGAGGUGGAUGAGGUGGGAGGCGCGCUGGAUUUGGGGAAGGAAAGGUUUCGGGGGCAGAGGAAGGUUCUGUGGAAGGAUCGAGAGCGGGAGGAGGAAGAGGAGGGCAAGGAGUGGGAGCCGAUCCGUAUGUUAAAGACUGGGUUAAAGGAGUUCGAGAGGAAGAGCCAGCCGAAUGAGAUCUUUGGGAAUUUCAAGAGCAACGAAUUUGUUGAGAAAAUUAAAAUGAGCUUGGUAAUGCCCCUUCCUCUAUCCUCUUUGUUUUCUUUAUGUCGCUCUAGGGUUUUCAUGGCUAGAUUCUUAGUACGUACAGUAUGUUAAAUAUUUUAUUUCGGGGCUUCUAUGUUGUUCAUUGUGAAAUUAAUUAAGGAUAAAUAUGAUGGAUGAUUUUUACAGCGAUAGAUAGAAUUAUCAAGCUUGUAGCAUACAAAGAUUAUUCCGUGAUGAGAUUGGCAUUUGUAUUCUAUUGCAAAACAAUUGAUCAGUAGAAUAGGAUAUCAGCUACUCAUGGACAUCACUUAUCGUAUUCCCAUAAUUCCAAUUAAAUUAAGUCUGGAUGCAUUGUUCGGCAGGGACUAGUAGUCCUGUAUUCUUUAGAAAUUUUUCUUUAAUCAUCAAUCUUUGAACUUUGGACAUCAAUUCUUGAACUUUAUUUCAAGAUUUUUCAUGGCAAACAGUCCAUAGGGUAACGACAUUCCGUAGCUUCAGUCUGUGCUGGUCAUCAUGCUCUAAGAAUGAUAGUUUGUGACUAUUUGGUCCCUUCUUUAGAUGUGUCAUUUCCGCAAAUAACGCAAAUGGACUAACUGCAGGGAAACAUACAAUUACAUGUCAGAACGUUUUACUCCCUUGCUCAUUCAGGACUUAAACUAUGUUCUCUUAAAUAGCUCUAGCUUUUCUAUUUUUCUGAGAUUUUUUUGUUUGAUUGUCCUUUGACUAUUUUAUUCUUCUUAUUUCAAGAACAUGCCCACAUACUAGCAAAUUGAUAUUGACUCUCAAAGUUACUUCUCCUGAGGUUUAGUUUUGUGUUUUUAGUUUGCUAAAUUGCUCAUCCAAGUAUUAGUGGAAUACUUGUAUUUUUGUUUGUCUAGGUAUGAUAUGUUUAUGUGUAUCACCAUUAUUUUUCUACUUGCAGUUAAUGAUAACACAAUCUAUUGUUUUAUCAACCCCACAUGCAGAGUAAAUGCAUGGAUUAAUUUAUACAUCCUCAUAUGUUUAACUUUAUUCUUAUCCCGUGUUUCUCUUCUUGCAUAUAUAUAUAUAUAUAUAUAUAUAUAUAUAUAUAUAUAUAUAUAUAUCUUAACUCAGAGUCGCCAUACUUAUAUCUGUUUUUGGUUUCUUUGCAGAAGUCAAUGUGCAAAGAGCCUGAACAAUCCAAGGUUUGUCACAUUAUUAUCUUCAUUUUGAUACUUUCAUUUAAUAAUGUACUACUUUUAUUCGAUAAUGAUUCAAGAGCAAAUGCAUUUUGUUGAUUCAUACAGGAAGUUCCGCCUUUGGAUAUACCUGAGCUUUUGGCAUAUCUUGUUAAACAAUCUGGACCAUUGUUUGAUCAGUUUGGCAUCAAAAGAGGUAUGAAACCAAAACUUUGUUUACUCAGUCUAACUUGUGACUUGUUAAUAUACAGGAUGUUUAUGCAUAUCAUUGUGUGUUUUUUUAAAAUUUUAUUUUUUUUAAUAAUAUUUCUUCAGACCUAGCAUUCUCUUUUGUUUUUUUUGUUUUUUUUUUUUUUUGACUUUUAAAGAUACCACAUCUUUUACCUAGAAACAUAUCUUCUGGGUGUAGACAUUUGCGACAAAAUAGUGGAGGCCCUAUGCAGUAAACACAAAGACCACCUUCUAUAUAAUCCUGUUAGUCAAAAUGGAACAUCCUUAUGUGGAAAUGAGACUAUAAGCGACGAACUUGACCUACGAAUAGCUAGUGUGCUGCAAAGUACUGGCCAUCACUGUGAUGAGGGAGGGCUUUGGAGUAAUGCUGUAAAGCAUGAUAGGACAGAUCAUAAGCGCCAUGUUGCAAUUUUUACAACUGCUAGUCUUCCCUGGAUGACUGGAACUGCUGUAAAUCCACUUUUUCGAGCUGCAUAUUUGGCUAAAUCAGCUAAGCAGGACGUAACGUUGGUGGUCCCUUGGCUUUGUAAGUCAGACCAACAACUGGUUUAUCCCAACAACAUGGCUUUCAGCUCUCCAGGGGAGCAGGAGGCCUAUAUACGGAAUUGGCUGGAGGAAAGAAUCGGCUUUAAGGCAGAUUUCAAGAUCUCUUUUUAUCCUGGAAAGGUAGUCAUUUAUUUAGUGCAUUAUGAUCCAUUUUAUAAUUCUUAUUAGUCUUCAAUAUGCUUUAACAGUUUCUUAUUUACUCUCUUGAAUGAUAGUUCUCAAAAGAACGGCGAAGCAUUAUUCCUGCUGGUGACACUUCACAGUUCAUCUCCUCGAAGGAAGCUGACAUUGCCAUAUUGGAGGAACCAGAGCACCUAAACUGGUACCACCAUGGAAAGCGGUGGACCGACAAGUUUGAUCACGUGGUAGGUGUUGUUCAUACGAAUUACUUGGAGUACAUCAAGCGGGAGAAGAAUGGUGCUAUACAAGCUUUUUUUGUCAAACAUAUCAACAAUUUGGUCGCCCGUGCAUACUGCCAUAAGGUAUCAAAUUUGAACCUUCUGCUUUCGUAAUUUAAUAUAGUCACGUGGCUUGUAAAGAAGUCCGUAUGUUCUUCUUUGUUGGGAAGGUGGCAUUUCCUGGUGAAUCAUUUGCUUGUGGAUCUUUUGUUGACCUGAGGGUCUGAUUGGCCUGGCUGGAACUUCUGAAUGCCUUUUGAGUGCAGCUGUUCGAAAAAAUAGUAGCUUGUAGCUUAAAUUCUCGUCAACAGCUUCCUGGUGCAGAAGAAGCAGAAACUUCAAACUGAAGUUUCUGGUUUGCCGGCCUUAUGCUUGUUUCAGCUCUCAUUCCCAGCAAAAGCUUCAAAAUUUUUAUUCCAAACACCUGGUUGCUGCUUCUUGGAACAGAGCAGUUCCAAUCGCUAGGCCAACCUUUGAUCGAUAUCCUGUAUCUUUAACUAGUUAAUGAUGGGCUGUCCUGCAGGUAUUGCGUCUUUCUGCAGCAACUCAGGAUCUACCGAAGUCCGUCAUUUGCAAUGUGCAUGGUGUGAAUCCCAGAUUUCUUGAGGUUGGAGUGAGAAUGGCAGCUGAAAGGGAGCGAGGGCAACAUGCAUUCUCCAAAGGGGCAUACUUCCUGGGGAAGAUGGUGUGGGCCAAAGGUUACAGAGAACUGAUAGAUUUGUUAGCUAAACACAAGAGUGACUUGGAAGGCUUCAAGUUGGAUGUCUUUGGAAACGGUGAGGAUUCAUAUGAAGUUCAAUCAGCAGCUAAGAAGUUGGACCUUAAUCUUAACUUCCUAAGAGGAAGGGACCAUGCAGAUGAUUCACUUCAUGGGUAAGUAUUUCAUGAAAACUAAAAACUUACAAGGGAUCUUUUUGUUUCUUACAUAUCCUUGAAAAUAUGUGAAAAAUUGCAUAAAUUAGAUCUGCAAAGUUGGGUUUGCAUGCAUGUACCUCAGAACCGAAACCUUAUCAGUGAUCAAGCCCCUGCCUGGGCUAAAUGGAAAAAUUGUUUAUGCCUAUACAUCAGCAGAGGGGCUGCAUUUAGAGUAGACAAGCAUUUGUGCCUAUUGCAGUUUUGCAUAUAUUAUUAUAUGUGUUUGAAAAGAAAAAGACCCCUUCAUUAGGCCUCAUUGUUUUGUUCUGACUUCUAUAUUGAUUGUGGAAUGUGGAAUGCACUUAUGUGAUCUUUCCUUGUCUUCUCAGGUACAAGGUUUUCAUCAAUCCAAGUGUUAGCGAUGUCCUAUGCACUGCAACAGCAGAGGCUCUUGCAAUGGGGAAGUUCGUUAUCUGUGCCGACCACCCGUCAAAUGAUUUCUUCCGGGAUUUCCCGAACUGCUUGACGUACAAAACAUCGGAAGAUUUUGUUGCCAGAGUUAAAGAGGCGAUGGCCAGUGAGCCUCAACCCCUCACCCCUGAGGAGAGAUAUAACUUAUCAUGGGAGGCUGCAACCCAAAGAUUCAUGGAGUAUUCGGAACUCAACAAGGUUUUGAGUAAUGAGAGCAAUGAGCAUGGAGAAAGUAGUAAAACAAUCAGUAAGAUGAAAAAGUCGGUUUCCUUGCCAAAUUUGAAUGAUAUGGUGGAUGGAGGGUUGGCAUUUGCUCAUUACUGUCUAACAGGCAAUGAAAUUCUAAGGUUGUCUACAGGAGCAAUACCCGGUACACGUGAUUAUGAUAAGCAACAUUGUAGGGAUUUGCACCUCUUGCCUCCUCAGGUACAGAAUCCUGUGUAUGGCUGGUAAUGUAUAGUAUAUUGUAACCUUAGCCCUCAUUGUAGCAACAUUGUCUCUUCAUUGUAACCUUGCACCUCUUGCCUCCUCAUUGUAGCAACAUUGUCUCUCUCUAUAUCUUGUGGUGUAUAGUAUAUUGUAACCUUAGCCCUGCGCUUUUCCCCUAGUCGUAAACAUGUACAAUGAGCCCACAUCCCCAUCCACUGAACUUAGUAAUAUCGUAAGAUCGGAGAGAUUCCUAUUGAACUUUUUUUUUUCCUUCCUUUCUUUGGGUGGGCAGGGUUUCGUAUUGUAUGUUAUUCUUUAAGCACGCGAAUAUAAAUACAGACAAAUGAAUGGGGAUAUGUACUGAAUAUUGGAGAUUCAAUGAGAGUAAUCCAUUUGACGAGGUGAAGAUUCAAAAGCGAAGAUUAUGCCGGUGUGAGCAUCAGCUCGGCGUAGAUCCUAUGCAACUGCACAUGUUAGAAGGACAAGGUAUUUAUAUGUCAGACCAUUCAUUUAUAGAUAGAUCAAGGAUCGACAUUAGAGAAUCGAAAGCUAGUGUAAAAAAUGUAUAUCGUCUAAUUGGGUCGAUGCUGCUUAUUCUAUUUCAUAGCUUCAACAAUUCUCUUGUUUCUCUUUUGUUGGUAAGAGAUGCGUCUGGCAAUGUGGCGUAUGUAAAUAAUCAGCUUCAUAUAAUUGUAUAGUGUUUUGCUCUGGCAAAAAAGAAAUAGACAAAAUACAACUAUUGUAAAACCUCAUACGUAUUGUAAUUUUAGCAGAAGCUUGUCGGAUCGUCAUACUUGUCUUAGAGCCUUCUAGGUCUGCAAUGACCUUUUGGAUCGAAUUUGGAUCUUCGAUCGAAGAUCCUGUCGGAAUCUCUAUCCUUGAUCAUCAUGUAGAUGGAAAUCCGUGGGAAGAAAUCUUUAUUUAUUUAUUUAUUUAUUUAUUUUUUUAUGUACAAAGUCGGAGAGAAAGGAGUUCAUAAUUAUAAAUUAUCAGGAUUUUAUUGGAUUCUUUAAAAUAUUCUGAUUUUUACAUAAAGAUAAAGAUAAAAAUAAAUAUUCUGAUUUUUACAUAAAGAUAAAGAUAAAAAUAAAUAUUCUGAUUUUCACAUAAAGAUAAAGAUAAUAAUAUUUGUUAAGAUAUGGGGAGAUGCGUUUUAUAACUAAUAAAAAAUAUAUAAUUUAUUCUUAUUUUUAUCUUAUUAGGAUAAAUAAAAAUUCACAUUUUAUAUGGAUAGAGGUAAAAUAGAAAUGUGUUAUGUGCGGUGAGAUAAUAUGAUAAAAAACAUAUCCUGUUUCUGUAAAUUACAUUAGUCGGCACGAUAUAUUUUGUACAAUUCCAUAAGAAAUUAGAAAAACUAUAUUUCUAUAUAUAUUUUUUUUCCCUGAGCUGACGACCUUUUUGUUUAUAAGCAUUAAUUAGUAUGCGUUUCACACUUUCACUACAAAAUCGAUCCUUCUUCGUCGAAUACAGUUUGUGGCUACAGUUUCCCGUUGACAAAUAUUGCUGUUAGGUCGGUUUCGGAUGCUCGAAGUGUUCGAACCCAAUUCAAUCGUUCCCAACAACUCUUGAAUCUAUCGUGCUCGAUGGCCUCAAUCUCUCUCAAAUCCAACACCGAAUACCACAGGUGCAAGAUGGGUCAUUUUUCACAAUAGAACGCACGCACGUACUUGCUGCUACGUGCAGAGGAAAUUAAGCUUUUGGUUUAAUUCUCUGGCACUGCUUCUGGGGAGGGUUAAUUAGUGGGUUACUAUAUAAUUAAUUCGUUAGAAGAAAUUAAGGUGUUCUCUAAUAAGUCCAUCAUGCGUGCAUGGUUUAGUUACAUUCCUCUGCAUCAAUCAACAAAUAGUUCAACGCACUGACGCAACAUGCACACACUAGCUACAACACCCUGGUGGUGGCUCCUUCGCGUGGAGAUAUUCCUGGAGAUAUUCUCUCACCAUCUUAAUUACCACAGAGACAGUACAAAAGGACACGAAAAAUACAAGGAACAAAUUAAGUCAUCGAUCCUCAAAAGCCAAUUCAAACUAUAUAUAUAUCUUCCCACCCUAAACAGGAAACAGCACCGCCACUUCCUAACCUAUUCUUUUCCGUGCGCGCAUGCAUGCAUGCAUGCCCAAAAACCCAUCUACCAUCUUUCAAAACUUAGUCAUUAGCUUUAGAUACUUGGCAUAUUAUGAUACCAGUUUAAACGAUAAAUUUUUGAAUAAACUUCAAUUUACUGUCCUAUAAAUAGUUUAUUUUAUUUUUACUUUAUUAUUUUAUAUAUGGUUUAAAAUGUUAUACUUAUCUACUCUACAAUUCUUUUUUUUUGUUUGUUUUACCAUGAGUAUGUAGGAAGUGUCAAACAAAAAGAUAACAUGCAUGGCAAAUUUUGCAAACCAUAAAAGAGUAAAUUAAGUGCAUAUUAAUUAUAAAAUUGUAAACUGCUGCAUCACAUUAAUGUUGUUUUGUAAAAAAUAUUACUUUAUUAUUUUGUUUAAUAAUUUAUUUUAGAAUUUCGUUUGAACCACAGCCCGCUAAUUGAAGUUUACUCUUUCUUUCUUCGUUAAAUCACUUCCAUGUGAAUGAUUAAUUUUCUCCUUGUAAAACUCUCAUUUUCUGGGUAUAGUGUUGUUAAAGAUCUUGGUACACUUUACAAAAAGACAAGGGGAACAUCCGUGAUGAGAGGUGGUGUUGAUUAUAUACAGCAAAAGGUUGAAUGCGUUGAUGCGCCAUGACUUUCCCUAAAGCCUGGUUUGUUUUUUCUCUCUAUCUCUCCGGAAUCAGCGGUGCACAAUCUUUUCUUACUUUGCCCCACUUCGGUUUACAGUGGAAUAGUGGGGAACACCUCAGAAAAGCUCCAACCCCACCAAAAGUUCUCUUUUCCUGUGGUUCCAAUUUCUCUAACCUAAAGACAUUAUCUAAAUGUUUGUGCUCUCUUUUUUUUUUCUUUUCUUUUCUUUUUCUGUAUUUAGUAUGUUCAGAUUCGUGUGAUACGAUUCUUUAUUUACCUAUCAACUUAUAUUUGAACAAAUUCUUUUUUUUUUUUUUUGAGAAUUAGGUAGCAAGCUACCUGCUUCAUUCAUUAAGCAAAAUGAAUUAGGCGAACAAGAUGGAAGCAGCUAGGCCUCCUAACCGAGCCGGCAAAAGAAGGAGAAACCAAAAAAAACCGAAAACAGCAAGUCCGUAAAAGGGGAAAAGUAAAAGAGUGCAAACGAAGGAAAACUAAAUAGAUAUGGGUAAAUACUGAAGGAAAAGAACUGCGCGUUGUAUCGCGGCUUCAGAGGACUUUGUUCCAAUUUGUGAUCAGGGCCAUGACACGUUCAAGAGCCCGGUAGGCGUUGGGAGACCCGUCGCGGAAGAUGAUCUUGUUUCGCUCCGUCCAAAUGACCCAUCAGAUUGCCGCCAAUUGGGUAAGAUUUUUCGAUCUCAUUACGGCGUUGGGGUUGUUUGAGAUCCGUGUCCAUAAACGACGAACAUCCCCGGCGUCCGAAUCGGCCGCCACUGAAACUCCGACCUCAAUUUGGAGGUAUCUGACGAAGAUACAUUCACUAAACAAGUGGUCGCAAGAUUCAGAUAGUAACACACAGAACAUGCAAUGCUGAUCCACAGGACUCCCUCGGCGAAUCAGUCUAUCCGUUGUAAGUAAUCUCUUAUGCAAUAGGAUCCAAAUGAAAAUUUUUUGCUUGAGCGGAAUUAUUAACCCCCAAAGAUGAUCGUACAGAGGAUCAAUUUGACCUGCGUUGGUGAUGAAAUCAUAAAGGGAUUUAACGGUAAAAAUUUGAUCAGCAGUCCAUCUCCACAAUAGCUUAUCCUCUCUAGCCAAUGGGCAAUACUGAGUGAGCAGGUUUUUGAGCAGCGCUAAACUUUGGCGGUUCAGGGGAGUGGUAUUAGUAGUGAGACCUCUGGUUAUGAAACGCCAUCUCCACCCUCUAUCAUUCCAGCAUUGUGCGACUGUGGCGUCCUGAUUCGCUAUCCUGCAAAACAAUCCAGAAAAUCGGGUACUGAGAGGGGUUUCUUCAAUCCAAAUAUCCGUCCACCACCUGAUGUUUUUUCCAUCGCCAAGCACAUACGAGACUCCACACUUGAACACGUCUCGGCAGCUCAUCACGCUUCUCCACCAUUGGGAAUAAGGUCUGAAGGAUCUUCCCUCAUGUAACGGCCUUCUUCUAGUGUAAUACAAGACUUUGAUCAGUCUCCCCCAUAACAUGUGUCUUUCAUUGAAAUACCGCCACCACUAUUUGGUUAACAGUGCCUUAUUCAUUGCUCCCAUAUCUUUGAUCCCCAGGCCCCCUUCUCUUUUGCUUUUACAUAUUGUUUUCCAACCAACGAGACAUGACCCACCAGAAAUUUUGAAGCACCCUUUCCAAAAGAAGGAUCUUCUAAGAGCUUCAAUGCGGUUCAGAACCCAUUGUGGCACUUUGAAGAUUGCGAAGUAGAAUAACGGGAGGUUCGAAAGUUGAACAAAUUCUUUAUCGCAGCAAGUCAAUAUUUAUAAAUAACUUAAAAAUAUACAAUAAGAUAUUAUUCUUAUAAACUAUUUACGAAUUAUCAAACACAUAUGACACAUUGAAUUGCAUGAAUAAUCUAACUAAAAAUCUUCAAACUUUGCGUGCAUAUAAGUGCAUCAAUUUUUUUCAAAAAAUAAUAUAUUUAGAGUAAAUUUUACUAUCCUCAAAAUAAAGAGAUUCAAAUUGUAACUAAAUGUAAUAUAUUUUAUUUUAACACCAUAAAAAAAAAGCCUCAAUAUAUCAAUUUUUAUUUUGAAAACCUGUAACAUCCUCGCUACUAUAUAAUUUGCUAUGACAUGUGUAAAAAGCAAUAGAUAUGAUAUAUCCUUCCCUAAAAAGCAGUUUAUACAAGUACAAAAGAAAAGGACCACAAUGGAUCAAUUGGGAGUAAACACAUAUUUAUAUUAUGUACGGAGCCGUAUGGGUCCUUUAGCCCGUCAAAAUCGACUAGAAAACAAAGAAUUUUCUAGAGAUUCAUCGCAUGACAAGAUAAUUUUUUUUUUGUAUUUGCUUUAUGAGUCUGCGUCACCAAUCCAUUACAUGCUGUAGUGUUGGAAUUGGAAAUGAAGGUCACUUGUCUCCCUAAUGCUUUAGUCACUAAGUUGUACGGUGCCGUAUAAUUAAGAAUGUUAUUAAUUUUGUAUAUUUUUUCUGAGGAAAUUAUUAUUAUUAUUAUUUUCCCCUAUGUUGCUUUGGUGACAUAAGGUGUUAGGUAGUCGUGGUGAUAUUGGUUUGCAUUUUUAUUCAGAAUGCAUGACAGCAUGUGAUUCCGAAUAAGUAUUCUCAAAAAAGAAAGGGGAAUAAGUUAUUAUUCUUUUUUUUUUAUUUCUAAACAUAAAUUUUUAUAUGUGAAAACAAUAAUUUUUGAUUUUUUUAUAUUCUUGAAUACUCUGAAAUAAACUAGUAUAAUUCGGUAUAAAUUUAAAACUGUUGUUUCACCCUUUUUUUUAAAAAAAUAAGCUUGUUCUAAAAUGAGAAUAAUGUUAAUUAAAAUCUAAAUCUCAUUUUAAUUAUGAUUAUAAUGUUAAAUUAUUAAUUAAUCUAAUUAAUAUAUUUAAAAUAUUAUCCAUUGCUUAAAUAAUAAAAUAAAUAAAUAAAUAAUUAAUUAUUUAUAAUUAACUAGCUAAUUAAUUAUUAAUUGUUAAAUGUAUUUAUUUAUACUUAAACUAAUAUUUAUAAUAUUGAUCAACUAUUAAUAUUUUUAUUAAUCUAAUUAAUUUUUUUUACUAGUUAUCUAACUAAAAUAAUUUACUAACUAGUUAAAAGUUAAAUUAUUUUUUAUAUUUAAUAAAUUAAUUAUUAUGUUUUAUUAUCUUAUAUAAUAUUCAUAGCUAAUAAAUUUAUUAAUUUUAUUAAAUUAUUUUUAAUUAAUAGUUUGAUGUUAAUUAAUUAGAUAAAAUAUUUUUAAUUUAAAAUUAUAACUCUUAUUCCUUAUGCUCUAAUCUACACAUUCAAAUAUUAUUUACCUUAUUUUUAGGAAUAACCUAAUUUUCUUCCAAACGCAAAAUUAUUCUAAUUCAUGUUUAUAUCUGAACUUGUAUUUAUCUCUAAAAUAAGUAAUUCUUACUUAUAUCCGAAACAAACGUAGCCUAAAAGUUUUGACCAAUUGAAACUUGAUGCUUAUAAUAGGUGCUUUUGCAUCACAAAUUUGUAAGAUUUGUUGGGAAAUGUGAAUACAAACUUAUGAUUUUUGAAAAAAACAUGAAGAAAUGACGCCUUAGAAGAAGCCUUCACAUCUUAAUAGAUGGACUUACAUUUUUAUUUGGAAAUAUAUUGGAUCAGAAUCCAUUUUUGGAAAAUAUUUUUAGUAUAAUAUCUUUGACAAUGUCUAAAAAUUAGUUUUCUAAUCGAUUGAGUGGUAAAUAAUUAAUUUGACUCAUUCACAAACAAACUAUCUCUUUUAAAAGAAAAAUGGCCAGUUUUCUACUUUAUUCAUUUACUUUAAUGAACUCCACUAUAUAAAAGAGGCAACAGAGCCUUAGUUAAUAAAAAAAAGGGAAAAAAAAUCCUCUGCAAUUUUUCAAGAUUGUGAUCCACUGUCUCUGGUUCAUUCUCACAUAUUAUACAUAACUGAUCUCCCAUGGCCCCUCUCUUUUGUAGGUCGUCACCUAUCCGAACUUUUGAAUAUUUAAAACUUUUAUUAUGCAAGAAGAUAUUAAUUUUUUCUAGUUGAAUUGAAGCGUGACAUCAAAUUGGUUAAUUUUCGGCAUUAUAUAUAUAGAUAUCACAUUUGUCACAAUAAGUAUAUUAAGAUAUGGAUUAUCCUAAUUAGGAAUAUAAAGAAAAACAUAAAGAAAUGAAAGAUACUUUUAGGAGCACAGUGCUAGACAAGUUUGCAAAUAAAGCUAUUGCAAGGGAAUUUAUUUAUCUAUAAUAACUUCUUUCAUGAAUCCACAAAAAAAUAAUUUCUUUAACAUACAAAAGUUUCAUAAGUAUCAUUUAUGUGCACAACUCCAGUGUACGUACCCACAUUAAUUAUACAUGCGGUAUUUUCUAUUUCCAGACAUUUAGUCGUUUAGUCGGUGGUUCCUCCAUAAUACUAAUAAUUAAAUUAAUAGUGCUCCUUUUUUAUAGGAAAAGUAAGUUCUCAAACUAUAUAGCUUCUUUUAUUAGUCCUUAGUCCUCAACAUUAAUAGCCACUUGAGCCGGUUUUUCCCCAACGUCCACCGGUUUAACGGUGGACCGGCGGGCCGGUUCGGUUNAACUAUAUAGCUUCUUUUAUUAGUCCUUAGUCCUCAACAUUAAUAGCCACUUGAGCCGGUUUUUCCCCAACGUCCACCGGUUUAACGGUGGACCGGCGAGCCGCGCCAGCUCCUCGACCGAACCGGCGAUUCCGGCCGUGCGCAACACCAACUCGGCGAGGAGGGACGAAAUCAUCGCCAGGUGGACGAUCUCGGACAGGGCCACGUCCUCCGACAGAGCGCUCCGUAGAUUCGCCGCCGCCUCUAGGGAUGCUGCCACGUGGCGAUUAGCGGAGGCCGGCGCUGUCAUGGUACGGAUCGCCGAGGAGAGCUCCCGCAGCGCCUUGGCGGAUUCGGAGCUCAUCUCCGCACACGCUGCUCGGAUCUGCAAGCGGAGCUCCACAUCCGUUGCUGUCGCCUGCAAAUAUUUGAAAAGUAUAUAUAUUAUUUAUAUACAAGAAUAAAAUAUGCAUAUUAUCGGGUCGGAUCGGGUAAUUGGGUCGAUUCGUAAUACGAAUCGAAUCAACUAAUGUGGUUCGGAUUUGGGUUAGGUUUGUGGAAUACCUGUGAUUUUGGAAAGGUGGUGAUGUAGGAGGAAAGUGUGUCCAUGGCAGAAGCGCAUUGACGAGAGAGAGCUCCGAGCUUUUGGUAUUGCUUCCACGGGUGACGGAAUCCGAAUUGCCCAUGACCAGGCUCCCACUUUGCAAAAUUAAACUGCAUAUUCAAAAUAAACAAAAAAGAAAGAUAACAAUUUAUUACACAGUAAAGCUAGAUGCCUUAAAAAAUGUAUGUUUUGCUACGGUAAAAAGAAGCAUGAUCAAUGCUAACUUAAACUUCGUACUUUAAAGCUACUCAAAGCAACUUCCUCUUGGAAGAGAUGUUGAAGAAAUAGUUAUGUUCAAAUAACAAAUUUGCUAAAAGCAUUAGAACGUGUAAAAUUGACUAGUGUUUGAGCGCGAGAUUACCAAAGAAUCCUCGCUGGGCUUCGAAUUGAGGACGCUUUUGUAAACUUGGAAGAAGGAUUUGGACUCCAAAUUUUCGCACCUAGCCUUUUCUCCGAAGCAUUCUGCUUCCAAUCCUGCAACCAAUGCAUAUAUCACUGUAAAUUAGCUCCUACAAUAAACUGUAGAACGGGAAAUGCAAGGAAAUUAAUUAAUUAAAUGAAGCCUUUUCCAUGUACUUACUAUAUAUAUAUAUAUACACGCGGACACACAAUGUGAUUUAAUAUGGCAAUCUCAUCUCACUAUAGUAAUUUGUACAGCGAUCAUAUAUAUGCUUCUUGAAUCAAAAUUAACCAAUCCAUGUUGUAGGUCAUGGCCCAUGAAGUUACUUCAUUGGACCCAUCAAAUUAUACAUAGAUGCAGUUAGAAUCAGUACUCCUCAUUUUAACCUACCAUAAUAAACCGCGCGUGACACGUUGAUCGAAUGUUCCAAAGCAUAAAUGGGGGUUGAUGAGGCGACCACCUCAUGAUAUCUAGCUUUGAAAAUAUUUGAAGUGCCUGUCUUUGUAAAUUUUCUUUUUUUAUGUAAAGUUAGAUAUAAUGGAGUUAUCCAUUAGGAUAAGGGUCGUUAUCUUGCUCUCACCUUAAUAGGCAAGGAUAUAUACUUGGUCCGUAUCCUCUUUUAAUCAGUGAAAGAUCCCCCCAGUUCCCCUCUCUACUUUAUAGUGGCUUUAUUGCACUCGAAUAAUACUCUUGAGUAUAUUAUUCAACCGGAGAAUCCUUUUGAUUGAAACAAGGUCCUAAGUGAUAAAGUGAACACGAUGAGGUUCGUAUAUGUACCGUGCAUAUGGAGAGCACAGAUGCAACAGUAGUUUGUAGUUUUUUGGUUAUGACGUACGUUGCGAUCGAUAUUCCGGCUGAGGUGCUUAUAAUAGCAUCAUACACAUGGUGCUACUAAAUUUUUCGCUACUUUAUUUAUUUUUUUAACUAUUUUUAUCUUUUAGAUCAUAUAAUUAUUAAACCAACCAUCUUCUCAAUUCUAGAGGACCGCUAUCAUCGUUAUCACGCAUCCUUUUAUCUAAGAGUCGAAAAUCUAAUAGCACCAAUGACUGGUGCUCGUAAUAAUAUAAUAGCCUAGCUACUUUUAUAUAUAUAUAUAUAUAUAUAGAGGGAGAGAGAGAAAGAGUUCAGCUACUAUACUAUCGAUAGUACUAAGUUUUUGAUAUUAUUGAGUUUUUUGCUGUUAGAUUUACCUUCUGAUCAUUUUCAUCCGUUAGAUUAUACUAUUUAACUAACCACCCACUCAAUUCUAGAAAAUCAUUAUCAUUCUCACCGCACAUUCUUAAUUUCAUUCUCAACAGCUAAAAAUUUGAUAGCACCAGACGCUUGAUACUAUCAAUAGUGUAGUAGUGUGAUUCUAUGUACAUAUAUAUAUUUGCCAAUUGUUUGAAUGCAACCAGGAGCCCACUAAUCAAAAACCAUGAUUCGAAUCAGACCCAACUAAUUGCCUUCCUAGCGUGCCAAUAAGAAUAAUAUAAGUGAAAUUUGAAAUUAAAACGUUGCAGGGGGCCAGAGUCACAGGACAAACCCCACUAACUAAUAAAUCUUAUCAUCAUACGGGCCCACAUACAAUAAUAUAUAGGUGUUCAUCAGCUGUAAUACUGUGCACCAAAAUUAUAAUUUUACGCACGAGAUGAUUCCGCCGAUUGACUAGAAAAUAUAUGUGAGCACUGUGACAUAAUUCCUUGCUGAUGAGUGACAGAAUUAUUCCAAAGGCAACAUAUAGAGAUACCGCAUAAAGUAACAGAUCAAUUCAAAAUUCGCAUCUUUUCUAGCCUUACCUUCGAGGAAGGUGGCAAGCUUGUCCAAGUUGUUUGCCACUUGCUUAUGGAGAUCCUCUCCGGCCCACACAGGGAACACGAAAACUGUGGUGCCGAGACAUGUGGCGACGCCGAUGGCGAUGGUCGAAACCCUCUGAUGCGCCAUUUGUAUCAAUUCCUCAACUCGGUAGCUCGACACGGCCACGAGACUAAACGUGAGUAUAAAUAUCGUCACGCCGUAAUCGUAUCGUGCCUUUAUCUCGGGUAUGAAUCGUGAGAAUGUAGCCCCCGCAGCUGUACCAAUUUAAUUGCCGUGUUAAGCAUUUUGAAUUGGUUUAUGUACGUAUAGUUGUGGUAUAUAUGCAGGCGUUUGUAUAUAUGUUGAAUGAGAUUAUACGUACCUAUGGUGAAGACGAAGAGGCCAAGGAGUAUGGGCUCGCCUUUGUCGCCGCAGAGAACGGCGAUUUGAUGAGCGCCGACGCCGAGUGAGCCCGCGAGUAGGGUGGCGAAUGCUCUGUUUAGCCCCUUGCUUAGUGUUCCACCUGAGGAGCAAAACAUAUCUACUUAGUAGUGUUAUAUAAUUUGGAUUCUACUAACUAUUGCACGAGAUAUGCAUAGUGCGUCUUUUUAAUGGAGAAGUAUAAAUUUAACGAAGGGUUUAAGGGUAUAUUUGGCCAAUCAAAUGCGCAAUAUUAUUUGAUUAAGUUUUUAAAGCAACACCAGUAUUUUUCACAAAUUUCUUUUAGGAAUCUCUCACUAUAUUAUAUAUAUAGUCAAAUGCAGUAGUAAAAAAUUUGGAAAAUAUUUUUAGGAUCUACAAGCUCAUUAAAUUUUGAUAUAUUUAUUUGCCAAAUAUGCAUGUGGCUUGAAAAACUUUUAAUUUGAAAAGAAAAAAAAGCUCGAGAAGUUGCUAAUCUUAUAUCAAAGAUUAAAUAGGAUUUGUAGAAGUUCUCUACAACAUAUAACUAAAAUAAGCUUUUAAGGACCAAAAGAUUUACUAAAAAAUUUUUACUAGAAAUAUAUUUUACCUGUACUUUCUCAAACAACUUUAGUAAAUAGUAUAUAUGGAGCGACGAAAUGAAUUAAUUACAACGGAUAUUCUGGAAUGAUAGAAAUCCGUAUAACGUACGUACCGACGGUGUAUUCCAUGACAACAACGACGGUGAGCACGGCCCACAUGGUCGACACUCCUAAGCCUUCGUAGAGCGGCGUCACAUAGUAGAAGAUCGACACGAUCGUGAGCGCCAAACCAACUUUAAAACAGUGCGCUACCCUCCUCGGAUCGUCCUUCACGAUCUUCUUUACCUUCUUCGACAACCCCACCGCCAUCUCCUUCAUCCUCUCAACCAAAGAGCUCAACCCUGACCACCAUGGAGAGAAACCAAUCUUAUGCGCACUAGUGUUGCUUCCAACUUCAACUUCCAUUGGUGUUGUAUAUAUACUUGGUUUGAUUCUGGGUUUUGAAGGUGAUGAUGGCAUGUGAGGGAAAUGGGCUACGAAGGAAGGAGGACUUAUAUAAGCGAAGAAGCAGGUGGAGACAAGUGCUUUCGGAAUAGAAUAUAAGAAUAUAGACAAAAUUAACAAACAUGGACAACUUUUCCGCCUUGGCCAGGUGACGGGAGAAGUUUCCUUUGGAAUUGAAGGGGCUUGUACAGUUGUAUGUUGGCUUGGCUAUGAGGAACUAUGACAUUUACUUUUGAGAUAAUUGUAUACGGCUCUUUAUAAACAUAUAUCAACUAAUAAGUACAUUUUUAUAAAAUUUAAAUUAUCAGAUUUAUUUUUUCUAAAAAUUCUUUCGUCUGUAAAUAUAUUUUUCUGUUAAUAAAAUUUAAAUAAUUGUAAAUUAAAAAAACUAACCAAGGAUAAAAUAACUUUUUUGUCCUUUAUAUAUAUAUAAUUUGUAUUUUAAUAAUAUUGAGUCCCGUCAUCUUCCUCAUCCUUUAUUUUUUAUUCAUGGUGACAGUAAGACCUACGAUGGUGGCGACUGUUGGGAAUCCGGUACUCUCCCCGGUAUCGGAUCUCGUGAAUCCGCAACCCGCUCCGAUACUGACUGCUGUGGUUCUGGUAUCGAUUGUUGGGAUUUCGCAACAGAAACGUCGAAUCGGGUUUUUCCACGUGCCCCAGCAAAAUCAAAAAAAGCGAGAGAAAAAAAGGCAGCUUUUUAUAAUUAAGAAUAAAUUUAUAAGGACAAAAUAGUCAUUUUAUGCACAUACUAUUAAAAAACUAACGGUGAAUCCAACGAUAAAGAUAUAUAUGAACAAACCAAAACUUUUAGAGAAAUAUAUUUUUAAAUUAGAAAAUUUUUAAAAAGAUAAAUUUAAUAACUUAAGUUUAUAGGAAUAUACUUGCUAUUUGAUGCCUCUGCAGGAACGUGUAUGAAAAUAACCCUCUACUUUUUUGUGAGAGUAAAAUAUAUAAUUAGGAAAAGAGGGUAGAGGGAGGAGCAUGAAUAUAUAAUGGGAAACAACUUUCAAUUGUUGAACUUUUGAGCUAGUAAGAAGCACGAAGUUUAAUUUGUUCAGAGUGAAAGUGGAGACAAGGUGCAAUGAAUUUGGAAUCAGGUUGAUUAUUCAAACGACAUUAAUGAAUUUGACCUCUUGUUGAGUUUUUUUUUUUUUUUUUUCUAAAUCUCCCUUGAGAAAAAAAAUAUGAGAGGUAGAUGGUGGAGCAAAUUAAUGAUCACAAACCGAGAAAGAGAUAGAGAGAGCAUGUUCUGUGGAUUUAAAAGAAAAAUUGGAACAGAAUUAAUUUUUCCUGCAGCUACAGAUUUCAAGCUGAUAACAUUAUCAAACUUUUUUUUUUUUUGUUUUUGGAGAGGGAGAGACCAUAACUAACAUAUGCUGAUUCUCAUGAUCGGUAAUCAACACUAUCAUCCAAGAGUUUAAUAGAAAAAAGAAAUGCUAAGUCUAACAGUUUAAGAAUAAUCUUUAACGUCCUUUUCCACGUGUACAUCAGAGAUCAGAUCGACUAAACGUACAUGGAAUUGGAAAGAAUGAUCAUGGGCAAAGAUUAUAAUUCAUCAAUUAUUAUGGGUCUGUUUGGCCUAACUUCUGAAAAAAUGAUUUUAGUUUGGAAAAGUGAUUUUGCUUAAAAGCUAUAGAGCGUUUGGCGGAAUUUAGAUAAAAGUGAUUUUUCUGAAGUGAUUUUAAAAAGCUGUUUGGCAAAUUAAAAAUUUUGAAAAGCUGUUUGAAAAGCAAUUUAAUUUUAAAAAUAUAUUUAAAUUUUAAACUUUAAAAUUUAAAUUUAAAAUUUAAAAUAAUUAUGAAAUUUAAAAUAUAAAAUUUAAAAUUUGAAUAUUUAAAAUAUAAAAUUAAAAAUUUGAAUAUUUAAAAUUAAAAAUUAAAAAUUUGAAUAUUUAAAAUUUAAAAAUUAAAAUUUUAAAUUUUAAAUUAUAAAAUUUGAAAUUUAUAAUUUGAAGAUUAAAAUUUAUAAAUUUUUAAUUUUAAAAAUUUGAAAUUUAUAAUUUGAAGAUUAAAAUUUAUAAUUUAUAAUUUAAAAAUUUUAAAUUUUUACAUUUAAAUUUUAAAAUCUAAAUUGUCAAAUUUGAAAUUUGAAAUUUGAAAUUAAAAUUUUAAAUUUAAAAUUUAAAAUUUGAAAUUUGAAAUUUAAAAUUUUAAAAUCUGAAAUUUGAAAUUUGAAAUUUGAAAUUUUAAAAUCUGAAAUUUGAAAUUUGAAAUUUGAAAUUUGAAAUAAAAUUUGAAAUUUUAAAAUCUAAAAUUUGAGAUUUGAAAUUUAAAAUUAAAAUUUAAAAUUUAAAAUCUAUAUUUCAAAUUUUAAAAUUUAAAAUUUAAAAUUUAAAAAUUUUAAAAUGAAUCUGAAAAUUAAAAUUUAAAAUUUAAAAUUAAAAUUAAAUUUAAAUAUUAAAACUAAAAUAAAAAUAAAAUUUUGAAGUUUAAAUCCAAAAUCAGAAUCAGUUUUCAAGAAGCAGCUUUUUUCUACUUCUGAUUCUGAGACCUUCAAAAUCAGUUUUCUGAUUCUAAAAAGAAGAAUCAGAUUUUAAAAGUGAGUUGCCAAACGCUCUAUUGAGCCGAAAAUCACUUUUCAGCCAAAAAGCGCUUUUUAAAAGUUAGGCCAAACACCCCCUAUAUAUGGUAAAUCAAU
rnacentral:lncRNA from 1 species